GAGAGUUGAGGUGCCAAUAUUUUCGGUGCAAAUGUAUGUAUAUUUAAUAUAUAAUUGCUUUCCAAUUCACUUUUAGAUACCUUUCUGUUAUAUCAGCAGGGGUCAAUAGUGUUGCAAUCUCCCAUGAGAUUUGAUAGAUAUAUAUAUAUAUAUGUGUGUGUAUGUAUGUAUAUUUAAUGUAUAGUUGCUUUCCAAUUCACUUUUAGAUACCUUUCUGUUAUAUGUGCAGGAGUCAAUAGUGUUGCAAUCUCCCAUGAGAUUUGAUAUAUAUAUAUGUGUGUGUGUGUGCAGGUGAGGACUGCGGAUGGCGAUUCAGAACAUUUCCCGGUCUUGACAGGGUUGUAUCAGAGAUCUACUCUUAGCCCGUUUUUGUUUGCUUUGGUUAUGGAUGUGUUGUCGCGGCGUAUCCAAGGCGAGGUGCCCUGGUGUAUGCUUUUUGCGGAUGAUGUGGUUUUGAUUGACGAGACUCGGGGUGUGUGAAUGAUAAAUUAGAGGUGUGGAGACAGACCCUUGAAUCUAAAGGAUUCAGGUUAAGUAGGAGCAAGACCGAAUAUUUGGAAUGUAAGUUUAAUGUCUCGAGGGAGGUGGACGAGGUGGUAGUAAGGUUGAAUUCUCAGGUGGUAUGUAAGAGCGAUAGUUUCAAGUACUUCGGGGCCAUGAUUCAGGGGAAUGGUGAGAUUGACGAGGAUGUCUCUCACCGGAUCGGAGCGGGAUGGAUGAAGUGAAAGCUCGCCUCGGGGGUGUUGUGUGAUAAGAAGGUGUCGCCCAAGCUUAAAGGCAAAUUUUAUAGGGUGGCAAUCCGUCCGGCCAUGUUGUAUGGAGCGGAGUGUUGGCCUGUCAAGAACUCUCACUUCAAAAACUGAAGGUGACGGAAAUGCGAAUGUUGUGCUGGAUGUGUGGGCUUACUAGGGGGGAUAGAGUUCGAAUGAGACUAUUCGGGAUAAGGUUAGUGUGGCUUCGGUGGAGGAUAAGAUGUGGGAGGUUCGUUUGAGAUGGUUCGGACAUGUGAUGAGGAGGGGUACGGAUGCUCCGGUUUGUAGGUAUGAGAGGCUUGCUUUGGAUGGUUUCAGGCGGGGCAGAGGUAGGCCGAAGAAAUACUGGAGAGAUGUGAUUAGGCGGGACAUGGAGCAGUUACAGCUUACUGAGGACAUGACCCUAGAUAGGAAGAUCUGGAGGAUGCGUAUUAGGAUAGAAGGCUAGUGACUUUUUCGGUAGGUAGGAUAGGGCUUUACUUGGCUGGUGCAGUAUUCUUGUUAUGCUGCAUUACGAUUGCUUACUAUUCUUUGUUUACUACUCCUUAUAGGUGGCGUAUUUAUGUCAUGCCAUAUUGUUCCAUGCUUUAUGUACGUUUUUUAUGACUUAUCUUAUCUUGAGUUGGGGGUCUAUCGGAAACAACUUUGCUACUUCUCCGGAGGUAGUGGUAUAGACUGCGUACAUCUUACCCUCCCCAGACCUCACUAUGUGGGAAUACACUGGGUUUGUUGUUGUUGUUGUAUGUAUAUUAGAUGAUGAAGCUAAUUUAUAUGCAUAUUUUUAAACCCUUAAUGAAAAUCUUAAUGUUUUGCUUUCGUGCUAAAAAUUUACUUGCAACUCAUUUUUUUUUAUCAACUAGUUUAGGUGUACAUGUCCCACGCGUGUAUCUCACUUUAAUGGGUUUAAACGUUAUGCUAAAUACGAUAUUUAUUUAAAUAAUAAAAAUGAAUACAAUAAUUAAAUUUAACAUCUUUUGAAUAUAUAAAGAUGGAGAAUUUAUUUAAUUAGACUUAAAACCUUUAUUAAAAAAAAAAUUCUCAAAGUCGGUCCACAUUUAUCUAUCACUUGUAAAUUAUAACAAAACAAUAAUACGUUAAUAGAGACAUCAAAACAAUACAAUUAAAUGUAAUUUUUAUAGAAAAAUUUCCUCAAAGCCGAUCGACAUGCAUCUACCACAUGUAAACUACAACAAAAUAACACGAAAAUAUAGAUAUCAAAACAAUACAACUAAACUUAACUUUUACACACACGAAAAAAAAUUUCUCAAAGCAAAGAGAUCAAAACAAUACAAUUGAACCUAACAUUUACCUAAAAAAUAUUCUCAAAGUCGAUCGACAUUCAUCUACGAUCUGUAAACUACCACGAAACAAUACACUAAUAGAGAUAUUAAAACAUUACAAUUAAACUUAAUCUUUACCUAAAAAAAUUCUUUGAAGCCGACCGAAGUUCAUCUAUCACCUAUAAAUUGAAAUAAAAUAAUAUAAUAUUAAAAAUAUCAAAACAACACAAUUAAGUCUAACCUCAUAUAAAAAGUUUUUCAAAAUCAACCGAGAUUCAUCUUACAAAUCAAUUAACACCAAUAAAUAAUUAACAUUAACAUUAAUUUUGGGGACAAAUAGAAGUCAAACCUAAGGCACAACCACAUGCAAUACGUUAAAAUUAAAAAAUUAACACUUUCUUGGUGUUUAAAUUUUUGCUCAUUCCUGAUUUCAGGUUAAGACCUUAAAUGAGUGUGGUCUUUUAUUUUAAUGUAUUUAAUUAAAUGAUUUGAAUAAUAGAAAAAUAAUUGCACGGAAAACUAAAAUAUAUUCUCAUAUAAGUUAGCACUGUUCAAAAUCGAACCGUAACCGUUAACUCAAUCACAAAAUUAGUUUAUUGGCUAAUUGGUAAUGAGUUAUCGGAUUAAUGGUUGGAGAACGGAUAAUUUUUUUUUAUAAUUAAUGACUUAUUAUUGCAGGGACGGAUUACUCAAUUUUCUUAUCAAGUAAACUGUAACCCAUUAAAAAUUAUUAUAAUUAUAUUUUUACCUCCAGAUAUACAAGUAUCUUUUGUCAAUCCAACAUAUAAAACUUCAUUUAUUAUUCUAUUCAAUUCUUAGUUUAGAAAAUAACAUGCCACUUCUUGUGACAUUUAAUCAUAAAAUACAGUCAGACUCCCUAAAAUGUAAAGAAAAUCUGAAAUUAAUUCUUAAAUGAAAACAUAAAUUAUUCCUGACAACACAAAGGACCGAAUGAAACAACCCAAAUGUGUCCUUCACAAAGUUUGAUAUAAAACAUAAAAAUUCAAAUAAUAUUAAAGUUUUAAUUUUUUUUCUGUCAAUCCAGUAAUUAAAAAUAUUUCUACAUACAUUUUAGGUCUAGAAGAAAAUUCCUAUUUGAUUCGAUAUUUUAACCUAUUAAAUAACUAUACGAACAAAACUCAAGAAACCUAAAAAACUGAUAAAUAGAUCAAUCAUAGUAUACAAACAACUUAGUCGGUGAAGAAACGAAGGAACUACCAAUAAUCGCUCGAUAUUUCAUUCUCUCUUAAAUUUAUCCAUAAUGGAUUAAAGACAUUUUAAUAUUAUUAUAAAAUAGUCUUUUUAAGAUCUUACUUUGUGAAAAAUUAUAAUAUUUAUUAUUUAUUGGCAGUGUGUGGGGUCCAUCCCUUUCUUUAAAAAUUGACAGAAAUUCAAUUUUUGAAUUGUCAAAGUUGGUUAACAAAUUUUUUUGUUAAAAUAAGAGAGUUUAUUAGGUGAAGGGAGGUGUUAAUUUUUUGGGAGCUUUGAACUCAACUCUAGUCCAGAGUUGUUGAGUUAUUGAGAUUAGGUUGUUGUAUUCUGAAGGGGACAAGUCAAAGAGUGUUACUGCUGGAUCGGAGAAACAAUUACCGUCCUUAAAGAGAGCGAGAUAUCCACGCCUCAGCCAUAGAAGAAGAAAUAAUAUUUUUUCUUUAUUCAUUUUGUAAUUUUCAGUUGUAAUCAAUUAUAAUAUUUAUUGUAAUUUUAUUGUAAUUUCACCAACAAUCCAUUACACCAUCCGAUAACCGUCCGUUAAUUGCUAAUCCGAUACCGAACUAACCGUUAUCUUAUUGAAUGGCUAGCGGAUUAAUAUAUUUAAAAACUGAUAUCCAAUAAGCCGAACCGAUAAGCAUAAUUAUCCAACCGAUAAUUAAGCAGCCCUAACAUAAGUCAUAUAAAAGUUUUUAAAAUAAAAGUAAUAAUAAACAAAAUAAAGCAAAAACUAUCAAUGACUAUUGAACAACUCCACGAACCAAGCACAUAUCAUUAGCAAAUAUUAGCCUUCAAUUUUCUCUUCUUAGACUUGGUUGGUUUGUGUAUGUAUAUAAAGAGUUCUAAAUCUAAAAAGAAUGGAAAGAAUUUUUUUAACCAUAAAUUUAUUCUUACCAAAUAUUAUAGGACUCUUACUUUUUAAAAUAUAUUUUUUUUAUCAUAUGUUUAAGGACACUUACAUAAUAAUUAUUGAAAAAAAAUGUGAAAAGACAAUUUUGUUUAAAGCGAAAACUUUUAAUGAAGGGCGAAAAGUUCGAAUCACUUUUAUAAGGGUCUACAUACUUUUAAUAUAUUAUAGAUUAUAGAUAUAAAUAUAGAUUAUAGAUAUAGAUAUAGAUAAUGUUUGUUUGUACACAAGCCUUAUUUUAAAAUUUAUAAUAAUAAUAAUAUAUGUAGUUUCAUAAGUGGUAUAGUAAUAUGUAUAUGUAAUUUUACUCUUAUCUUACGAAGAUAGUGAAAUUAUUUGAGAUGGAACGUCGAUGAAGUAAUCCAUAUAAAAGAUAGUGAAAAAUUCAUGCUGAAAAUAAUAAAUACGGAGUAAUAAGAUAACCGAAAUAAAAAAGUAAUAAGAACGUUAGAAAGUAAAAAAUAAUAAUUAAAGAAUAAGAUAGUAGGAGUAUAAUGAUAAUAAGGGUAACUAGACAACGUUCAAUUACCUACUAAUGUUUUGUCGUAGUAUCAGGUCCUCGAUAAGCUACAAAUGUGUCAUGUUCUCUCUGAUCAGUUCGCUUUAGUAGUAUUUCGCUUAUCCUCUACUUCUCCUCAAAUCAGAGACAAAUUUAAGGGUAAAUUUAGGAGUGUGUGAACCCAUAAUCUCGUCGUAACACUAGGUAUUUUAUGUAUAUAUUUUUGUAAAAAAGGUAUAAUAGCACCCAUACUACAAAAGCUAAUUAGUCCACUUGGUUGAACGUAAGUUGUCUACCUAGAGGUAUACGAAUUAAUUCUCACUUAAUACAUUUUUUUUUUCAUGAUACACUUAUGUUUUACGAAUUCUAAAUUCGUCAUUGCCUCGUCAAUCUCUCACACCGUCUCACUAAAAUAUCUGUAAAUCUUUUCUUCACCGAGUCAUCUCAGUUUUGAUAUAAGUGUUAGCAACGAGAAAAAAAAACAAGUUGUUGACAAUUUGACAUUUUUAAAUUUCAGAAUUUAAAUUCAAGUCGAAUGUCAAAUCGCUUAGAUUCUUAUAAUCAAACAUAAUUUCUGAAACUCAACUCGAAAAAAUAAUAUUUAUGACCAAACGAGUAUCGACGCAAAUGAUGUUUUCCUUAUUUGAAGCCAUCACACAUUGACAUUGACACCUUGGCACUAAGAUCCAAACAAGUCAUGGAGUUCACACUCAAAUGAUUAAAGUGGAUAAAUGUUGGUGGUAAGACUUUGGAUUACUAAUUCACUUUUUUAAUUAAUCAUCCAUUUUCGAAAUUUAUUGACACGAUUAAUACAGUAGGUAAAAAAGAAAAAAUAGUUUGGUGUAUUAAAGAUUUCGCUAUGUACAGGAUUCGGGGAAGAGCCCCACCACAAACCAUGGCAGAGUCAGAAUUUUCAUUGAGGGGGUUCAGAAUAAACACACGGAAGAAUCGAAGGGGGUCAAUAUCUACUAUAUAUACAUAAAAAUAUUUUUGACCAUGUAAAAAUAGGGGGUUCGAAUGAACUCCUUGAAUCCAAGGUGAUUCCACCACUGACCACAAGGGUGUAUUGUACGCAGUCUUAUCUUGCAUUUCUGCCAGAGGCAGUUUCCAAGGCUUGAAAUAUAGCUUCUAUGAUAAUCGAAAUCAUAAAUUAUGGUCGACAAAUAAUACGAGUUGUUAGUACUACCACCUUUAUAAAUUUAAGCUGCUUAAAUCAGAUAUGUUUUUAAAGUUGAAGUUGAAGAAUGAUAAAAAAUUAUACAUAAAUUAAUAUUUGCAUGAAAUCAAUAAAUGUAUGACAUGCGUUUAUACGUAAAAUUUUGGCAUUAAAUUUCAUUAAUUUCAUAGUCAAAAAAGAUACAUUUGGCUUUGAAUUCAAAGUCAAAAAAAGAUUUUGUUUGAAUUCAAAAUGUAAUAGAUGAUUCUAAUGACAUGAUUUUUUUUUUAAUAUUUGUCUGAUUUUCGACUAAUUUGAAUUCAUAUCAAAACUUUUCAUUUUUUAAAUAAAAGUAACUAUACUUUUUAUAGCUCGCACCGUGAAUUAGCUUAAUAAUUAUCAUUUGUAGGAUGAUCUUUAAAAUUUCAAUCACGUAUACUUUACAACGGGGACAUAUUCAAAAUUUUAACUUAAUAAUUUCGAUCUUCAAAAUCUACGAUUCACUCGGUUAUACUAAUACAUUUUUAGCUAAAUAUAUUAUUGAGCUUGACUGAACUCGCUCAUUCUGCCUCACGAAGCCAACUAGGAGCUCGAUCAAGGAGUUCCACUACGCACUCUUUGCCUGAAAACACAUCGUAUAUACUAUAUACAAUGUAAAAUUUAUUUUUUUAUGUACAUAUAUAUAAUAGUAUAUUUUUAAUUUUUGUAGCUUUUAAAUACGUUCACUUUUUUAUAUUUUGAAUUCACUUUGUGAAAAUAAUAGCUUUGUUUCAUUGCAUGGAUUAUUAUUUUUUCAGACUUUAUAGAAAAAAGUUUUUCCAUGCAAAAUAAUAUGUAGUACAAGUGAUGAUAAUUAAUUAAUUAUCCAUCUGAUUUAUUCUUAUUUUAAUUUUGAGAUUUAACUUAAUUACCACGUACUGUUAACUGACUAAACCCACUAAUUACCACUUCUUUCAUCCACUAAUUAAUUAACUACCAUAAUCUAUCUAAUUAAGUUCCAUUAUAAAUACAAAUUAAUACUCGAACAGAAACCUAUUAGCAAAUUAAUUAAUUUCAAAACCUUAUUUUUAAAAUACUUAUUAAGCUUAAAUUAUUCUACCUAGUUAUUAUGGCUACUAAUUAUUUUCGAUUUAACGUGUUCGUCCUCUCUCUUAUUGUUACGUUCAUAUUUGUUUCAACCAUCUUCGUGUCAUCUUUUCAGUAUCGAGUUGGUGGUAAAAUCGGUUGGAUUAAGCCAAUCGGUAACGAAUCCGAGACGUACAACGAAUGGGCUGCUAGAAAUCGAUUUCGUAUCGGAGAUACACUUUGUAAGUUCGUAUAAUUUCUUUUUUUGGCUUAUACUAAAAAUUUCGCGAAUAUAACAUUAUUGGUAAUUUGAGAUUUUCUUUGUAAAUUCGUUGGAAACCAACUUGUAUAAGUACAUUACGUUGAAAAAUUCGUAAAAAAUAUUUACGGUUGCUAGUUUGUAUGUGUAUUGUAUAUUAUACAUAUAUAUUGGAUGUUUUUUCAACUUAUACGAAAAAAUUUCGCGAAUAUAACAUCGCGGGUAAUUUGAGAUUUUCUUCGUAAAUUCGUUGGAAACCAACUUAUAUAAGUACAUUACGUUGAAAAUUCGUAAAAAAUAUUUACAUUCGCUAGUUAGUAUGUGUAUGUGUGUAUUGUAUAUUAUACAUAUAUAUUGGUUGUUUUUUCGACUUUUACUAAGAAUUUCGCAAAUAUCCCAUGAGAUAAUUUGAGAUUUUCUUCGUAAAUUCGUUGGAAACCAACUUCUAUAAGCACAUCAUGUUGAAAAAUUCGUAAAAAAUAGUUACAUUCGCUAGUUAGUAUGUGUAUGUGUGUAUCGUAUAUUAUACAUAUAUAUUGGUUGUUUUUUUGACUUUUACUAAAAAUUUCGCGAAUAUCCCACGAGAUAAUUUGAGAUUUUCAUCGUAAAUUCGUUGGAAACCAAUUGUUGUAAGCACGUUAUGUUGAAAAUUUCGUAAAAAAUAUUUACGGUUGCUAGUUAGUAUGUGUAUAUGUGCAUUGUAUAUUGUAUAUUAUUGGUUAUUUUUUAAAUGAGCGACUAUUUAAGUUCAGUUCCCUUUUGUGCAGAUUUUAAGUACAAAGGUGAUUCAGUACUUGAAGUAACUGUGGCUAAUUAUCUCAAUUGUAACACAACAAGCCCAAUUUCGAAAUAUGAAAAUGGAGAGACAGUUUACAAAUUUAGCCAUUCGGGCUUCUACUAUUUCAUAAGUGGCCACAAAGAUAAAUGCAAAUCUGGCCAGAGAAUUAUUAUUCGCGUAGUGCACGAUUCCGAAAUUUCUUCGCCGGCGUAUGCACCGGAGAUUUCACCCGCUCCGAGUGUAGGUGGUGGCGGUGAUGAUGGAGAUGGUUGGGAUUCGGACUUUUUGGGACCACCGGCUAUUAAUUCUACGACUGCGCUUUCUGUUUUUUCAUAUUUUGUAACUGCCCUUGGGGGUAUUAUGGUUUUUUUCUAUUUGCUCAUGUAGAAAAAAUGAACUAUUGUUUCAUUAUGUUUUAGAUUUAUUUUUAUGUUUUUUGUUUUAGUUGUAAUUUCGAUAUUUUAUUUGAAAAUUAUUGACAUUGUAGUAGUUUGCAUUUGUUUAAUGAUCUUUUUUUUAAUCUAAAUUAAGUUAUUUAGAGCGAUUUUAAUUUAUAUACAAUGUUAAUGUAAAGAAAUAAUCUUUAUAUUAUCGUAUCAUCUUUACUUGUUGAAGUGUAACAUGUUUUAUUUUCAAGAAUGAAAAUCUUAUAUUCUAUAGAGACUUAUAUGUUUAUAAAAUUAAUUGUAAUUAAGUAAAUUGAUUAAUGGUAAUCCAAAAAGAAAAAUAAAUAUACUUUAUUCUUUUUUUAUAUGUUCCAAUCAUAUAGUAAAAGGGAAUGGAAAAAAUAGUUAUUGUAACACCCCGUAUUCAAGUACAUGUAUUGGCGUAUUCAAGUACGUGUAUUGGUCUUAUUUAUAUGAAAUUAAUUUUUUAUUUUAUUUAUACCGGAAUUUGCCCGUCGAUGGUUCCAUACGAAGGUUAUUGAAUAAGCUUUCCAACGAUAUAAAGAUUUCCAAAAACGGAUAAGUUUCGAAUAUAAUCGAGCACGUUCGAAACUAUAAAAUGGUGACCGGGAUAUGGUGAAUAGUAAAUGUGCAAGAAAAUUUCCUGCACACAAACUACUGAGGCCUGCCAGUUUUUUGGAUCAACUUUGAAUGCUCAUAACUCCCUUAAUAUAAUGAACUGGGAGAGCUGCCACCUAUGAAAAGAAAGAUCUUUGAGUCUUCUUUCCAAUGCAAUUGGUUUCAUCCAAAUCCGACAUCUGAGUAAUGAGUUAUACUCGUUUUACUUCAGCCUCUCAAAACAGAUUUUUAGGGUCAACUUCAAACGAUCAUAACUCCUUGUACAGGACAAAUUGGGUGGCCUACUUUAUAUGAAAUGAAACCCAAAUCCGAUAUCGGAGCAAAGAGUUAUGGCCGAUUUACUUUAGCCUAUCAAAACAGUCCACCAUGGACAGAUUCGGAUUUACUUAAAUUUUUAAGGGCAAUAUGGUCAUUUUCCAUCACCUCUUGAACGAAAAUUGGUCAUUAUAUACAUAUACUUAGCCUCAUAUCCAUUAUUUAUCAUCCAUUAUUGAAAACUAAGAAACCCUAGCCAAAUUUCAACUCCAAUUAUCUUGUGAUUCAACCGUAGAAAAUCCAAAUUGAUUCCGUAGUUGUGUUCACCGUCUCAAGGGCUUCGAGAAGCACCCCUUAUUUGUGCCAACAGGACUUCGAAAUCAAAAGGGCCAUUUUUUUUGGUAAGGAUGUAAAUUAUGUUGGUGUUAUUUAUAUGGAUAUGUAUAUAUAUAUAUAUAUGCAUGUGAGCAUAAGAAGUAUGUUAUUUGAUUGUUGUUGAAAGAUGAUUGGAAAUGAUGUUGGAUUAUUCUUGUGCAUGGUUGGAUUAUGUUAAAUUGUGAAGGAAUUUGGGGUGAUGAUGUGGUAUUGAUGAUGUGGUAUUGAGAUGAUGAUUAUAUACAUAUACACACAUAAACCUAUUGUUCAAGUUGGUUUUUGGAAUGUUUUGCAAAUAUUGGUAGUAUGGAAUUAUGGAAGAGAAUUGUGGUGUUGGGUUGCUAAUACUAGAUGCCAAACAUUUCAUUGUAGAUAAGUGAUUUGUAAAGGCGGGAAGUUGUGUUGAAUUGGUAGCUGAAUCUACAACGAGGUAUGUAAAGCAUACUCUAACAAUGUUCUUUGGCAUGAAAACACCAAUGUUCCAUCAAGUAAGAUUCCGAGGUUGUCCAAAAACAUGUAUUGUUCUACGUUACCAACGAAGUUGUUUCCAUUCUAUAAAGUGUCAAAAUGUUUCAUUGAUAUACCAAAAGGCUCUUAUUUCAUUGUUGUGAUAUUGAUGAUUCUGAAACACAUUGUUGAUGUACCAAUGAGUCUUUAUUACAUCGUUAUUGUAUAGAAGGUCUAUUACUUGGUUCCUAUUGAUGUAUCAUUGUUUCAAAGUAUCAAAAAUGUGGUGGCGACCGAAAUAACAAUCUCAAAGAUUAAUUGAACUAAGUGAUGAAAGUUCUCUCUUAUCGGGUGGUAUCCCAGGGGCAUAAGCCUAGCAUGGGUCGAUCCCUAUUUCAUGUGUUUAUGGGUGGUAUCCCAGGGGCAUAAGCCUAGCAUGGGUCGAUCCCAGUUGAUAUGUACUGGAGGCAUCCUAAUGGUCACAGUACAGUACAGUAAUGAUUACAAAGACGAUAAGAACGAAGGUAAAGUGAUUGAAUAAAUACAAUGUACAGGUUGUCACAAGUUCUAGUAAGUGUGGUCCACUCCUAUUACGACUUAUUCACUUGUUUCCGAUUUCUAUUGAGCUCCUAUAUCAUAUGUGAUUAUUUACAGCUUUACAUACUCAGUACAUAUUUCGUACUGACGUCCCUCACGGGGGACCUGCAUUUCAUGCUGCAGGCACAGGUACCUCAACUCAUACACCGCACAAGUAGGAGCCAGGUCAUACAGCUAUUGUUGGUGAGCUCCAGUUUGCUUCGGAGCUUUCCGAGUUGGUCCCGUAUGUUUUGUUAUUGUACAGGAGUCAUAUGUGGGCGGGGGUUUGUCCCGACCCUAGUUAUGUCAUGUAUAUCCUAGAGGCUUUGUAGACAUAAGGAAGGGUAAAGUCAUGGAAGUUUAUAUAGUAACGUUAUAUUUGUAUAUGUGGUGGCCCCGACGGCCAAGUAUUAUAUAUAUAUAUUUCUGUGUGUGUUGUGCUGAUACAGGUAAUUAGACCCUUCUAUAUACAACGAAGUGCUGUCCAAAUUUUUGGUGACAUAUAAGUGAAAGUACAGGUAUUUGAACGGGUUCUCCCGGGCCUUCUCGGCUUCGGAUGCCAGUCCGGCCCAUGGGAUUUUGGGGCGUGACAGUUAUGAAGAUGGAAAUUAACAAAAUGAAUAUCAUUACAUUUAGAGUAAAGAAUUAAAAACACAUCUAAAUAUUAUCUUUGGAUAGUAAGAAGAAAAUAUUUCAAUAACAUUGUGUUCUUUUUAACAUCUCAAAAUGUUUACAACAUUGUAUUUUUGUUUUGUCAUAUAUUACACUAUCGUACGUAUUUUGGGUACCUAGGGUAAGCUACGUGGGUCAUGUCUGCGAGAAGUAGUUGGUGUAGGGUAUGUGGGGGGCUAUGUAGUAGUAUUACGAGGUCUUCGUCUGGUUGCAUUCUUCCGAAUUUCGCAAGGUAAUCCGCGCAGUUGUUUCCUUACCUUAGGGUAUGCAUCAUGCCGUUUCCGAGCUCGGAUAGUAGUCGUCGACACUCCUCUAUCAUGGCGCGAACCGGGUGGCUGUCGACUGUGUCUCUCCCCCGCUUAGUAGCAUCAAGGCAUUACUCGAGUCGGUCUCGAUGAUGACCUUCUUCAUUCAUGUUGUACCUCUUCACUAGGCUCAAGCCGCUAUGUAUGACCCACAAUUCUGCAGUCAGACUCUCAACGGUGGCUCAAGGAUGAAGCUAGUAAAACGCCCCCAAAAUCAAGACCUCAAAAAAUUUUAAUUGUUAAUUUUAUAAUUUAAUUUUCUUUUUGACAAUAGUGAAUAUAUAAUAAAGAAUAAAAAAAACUAUCAUCAUUCAUUAGAAAUAUUUUUAAAUUUUGAAUUAAACUACCCAAAUUCUGAGGUAUUAUUUUUAUGCUUUCCCCAAUAAAUAAUAUGUUUACAAUAACAUCUAAGGUAAUUAUUGAAACGCAUGGUUUAACCUUUUAUUAAUUUGGAUCCAUCUUUACUAUUAUAAACGAUAAUAUUGUUAUGUGAAAUAUAAUACUACUCUAAAUUCAAGUUUGAAGAUUCUUGUAAACUAAAACGCAUUUUGUAUGAUUUUGGUGGCAACUAAGAUUUCAUUUUUUAAUUUUAGUUGUUACUGUAUUAUUUUUAUUUUAUGAGUAUUUUUUUAUUGGUUAAACUGAAACCAAACUGUUAAGCACCAAAAAUCGAUAAAUCGAAAAUCGAUAAGAAAAUAUCUUAUUGGUUAGUUAUUGAUUAUUGGUUUUGUAUAUUUAAAAAUUAAAAACCAAUAAAUUAAAUUAAUAACACAUAAAAUCGAACCGAAUCGAUGGAUGCUCACCCUAAUCACUGGGCCUCCGAAUUUUCUUCUUUCUCCUCUUUUAUCUUCCCUACUCAAAAGCCCCAAUUUUUCCAUUGAAGUAAAUGUACAGCACCUAAGGCAAGGUGUACAACAGUUAAGGUAAGGCGUUAUCCCUUUCCUCCUUCGUUAAAGCUCUUAUUUUGUUGCUUGUGAAGUCAAUACCAAUAUUAUUGAGGCCUCACAUUAAAAUUUGGUUUUAGCCUAGCCGACGAGUCCAUAUUAAGGUUCGAAUUUUCUUCUUCCUUCUCCUCUUUUAUCUUCCCUACUCAAAAGCCCCAAUUUUCCCCGCUCUUAUUUUGUUGCUUGUGAAUUCAAUAGCAAUCUCGAAAUGACCAAGGCCUCACAUUAAAAUUUGGCUUUAACCUAGCCGACGGUUCCAAGGUUCGAAUUCUUCUUCUUCUUUCUCCUCUUUUAUCUUCCCUACUCAAAGGCCCCAAUUUUUCCUGCUCUUAUCUUGUUGCUUGUGAAUUCAAUAGCAUUUCCAAAAUGACCACAAUAAUGAGAAGAAACCAAUCCUCUUUAAAAACAAUCCUAAAAGAUCAAUUUUUUAAUACAAUCCUUAAACCCUACAAAAACCCUAAGGUAAUUAACCAAAAACCCUUUUCCACCAAUUCCUCGAAAUUCCCAGAAUACGAAAUGCCAACAGUAACAUGGGGAGUAAUCCAAGGGCGCAAAGAGAAGUUGGUGUCACGUGUCAUAAUCUCUGAUUACUUGAAAACUAUAGGAAUAAUCCCUGAUGAAUUAGAGGAAUUAGAAUUGCCCUCCGCUGUUGAAAUUAUGCGCGAACGUGUUGAAUUCUUGCAGAAAAUUGGUCUAACGAUUGAUGAUAUGAAUGAAUAUCCUCUAAUGCUUGGUUGUAGUGUUAGGAAAAAUAUUAUUCCUGUUUUGUCAUAUUUGGAGAAGAUUGGGAUUCAAAGGUCUAAGCUUGGUGAGUUUGUUAAGAAUUAUCCUCAGUGUUUACAUGCUAGUGUCGUCGUGGAGCUUGUUCCCGUUAUUAAGUUUUUACGAGGUCUUGAUGUUGAGAAACAGGAUAUUGGGUAUGUCUUGAUGAAGUAUCCGGAGUUGUUAGGGUUUAAACUUGAGGGAACGAUGAGUACUUCAGUUGCUUAUUUGGUUAGUAUAGGGGUUAAUCCGAGGGAUGUAGGGCCGAUGGUAACACAAUAUCCAUAUUUUCUUGGAAUGAGAGUUGGGACGAUGAUUAAACCAUUGGUGGAUUAUUUGGUUUCGCUGGGUUUGCCGAAGAAAAUAUUGGCGAGAAUGUUGGAGAAGCGAGCAUAUUUACUUGGUUAUGAUCUUGAAGAGACGGUGAAGCCAAAUGUAAAUUGCUUACUUAGUUUUGGACUUAGGAAGGACAGUUUGCCUUGUGUUAUUGCACAAUUUCCACAGAUUCUUGGUUUGCCUUUGAAAGCUAAGCUGUCGUCGCAACAGUAUUUCUUUAACUUAAAGCUCAAGAUUGAUCCUGAUGGUUUUGCCCAAGUAAUCGAGAAGAUGCCACAAAUUGUUAGCCUACACCAGCAUGUGAUCAUGAAACCUGUCGAGUUCCUUCUUGGACGGGGAUUUUCCACGGCUGAUGUGGCAAAGAUGAUCGUAAAAUGUCCUCAGUUAGUUGCUUUGCAAGUUGGUCUCAUGAAAAAUAGUUAUUACUUUUUCAAGAGUGAUAUGGACAGGCCAAUGUCCGAGCUUUUGGACUUUCCGGACUACUUCACAUAUAGCUUGGAAUCUAGAAUCAAACCCAGGUACCAACGGUUGCAGAGCAAGGGAAUCCGAUGUUCUUUGGCUUGGUUUCUCAACUGUAGUGAUCAAAGAUUUGAAGAGAGAUUAUAUGGUGAUUACAUAGAGCCCGAAAGUUCUGGUCCGUCAUUUUGUAUGGGUGGGAAACUAGUGCUACCAGGCAAUGAGAUUGUAUCAGAAGAGGAAGACGACAGUGAUGAUGAUGAAAUGCUAUAUAGACGCACUGUCUCUUUGUAGUCGACUUUGUAACAUUCGUCAAUUCGGUAUAAAUGCUAAUAUCUUUAAUUUUAGUUGAAUUCUUUUGUUGUUAUCUUCAUUGUCUUAUGUCCUUGUUUGCUGCUUUUCUUCCAUCAUGAUAAACUUUCUGCACAAUCCGCACCGUAGCAUAUGCCGUUGAACACAAAAUAUUAUUAUUUUUUUCCAUGGGAUUUGUUUCAGAUUUAAAUUCAAUGAAAAACAACAGUUUCUUUCUUAAGUUGCUCGAACUCUUCAAAUAUGUCUAUGGGUGCGUGUCGGAUCCUCCAAAAAUAGUUUAUUUUUGAAGGAUCCGACACGGGUGCGGCAACAAUUUUGGAGAGGCCGAGCAACUUAGGUUUCUUUUGUAUAAUUAUCCUCUCACUAUGAAUCAUUCCUGAUAAUGCUCUGAACAACUUCGAGUUCGACAUGUUCAGUGUCCGCUGUGGAAAUAGUAGACAUUUUCUGUAUUGAUGUUAAGUAGGGCAAUAUUUAUCUUGAUGCUGCCAUGUGACCAGGAGGUCAUGGGUUCAAGCCUUGGAAACAGCCUCUGACAGAAAUGCAAGGUAAGGCUGCGUACGAUACACCCUUGUGGUGGGGGCCCUUUCCCGGACACCGCGCAUAGCGGUAGCUUUAGUUCAUCGGGCUGCCGCCCUUGAGACCUGUUCAAUGGCUGCAUGGAUGUUUGAGAUCCAGUGAGAUUGACAAGGUAUGGCCAGCCAGCAUCUCAUGGUUACAGGUUUGAAUCUUUUUGGUAUGCUUAAAAUGCUAGUGAUGGUAAAUAUUUGUGUUAUGGACUCAAAUCGGGAGCUAUUUUCGCGUGCUUAACAUUAGUACCGCGUUGAGAUCAUUGCUUAAAGGUCUUGCACGGGUUGGCCUUUUCACCAAGCUUAUAGUUUUUUUUGUCGUAAUAGUUCAGUAGCUACAUUGUAUGCGAACUUCAUAUUUUUUUGUUAUGUGGACUGUUUAUGAACAUUAUAAGUACUUGUGCUAGUUGGUAUGCUUAAAUUGCUAGUGAUGGUAAAUGUGUGUUAUGGACCAACAUGGGUUGUCGUGCAGCGGAUGGGGCUGCCACCCUUAACCAGAAGUCGAGGGUUCGAGGGUUCGACGCUGGACAUGGAGAAAACUUUGUUGGGAGCGCUACCCCCGAAUGAGGUCCUACCCGGCGCGAAUCCGGAUUAGUCGGGCUCCAAUGCGGGUACUGGAUACUGGAUGGGAAACCAAAAAAAAAAAUGUGUGUUAUGGUAAAUAUGCUUAAAAUGCUAGAAACUUAAGUUUAUUCUGUAAAAUAAAAAUUGACAAAUUGUCUAAAGGAUCUGUAUUUUGUAAGAACUGUAGUAAUUGGAAGUUUAUAGUAUGUUUUAACCAUUCUUUUGUGAGUACAGUAUUAUUGUAUUGUGGUGGUAGUGGUGGCGUAUUCGGGAGAAGGUGUGAGUUGCCUCGGUGGAGUACAAGAUGCGAGAAGUGAGGUUACGUUGGUUCAAGCACGUGAUGAGGAGGGACUCUGAUGCUCCAGUGCAGAGGCGUGAGACACUGGCUAUGCAUGGUUUUAGGCGGGGAAGAGGUAGACCGAAGAAAUAUUGGACGGAGGUGAUUAGGCAUGAUAUAGAGCAGUUACAACUUACGGAGCACAUGACCCUUGAUAGGAAGGUGUGGAGGAUGCGGAUUAUGGUAGAGGGUUAGAGAGUGGGAGUGCGUCGGUAAUAAUAAGGGAGCGCUCCUUUGUGUCUGGAGUUUCUUGUUCGUGGUUUUGUGGCUGUAGUAUUAGCUUGUGGCUAGCGGUGUUAGUUUAUUUUUGUAUACCGUACUAGUUUAUAUGCACUUAUCUUUUGUGUUUGUUAUACUGUUUGUUUGUUUUGCGUACCAUACUAGUUUAUAUGCACUUAUCUUUUGUGUUUGUUUUACUGUUAUCGGUCCUAAGCCAGGGGUCUUAUCGGAAACCACCUCUCUACUUCUCCUGAGGUAGUGGUAUGGUCUGUAUACACUCUACCCACCCCAGACCUCACAAGGUAGGAAUACGCUGGAUAUGCUGUUGUGGUGGUGGUGGUGGCGUAUGCACCGGAGAUUUCACCGGCUCCGGGUGUAGGUGGUGGAGGCGAUGGCAGAGAUGGUUGGGGUUCGGACUUUUUGGGACCACCGGGGGUUAAUUCUACGACAGCUCUUUCUGUUUUUUCGUAUUUUGUUACUGCCCUUGGGGUAUUAUGGUCUUUUUCUAUUUACUCAUGUAGAAGAAUAAACUAUUAUUUUAUUAUGUUUUAGAUUUAUUUUUAUGUUUUUUUUUUUUUUUCAGUUUGUUUUAGUUGUAAUUUUGAUAUUUAAUUUGAAAUUUAUCGACAUUGUAGUAGUUUGAAUUUGUUUAAUGUUGUGCACUUUUGAUAUCAUCCUUUUUUUAUUAUCGAAACUAAGUUAUUUAGCGCGAUUUUAGUUUAUAUACAACGUUAGUGUAAAGAAAUAAUUUUUAUAUUAGCGUAUCAUCUUUACUUAGUAACGUGUAACAUGUUUUAUUUUCAAGAACGAAAAUCAUAUAUUUUAUAGAGACUUAUAUGUUUAUAAAUUAAUUGUAAUUAAGUAAAUCGAUUAAUAGUAAUUAAUAAAGUUGUUAAUUUCUCUUUUAUAUUUUCCAAGGGAAUGGAAAAAUAGGUACGAAAAAGGAAAUUAACAAAAUGAAUAUCAUUACAUUUAGAGUAAAGUAUUAAAAACACGCCUAAAUAUUAUCUUCGGAUAGUAAGAAGAAAAUAUUUCAAUAACAUUGUGUUCUUUUUAACAUCUCCGGACAUUUUGUCAUAUAUUACACUAUCGUACGUGUUUUGGGUACCUAGGGUAUGCAACGCGGGCCAUGUCCGCGAGAAGUAGUUGGUGUUGGGAAUGUGGGGGGCGAUGUAGUAUUACGAGGUCUUCGUCUGGUUGCAUUCUUCCGAGUUUCGUCCGUGCAGUUGUUUCCUUGCCUUAGGGUAUGCAUCAUGGCGAUCCCGAGCUCGGAUAGCAGUCGCCAACACUCCUCUAUCACGACUCGAUCGGGGUGACUGUCAACUGCACUUCUCACGCUCAGCAGCAUCAAUGCAUCACUCGAGUCGGUCUCUAUGAUCACCUUUUUCAUGUUGUACUUCUUCGCCAGACUCAACCCGCUCCGCCGUGAGACUCGACGUCGCUACAAAACCUAAUCGGCCACAAAAACCGCCUAACCAUCUACCCUGAUCAUCCCUUGCUACACCACCAAACCCUGCAAGCCCUGAAUUCGGCAUGAAGCUCCCGUCCGUGUUGAUCUUGAUGCAGCCGGUCGGGGGGAACGACCAACUAAUAUAUCCACAGGCGCAUCGCUCUGUCGGGGCGUUGGUCGAACGCGACAGACUUCGGCACGAUUUUUGAUAAUAGGGAAAUGAUAACUACUUAGCCUAAUUGAAAUUAUUGGAACGUAGAUUGCCAUUCUUGAAUAUAAUUAAGUUGUAAUAGUGACUUAUUUAUACAACUAUAAUUUAAAUCCUUUUCCCAUACAACUUAGGAUUAUAAUUUUCCGAUUUAGGAUAAUGUUUAAUAGUUUUUUGCUCUAUUUUGCUACCAAAUUUGAUUUUUACUUUACUUUGAAGCAAAGUUAAAGAAAUACUAUAAUUACUUUUUACUUUUUCUACAAGUAAAAUAUAAAUUUUUUCAUAUUUAGCUAACCUAUUUCUUGAACGAAAAGCUUCGUACUUUUAUUCAUUGAGUUGGCACACCCAUUAAGAAGCGCACUGCAGGGCCCAUUCUUGGGAUGACGCUCCCAACAAGAUUUCCUUUAUACCCAGGGCCGGACCCAAAACCUCUGAUUGUUCGUGGUACCCUACUAAAUGAUAUUUACAUCGUAUCUUGAAAUUAAUUUGAAAAAAAAAAAAAGCAAUUAAUGUUGAGGAUAAAAAAGGAAAAAAGAAGUUUUCUCUGGAUAUGUCAAAAAUGACGAGUAAAAGUAAAAAUACAAUUAGGAAAUUAAUGACAAGUAAAAGGAACAUAAUACCUGAGUUGCUCGGACUCUUCACUUUUGAUGCCGCACCCGCGUCGAAUUCUCCAAAAAUAUACUACUUUUAGCGAAUCCGACACACACCCGCUGACAUUUUUGAAGCGUCCCGAGCAACAUGGAGUAAUACAUAUGUUCCCGCAAAACUCAAUCCAGACAUAUUUAUUAAAUUAUUAAUACCGUCAACCAAACGCAGGAUAAAUGCAUCACUCAAUCAGGGCAUACUAAUACCGUCCACCAAACGCAGGAUAAAUGCAUAACUCAAUCAGGGCAUACUAAUACCGUCAACCAAACAUGGCAUACACAGAAACUUUUAACCUCCCACUUGAAAAUUGCAGCAAAGAGAUAACAAUGUACAAAGUACCAAAAUCUGUAUACACAAAUACUUCGCCCGAGGUCAGGAGAUCGGUCAGGAGCCCAGCCAGGUGGCGGGCGUGGUCAACACAAAAUAUACUACUACUCAGAUCAACAAACCCGAAAAUCCAACCGACCCCACGACAAAUUUUACCUCGGGGAAAAGAAAAGGUAUUCCAUCAGGCGUAAUCGCGUGUUAUUCUUGAAAAGAUCAUUUACAGGUCAUAAGCAUGGAGUUGAUAACAUGCAUGAGCAGACGAAUGCUUGAAAUUUCAGCGGGGGUCGUGGUGGGGAGACUCCGAUGAUGGUUUAGGAUUUGAUAUACUUGCUCAAAGAUAGGCCGCACGUGCACUGCAAUCAUCGGGUCAGUUGGAUUUAUCGCUGAUAGAACAUCCCUCAUCCAGGAUAACUUUCGGGUUGUCUCCUUGGUGAUAUCACAAGCCACCUGCUGAAGAAGUGAAAGAAGUACUCCUUGACUCAACGGGAGAGGAUUCAUCGAUAAGAUAACCGGUAGAUCAACCUGGAAGAAGGCAUAGGGAAAUCGUUAAGAUGGAUCGAAAACAAAAAAUUUUACUUCAAGAAAUGCAGCAAAAAGUGUGGCCUUGUCGCGAAUGAUGCAGGAAACGCCUUGGGAGGCCAAGGUUCAAAUAUUAACAGUGACUAUAGUUAGGUUGCUCGGACUCUUAGAAAAUGAUGCCGUGGGUGUCUCGGAUCCUCCAAACGUAAUGAAAUUUUUUAGGAUCCGACACACUCCCGGCAUCAUUUUCAAAGAGUUCGAGAAACAUAGGUUCACAAAACAAACUAGGUGAUUUCUUCAACGAUGGCGCUUGGUAACAGAUACCAACUUGUAUAUAGCUAAGAUUGUCAAAUGCAGUAAACUAGGAAAUCAACAACAUUACACCCUGAGUUGCUUGAACUCUUCACUUUUGAUGCCGCACCCGUAUUGGAUUCUCCAAAAAUACACUAAUUUUGGUGAAUCCGACAUGCACCCACUGACAUUUUUGAAGAGUCUGAGCAACAUUGAUUACACCCAUGUAAUCCCACAAGUAGGGUCUGGGGAGGGUUGUGUGUAGUUGACCUUACCCCUAUCUCGUAGAGGUAGAGAGGCUGUCUCCGAUAGACCGUCAGCAAACUAGGAAAUCAAGAUUCGCCAAAAUUUGAAAUGAUCUAUUUAGAUACAAGAACCUUCUAAUUGAUAAGGUUAGUUAUUCGUCGAUUUGCAUUUUCCAACUUCAUCGUUUGGAUGGUUUGGAAGUUUAUCCUUCUACCAACUCGAAAGAUAAGAGGUGAAACAUUUGCCCGGUAGCAGUCCUAAACAACCCGAUAUCUUAGCCCUAUCCAUAAACAAGUGAUAUGAGCAAACAGUAUACCUGCAAACAUAACCACGAUACAAUAGACACAUCGCUUCUUUGCAAGGCUGCAGUGAACGCCUCCUCAUACUUGCGCUCCACUAACAAUCUAGAUAACUCCUUGGUUGGAUCAGCCGGAGCCUCAAGCUAUUAUAGAAUAAGAAAGGACUUAAGUCUAUAAGCAGAAUAUAAAUAGCUAUCAAUUAUACUAUCGAGAAAGAAGUAAUUUAAGGGAAUAGAAAGAACCUUCUCAUGCAGUAAUGGUCCAUUACUCAUGUGGCUAACCAAUGGAUUCAAUGACUUGGAAUUUGCUCCCGAAACUGCAAGCGUAAGCAACUUCUUUUGACCAUCAGCUAGCUCUCCACUCAAUGUUUGAGUCAUCGAUGAUGCGGAAUUGAUGGCAUCCUGAAAAUUAACUCAAGUGAGUUCUUUUUAAAAGCACGAAUUCCAAAGAGAGUAUAAACUCGGCCAUUAUCGAUGAUAACAAAUAUAUCCAAGAAAAAAUAACAUUUUUCAAGUAAAAUCUCUUUUUACGAGUAACUACAGCUUUCAAAUUUGAGAUGGAAGUAAUAACCAAAAGAAGAAUACCACACACAAUCUCAUGAAAUCUAUACUAAAAGAUUUUGUCACUCAUAAAUAAGAUCGGCAUGUAUUACCCAGUAACCUUGAAAAUAAUAACACAAAUUCCGAUCCAACACACGCUUACUGCUUAAGUUCCUCUAAUAAAUAGUCAAGUGAUUACCCCCCACCUCGUCCCAAACCCAAGAAUGCCCUCGGAGACAGUGAGGAAUGUUCAUCGUGAUGCCAAGUUCAUGUAUUCAACAAAGCAUAUGCAAACCCGCUUCUAGACUCUUCCAUAGAGAAUAGAAAUAUUCAACUCUGCUCUGCAAUUAAAUAUUUAAUUACAAUGAUAAACGUUGACGAUUGCUCUCUAUUAAGUAGUGAUGUGGAAGCAUGAACACCAAUUUGUUAAAAAAGCAUGAACAUCGACUUAUUUAUCAAACAGAUACACACGUGUACCCAAGCUUCAAAUAGAUUCCAUCAUUCCAUUUUGACUUCUUUAAUAAGAAACCUAUACCCCCUCCUCUAUUACACUUUGUUUGACUCGACACAAAGUGUAACAAAGAAAGAAGACUUUAAAAACUUGCGGUCUUAAGCAUGUCAUAAAAUUUGUGUAGCUAUAACUAUAACAGCUUGUUAAUUAGGAAUUAUAGAGAUGUGUCAAUUCUGUUUGGAAUGGACUAAUAAGGAAAGUGCCAAACAAAAUGGAAUCGAGGGAGUAGAAAGGAUGGUCUGAUAGGAAGGAAUAAGAAAGUAGAUAUAUAUAUAUACAACAACAACAACAACAAACCCAGUGUAUUCCCACAAAGUGGGGCCGUACUGCUACCUCACAUCCAUCCAUCCAUCCAUUCAUGCAUACAUACAUAUAUAUAUAUAUACAUAGAAAGAAAAUUAUACACAGGGCGUGGAAGGAGUACAUCAUUGGCUACUAAUAACUCUCCAUUCCAGAGCAUAACAUAAGUUAGAUAUGUUAAAAAGGGAAGGUACUGUCCUACCCGAAAUUAGCAAGAGAACAGAAGGGUAAACAGUAAAUCAUACUAAAAAUCACAGUUCAUAAGUCAUACCCGUAAAGCAUGUACUAACGGUGAAUGCAUGGACUCAAAUUGCUGUAGAGCAGAAGUAGUGUGUUCAGCAAAUCCUUUCUGAAACGUUGAAUCUACUUGCUCAAACAUAGCCUUGCAUGACAUCUCAAAGGCAGGGAUCACCGAACCUUCCAUUGUAGAUUUCAAAGUUUCCUGCAGGACACAUAGAAUGUCAUUGAGUAUAGAGCGUCCAACAUUAAUUUGUAAACUGACGCGUCCUGCAAAAGAAGCACAACGAAGACAGCAGGAAAGAAAAAUAGCAGGUUGAGAUGUUCAGGACAUAAAUUCAAAGAUCUAGCAAUCUAGCAUUGCGGGGGAGCCACAAAAUAUAAGUGAAUAGACAAGGUUGAGGAAAUGUCUUUGUUUCCACAUUGAGUGGCAUUAACUAAAUAAAGAAUUGUCUACUCACGCUCACCUGAAGAGCUUGCUUGCCAGAGAUCUGGAAUUGCGACUGAAUUUGCCUAGCGACGGAAGCUUCAAGUUUGGAGCUAACCGUUUUCUCCAGUUGGUUCACUGCCUUGUCACUAACUCCUUUCUGCACCAUGCAUGUUCCGUCAUUGACAAACAAAUUCAAUUUUUUUUAAAGGCCAGAUUUUCAUUAUAUUAACCUGGAAGGCUUCUGAAAGAGCAGUUGAUACAGCUUUCUCAAUGGCAGGGACAAUACUGCGUGUGACGGCUUGUCCAACAGCUGCUAGUUCUUUCUUCAUUACUUUUUCUAUUAGCCCCGGCAUGUCCUUGUUAAAGCAGUUAGAUAUCAAAUUGCUUAUUUGUUGAGUACGAUCACGAAGUAAUUUCUCUUGUUUUGCACCCUCUUCUUGAAAACGGGCCAAUAAAGCAUCAGAAUUGGCCUUGACAGCCUUCUCCAUGCUCCGUCCCAAGGCAGCCUCAAGUCUUCUUCCUUCUUUGGUAACUGGAACAGCAACCAUCAUACCUAUCUGCUUUUGCGUUUCUUUUUGCAUAUUAAGAACCUAAGAAGACACGGCAUUGAGAGAAAAUGGAAACAAGAACAGAAUAUAAGAAAAACAACAUGAUAAUGUACGUAAGAUGAUAAACUGCAGAAUAGCAAUUUCCAGCACGCUUUAAUGUUUCAUCAAUGCAAGACAAAAAAUGGUUGGACAAACAGUCCUCCCAUAUAAUAAAUAUAUAUUUAGAAUCAGCUUCCACCACUUGAAAAGUUUGAAUAUUCCAAGAAGAGAAUUCUCUGAAAGUAGUUUCACAAACCAUUGGAUGUGAAAGAGACCUAGAUGAUGGAACUUGACUGAAAUAAUGCAAUAAAUUUCAGAAGGGAUUUUCUUUGAUAACGGAGAAAUCCCCCAAGGAAUAAUGGCGCACGGUGUAGUCCCACAAGUGGGGUCUGGGGAGGUAGGAUGUACUCAGAUCUUACCCUACCUUUGUGGGGUUAGGCAGGCUGUUUCCAAAAGAGCCUCGGCUCAAAGGAGAAGCUUUUGACGCAGCGAACAUAUGAUAGCAAAAUAACAAGAUACAAAGUAAAUGUAACAGCAGAUAGCAUUACACAUUGGAGAAUAAGUAACUAAGCAAUUACUAACUACUACUACUAAUAGGAGGAGAGAAGAUGGAACUCCACUAAAAGCAUCAUAAAUUAAAACAAUAACAAGAAUAUUAAGACAAUUACAACAACAACAACAAACCCAGCGUAUUCCCACAUAGAAUAUUAAGACAAUUAAAGUUUUACAUAUUCAUGUACACAGUCCCUUGAGUCAAAGAAGGCACCUGAUUUAGCUUCUCAUGCAUGGACAAAAUUUGUGAGACUGCAGCUUCCAUAGAGGCAUUACUUGCGCUGACACCACCCUCAUUGGAAUCAGAUGAGUUGAAAUCACCAGGUGAGGAUAAAGCUGGUUCAAAUCCUUGAGUGUUCUUUGCCUUUUGUUUUUUUGCUUUGGCACUAUAAGGUGGAGGUUGAUGAGCAGAAACUUGCAGACUUGAGUCUAAAUUCUUUCCAGAGAUCUCCUUCGCAGAGUCACGAUCUUCUUCAGGGGCAGUUGAUGUUUGGGUCAGCUGCUCAGUUUCAGAAGCCCCAUCAAGCUGCCUAGAUUCCUGGAUAAUAUAGGUUUUAGGCGAUAAGGCACGACAUUCUCGAGCCAUUUCUCUUCCGAGAUCAGAUGCCUGAGAGCAAAAGGGUUUCCCCUUGUUUUCUGACACAAAAGGAUGAAGGUCUUCUUGAGAGCCAAUAUCAGUUUUUUGACUGAAUCUUGUUUCACCAACAACCUUAACCUCCACCUCCACAUUGCUGGUUUCCUUGUUGAUUACAACAUCUUGGAUACUCGAUUCUCCCUCACUUUUAUGCUCAUUAACAUGGUUUACCUCAGAGGACGAGUUAGCCAACAAUAUCUCCGAAGGAGUCACCAGAUGAGUAGGGUGCUUGAAUUUAAUUGGAUUACUAAUACCCGAAGAACCAUCAUCACGUGUCACUUCAUCUUCAUUAUUCAUUGGGUCACCAUCCGACGAAGUAAGGCCAGUCAAGUUUGGAUGAAUGGCAUCCAUUUGCCUGUCAACUGAAUAUUCAACAGCCUUAGGAUCCCCAAAAUGGUCACUGACAGAGGGACCAGGCUCAGAGCUGUUUGAUAUGCUUCUGAAACCAGAAAGUUUUUUAGCCAACUCGGGACUCAAAGGUGGUGGUGGUGAUGCAAAGGGAGCAAUAUCAGUAUCAGUAGUUAUACUGGGUAAACUAGCUGAUUUAGAUUCCGUGACUGAAGAAGCAAAUUCCACAGAGGUGACCGAUGCAGUAUGUGCAUCAGUCGUAGAAGGUCUAGUUGAUGCUACAAGCUCUGUGCCACUCUCAUGCACUAAAGAUUUGGGUGCAGAACUAGUUAAAGGAAACUCCAUUAGUUUACUACCAGGAGGAUCAACAGGAAGAUAUCCUUCAAUACUAGCAGCAUCACGUGAAACAUUAGACUCUGUCCUUUCGAAACCCACAGCAUUCUCCAUGGGAGGUGGCACGCAUUGGGAUAAGUCCAAAGCAUACUGCUGAAUAGCCUGCGUCUGUACACAGUACACCUGAACAAUCUGUUCACCAUGAGGCAGUAAAUCACUUGUUCCAGUGAAACUCAAAAUUGGCAUUGUAACUGUAAAUUCAGCUAUGUAAUCCAUACGGGUUGCCAUUGGGUUCAGACCAUACUCUAGAUGAACAACAUAUAUGGCAUUCUUUUUUGCAUUCGCUAGUACGAGCAGACCUGCUUGAGACAAGGCUGCAGCUUGGUUAAAGAAUGUCUCUUCAGCACGAGCUUCAGCAGAACUCUUUAACUCCAAUGUUUGUAUACAGUGCCAUGAUUCAGCAUCACUAGGAAGCAACCAGCCUUCUUCACUUGCUGAUACCCAUAUCUUCAUUUCCCGAUUAAGUAAACCCUGUAUACUUUGACUGGUUACAUGUGAAGAACUAAACGCUAGAAACAGCCAAGACAUAAACUUAUACAGAAAAAUAAAAUAAAAUCAAGACCAACUACUCUCCUAAAGCAUGAUCCCUUUAGAAAAACACAGUUAUUCCUCAAAGUAGACAUCUGAUUCCAUCAAAAGAUGCUUGCUACAAACUAUAUUAUCACAUACCCCAGUGAUGAGUAUGAUGUGGUCUGGGCGGUCUGGAGCAGCAAGGAAGGUUGCUGAAUUAACAGGAUUACCAGCAUGAGGCCUGAGAAUUGCAAUUGGUUGUGGCUUCCGGUCUUCCCAAAUCUUUAUCUGUAAAACAAGAUACAAACCACACACACGAGUUAUGAGCAACCAACUUUAGUUAGCAAAACAGAAGAUAAAUUCAAAGUUUAUCAUCAGAUCACUUUUUUCCCUUUCACAGGACAGAAACCACAUCCUUUUUCUAUUUUUCUUUUGUUUUGUCUUCAGAACUUUACACAUUAACAAAAUUCAAGGGUGAAGAAUGAAUAAACCUAAAACUGUGCAAGUAUUAAGAAGAAAACAUUACAGUAUCGCAUUGUCCACUUCUUCAUAACUAGCAAAGGACUGCACACAUUCUGGGACAUUUGUUGUGUUGGUUUAAGAGAACAGUGGAAUCUAUACAAUCUGGAUAUUGAUUUCUUAGAAUGACCAUUUUUAUUGCUAACUCUAUAUUUCACAUAAUUUUCUUGCCAUUCAUUCCCAUGUACAUUGUUAGUUGGUUGUUUUAAAAUGCAUGGGGUGCCGGCCGGCUCAUGAAAAGCAAUGCCUUGUAGCAUGAAAAACCAGUGGAUAAAAAGUUCUGGUCGUGCUUUGAUACAAGAUCAAACACACAACACGGAUUCAAGAGAUCUACAAGAUCAACAACAAUAGAGAAUCAAAGGCCCCACUCGGCUUUUCUAUGUUUUCAAGACAACAACAACAAUAUUCAACAAAGUAGAUGGAGAAUACAAGAUUACAAGGACUAUAGUGAAUCGAAGAGGCCCCACACGGCUUCACUAUGUCAACACAUAAACAACAAGAUUACAACAACAAGAAGGUUAUGGGUACAUUAACAACAACAAGGAACCACGGAUUCAAUGAGAUACAAGAUAAAUAGUUAGACCAAAUGAAGGGACAAUCUUAAGAACCCAAGAAUUGUUACACUCUUGGACCCUUAAACACUAUCCGCGACACAAACCUAACUCUACGUUGACACAAGAGGGCCUUUACCUCCUCUAAACACCAACAUUUCAAGCCAAUAUGCAAACACAAGUGAAUCUUCACUUGUCUAGCCCUAGUUUCGGUUGGAGCUCUUGAGAGAGAACUAAAGUGUUGCAAAUGUUACAAAUCUCAAAAUAUGAUCAACUAAGUGAAUAAAACCGUAAGUGGUUCUAUUUAUAUUACAUUCCCCGAAAGACUUAAAAUGACAAAGGUGCCCUUUUAAUGAAUAAGGCUUCAAGGCCACCCCUUUAGUGCACACAUAGGAGUGAUUUUUGGCUUCUCCCACACUUAAGCUCGGGCCUUCUCUCGGUUUCCUUUGACAUGCACAAAAAGGGUCCAUCUACGAGAUCACACUUGUAUCAUACUUGUUGCUGAAUCAUCAUUUUACAAAUGAAAAUGCAUUGAAUGAUAUGGCUGCUGUAUAGAGCAAAGACAGCAAAUAUAAAUGCAAACAGUUUAACAGACAAUAAGCAAAACUCUCACGAACCGUGCCAUCCACUGAUGCAGAUACCAAUCGGGUGGUCAUCCACUGGCACAUUGACAGAUCAGUCACUUCUCCAUCAUGAGUACCAACAAGUUGUACCCCAUCAAUCAACUUGUCAACAGGACAUCUGAGAGGUUCAUCUGCUGAAAAAACUUCAGCUUUUCCAAAUUUUGUGGUAUCAAUUUUUAAAACAUGUUUUCCGAUCCCGACCACAAGAAUUUCCUGUUGAAGAGAGCAUAACAACAGUUACGAAGAAAACUAGUAGAAUAACUAUGCUAGAAAAGAGUUCCACAAAAAAGAACUGGUACUUGUUUGUGACAAUGCCAACAAACUCGAGGAUGAACAGAUGCCCCUUCACCAACGACUUGAACAGCAGUGACAAUCCUCCCUGUAAUUUGGGGAGUAUCUUCCUCAUCGGGUCCUUCAGAAAUUUUCCAUAUAUAAACACGCCCAUCGACGCUUGCACUGAAACAUCAGAAAAAUUAGAUAGAUAAAGCACUUCAUAAUACCUGAUAUGAAUAAAAGAGAAUAGCACUACCUGGCCAAAAGGUGAACGUCCUCAGCAAAGAAAGCCAUGUCUGUAACCCUCUGAAAGAAAAUUCAUAACUUAGAUGAAUACAUAAUACCGUACUAACAAAAGAAUGGUUAAAACAUACUAUAAACUUCCAAUUACUAUAGCUCUUACAAAAUACGGAUCUUUUUUUCCAAUAUUAAACCAAACAAGACAAUUUGCCAACUUUUAUUUUACAGAAUAAACUUAAGUUUCUAGCAUUUUAAGCAUAUUUACCAUAACACACAUUUACCAUCACUAGCAAUUUAAGCAUACCAACUAGCACAAGUAUUUAUGAUGUUUAUAAACAGCCUCUCCCCUCUGUAGAAGUAGUGGUAUGGACUGCGUACACUCUACCCUCCCCAAACCCCACUAUGUGGGAAUAUACUGGGUUUGUUGUUGUUGUUGAUAAACAGUCCACAUGACAAAAAGUAUGAAGUUCACAUACAAUGUAACUACUGAACUAUUUCGACAAGAAAAUGUAAGCUUGGUGAAAAGUCCAACCCAUGCAAGGCCUUUAAGCAAUGAUCUCAACGCAGUAUUAAUGUUAAGCACGCAAAAAUAGCUCCCAAUUUGAGUCCAUAACACACAUAUUUACCAUCACUAGCAUUUUAAGCAUACCAACUAGCACAAGUACUUAUAAUGUUCAUAAACAGUCCACCUAACAAAAAAAUAAGAAGUUCGCAUACAAUGUAGCUACUGAACUAUUACGACAAAAAAAAUGUAAGCUUGGUGAAAAGGCCAACCCGUGCAAGACCUUUAAGCAAUGAUCUCAACGUGGUAUUAAUGUUAAGCACGCGAAAAUAGCUCCCAAUUUGAGUCCAUAACACACAUAUUUACCAUCACUAGAAUUUUAAUCUAGCAUAAGUACUUAUAAUGUUCAUAAACAGUCCACAUAAUAAAAAAAUAUGAAGUUCGCAUACAAUGUAGCUACUGAACUAUUACGAAAAAAAAUGUAAGCUUGGCGAAAAGGCCAACCCGUGCAAGACCUUUAAGCAAUGAUCUCAACGCGGUAUUAAUUUUAAGCACGCGAAAAUAGCUCCCAAUUUGAGUCCAUAACACAAAUAUUUACCAUAACUAGCAUUUUAAGCAUACCAACAAACAAAAAAAUAUGAAGUUCACAUACAAUUUAGCUACUGAACUAUUACGACAAAAAAAAAAUGUAAGCUUGGUGAAAAGGCCAACCUAUGCAAGAUCUUUAAGCAAUGAUCUCAACGCAGUAUUAAUAUUAAGCAAGCAAAAAUAGCUCACAAUUUGAGUCCAUAACACACAUAUUUACCAUAACUAGCAUUUUAAGCAUACCAACAAACAAAAAAAUAUGAAGUUCACAUACAAUUUAGCUACUGAACUAUUAUGACAAAAAAAAAAUGUAAGCUUAGUGAAAAGGCCAACCUAUGCAAGACCUUUAAGCAAUGAUCUCAAUGCGGUAUUAAUAUUAAGCAAGCAAAAAUAGCUCACAAUUUGAGUCCAUAACACACAUAUUUACCAUAACUAGCAUUUUAAGCAUACCAACAAACAAAAAAAUAUGAAGUUCACAUACAAUGUAGCUACUGAUCUAUUACGACAAAAAAAAAAUUAAGCUUUUCACAUACAAUGUAGCUACUGAACUAUUAAUACAAGCAAAUGUAAGCUUUUCACAUACAGUGUAGCUACUGAACUAUUACGACAAAAAAAAUUGUAAGCUUGGUGAAAAGGCCAACCUGUGAAAGACCUUUAAGCAAUGAUCUCAACACGGUAUUAAUAUUAAGCACACGAAUAGCUCCCAAUUUAAGUCCAUAACAUAUAUAACUCUUAUUAACUGCAAUUUGUCUCCCUAAAACAAGUCCCGGAUCUGAACCAUACUUAGUAAUAGGUGUAACCUCCAACUGAGGCUGCACUUCACCAGGCAACCUAACAUCUAUAUCAUAAACAACAUGAUCACCAUUCAAAUGUCUCCCUUAAGGUAACUUACUACUACUCAGCAUUCGCAUCAUUGGACUAGUAAUACCACCACAAGCAUUUUAAGCAUACCAACUAGCACAAGUAUUUAUAAUGUUCACAAACAGUCCACAUAACAAAAAAAUAUGAAGUUCACAUACAAUGUAGCUACUGAACUAUUACGACAUAAAAAUGUAAGCUUGGUGAAAAGGCCAACCUGUGAAAGACCUUUAAGCAAUGAUCUCAACGCGGUAUUAAUAUUAAGCACACGAAUAGCUCCCAAUUUAAGUCCAUAACAUAUAUAACUCUUAUUAACUGCAAUUUGUCUCCCUAAAACAAGUCCCGGAUCCGAACCAUACUUAGUAAUAGGUGUAACCUCCAACUGAGGCUGCACUUCACCAGGCAACCUAACAUCUAUAUCAUAAACAACAUGAUCACCAUUCAAAUGUCUCCCUUUAGGUAACUUAGUACUACUCAGCAUUCGCAUCAUCGGACUACUAAUACCACCAACACCAACACUGGGUGAAACUGCACCAAAUUCAGAUACCUCAGACCCUGAAUUUUGCAAAAUGGGUUGUUGAGAAACUUGGGAAACUUCAUUUGUCAAUGGUGGUGCACUCAACAAAGCCAUUAAACGAACCCCAGGGUUAGGAUUCAAGAAUUGAUGUGGACUAGUUGGGGUGGUAGCAGGAGGUUGAAGUGGGGGUGCAGGGAAAGAUAUGGAUCUUUGAGGGAUAUGGUGAAAAGGGGGUGUAGAGGUUGGGUAGUAGAGUCCACCGGCACCGGUACCAACUCCGGCGACAACUCCGGCGCCGGUGCCAACUCCGGCAGGUGGAUAUGAAGAAAUCAAAUUCUGGGAAUUUGGUAUUGCUGAAAUCGGUUGUUGUUGUGGGUUGAAGAAUUUGUGAAUAUCAUACGGUGGUGGUGGUGGUCCUCCACCGGACUGGUUAGGAUUUCCGGCGGAAGCCAUAAAUUAUUUUUUUUCUUUUUUUUUUUUGGAAUAAAUCAAAAAAAAAAUUACAAUUUUUGGAGGAUUAAUUGAAGGGAAAAUGAAGAGAGAUUUGAUGAAAAUGGAGGAUUUGGAGAUUUGAGUAGUGAGAGUGAUGAAAAGAUUGGGAACUUUAUGGGGGUAAUAGUGAUAUUAUGGCAAAAAGAUGGGUGAGAAAAUAAUAUUUUAUUAGAUUGGGUAUCUAGUUGUAUUUUUAUGUUUAGAAUAAUGCUACUUGAGUCCUCUGAGUUAUAAUUAAUUUAAUAUACUAUAUAAAAUUAUUAAAAUUGUACUUUAUAUGCACUUAUCUUUUGGGUUUGUUAUACUGUUAUUGGUUCUAGGUCGGGGGCUAUCGAAAACACUCUCUAAUUCACACGAGGUAGUGGUAUGGUAUGUGUACACGCUACCCUCCCCAGACCCCACUAUAUGGGAAUACACUGGUAUGUUGUUGUUGUUGGACCUAAUGUAUGAUCUAAAAUCACCGUCAAAUGAUGUGGUAUAGUGAUUGAGAUUGCUCUUCCCUUAAUCAGACGUCUCCGGUUCGAAUCCUGAUACAGAAAAAUCCUUAAAAAGGGAGCGCUACCCCCCGAAUAGGUCCUACCCGGUGUGAAUCCAGAAGGGUCACAUCAUAAAGAUCUAUUAUACACAAACUUACCUUGCAUAAUAAAUCAGGCUAAAAUAAGCUAAAACUAUUAUAAUGCAGUUAAAUUUUUCAAAAUUCGAAGAAGGGCCACAUGAUAAAGAUCUAUUAUAUGCAACUUACCUCGCAUAAGUUGGGCUAAAAUAAGCUAAAACUAUUAUACAACGGCUAAAUUUAAAAGAUUUGAAGAAGAAUCACGUCAUAAAGAUCUAUUAUACGCAAACUUAUCUCACAUAAAUUGGGCUAAAAUAAGCUAAAACUAUUCCAAGGCAACUAAAAUUUAAAAGAUUCAAAGGACCGCACAUAAAUUAGCUAAAACUAUUAUAUGGUGGCUAAAAUUUAAAAGAUUUGAAGAAGGACCGCAUCAUAAAGAUCUAUUACACGCAAAUUCACCUCGUAUAAAAUAGCUAAAACUAUUAUACGACGACAAAAAUUUAAAAGAUUCGAAGAAGGAUCACAUCGUAAAGAUCUAUUAUACGCAAAUGAUCUCACAUAAAUUAGCUAAAACUAUUAUACGGCGGCUAAAAUUUAAAAGAUUCGAAGAAGGACCGCAUCGUAAAGAUCUAUUAUAUGCAAAUUCACCUCGCAUAAAUUAGCUAAAACUAUUAUAAGGCGGCUAAAAUUUUUAAAAUUUGGAAAAGGACCGCAUCAUAAAAGAACUUACCUUGCAUAAAUCAUGCUAAAUAAAGCUGAAACUAUUACAAGGCGGCUAAAAUUUAGAAGAUUUGAAAAAAGACCGUAUCAUAAAGAUUUAUUAGACGCAAACUUACCUCGCAUAAAUUGGCCUAAAAUAAGUUAAAACUAUAUAAGUCGGCUUAAAUUUAAAAGAUUCAAAAAAGGAGCAAAUUAUAAAGGUCUAUUACACACAAAUUUACCUCAACAUAAAUGAGCUAAAACUAUUAUAAGGCUGCUAAAAUUUAAAAGAUUCAAGGAAGAUCGCAUCAUAAAUAUCUAUUAUUCACAAACCUACCACAUAAAUUGGGCUAAAAUAAGCUAAAACGAUUAUGAGCGGCUAAAUUUUAAAAGAUUUGAAUAUUAUACGGAAACUCACCUCAUAUAAAUUGGGCUUAAAAUAAGUGGCUAAAAUUUAAAAGAUUGAGCGGGUAAUUUAAAAGAUUGAGCGGGUUAUAUUAGGUCACAAACAUUUUCGCGCCGUCAUUUUCUGCCUCCAUUAAAUUCCCUCGCCGUUCUCCACCAUUCCAACCACCGUGUAACACCGCCGUUUUCACCGUCCACCGCAGCUCCACCGUGUUCAAGUUUUCUGAUCUGCUUCCGACGAGUCAGUUAAUGAAGUUCAAUUGAGCUGCGCCGACACUCUCCGGUUAUUCGUCCUCUUUCUCGAUCAUGUUGCUGAGAAACUUGAAGCCUUUGUUCCGCCGGAGAAGCCGUUAUAUCUUCGGUAUACUCUUCAGAACAACUAGCAAUUUACCGUACAAUUCAAGUUGCAAUGAGACGAUAGGAGUUUCAUCGAUUAAUUCUACGAAUAUUAAACACGUGCAAUUUGCGUGUCUACCGAAUGCUUAUUUCAUUUGCAGUGUCGCGAAACUGUGUACUUCGUUAAGUCAAGAGAAGGAAAAUAAACCGUUAGAUAAUGCUACUGUUACUGCUAGUAGUAGUAGUGAUAUAGUUGAUGAGAAGAUAGAUCAACUGUUAGAUAAUCGCGCUGCUGCUACUCGUAGUUGUAGUGAUAUGGUUGAUGAGAAGAUAGAUGAGAUUUUACGUAGUAAUGCUGGUGCUACUAGUAGCGGUACGGUUGUUGAGACGACAAAUGUACUGUUAGAUAAUCGCGCUGCUAUUAGUACUGAUAUAGUUGAUGAGAAUGCGGAUGAAUUGUUAGGCAAUGGUGUUGUUACUAGUAGUAUUGAUAUGUUUGAUGAGAAUACGGAUGAAUUAUUGGAUAAUGCAGCUGCUAUUAGUAGUGAUAUGGUUGAUGAGAAGCCGGAUGAAUUGUUAGAUAGUGGUGUUGUUACUAGUAGUGAUAUAGUUGAUGAGAAGCCUGAUGAAUUGUUAGAUAACGAUAUUGUGGUUGAUGAGAAUGUAGAUGAACGGUUAGAUAAGGUUGUUGGUACUAGUAGCGUUAUGGUUGACUUUACAAAGAUUGAUAUUAAUAAGUUGCCAAGGGUUUUAAUAAUGGGAAGACCUAACGUAGGGAAAUCUGCGUUGUUUAAUCGUUUGAUACGAAGGAGGGAGGCACUUGUAUACAAUACUCCGACUGAUCAUGUUACUAGGGAUAUACGAGAAGGUGUUGCGAAAUUGGGGAAUUUGAGGUUUAAGGUGUUGGAUUCAGCUGGUAUAGAAGCAGAGGCUUCUUCUGGUUCUGUUCUUGGUAGAACUGCGGAAAUGACUGGAAAUGUGCUGUCGAAAACUCAGUUUGUGAUUUUGUUAGUUGAUGCUAGAGAUGGAGUGUUGCCUAUGGAUUUGGAUGUUGGGAAGUGGUUGAGGAAGAAUGCACCUGGAAUGAAGACUAUUGUGGUGAUGAAUAAAGCUGAAUCGCUCGAUGACUGUGAUGGUUCUCUUGGAGCUGCUGUUGGCGACGCUUAUAAUUUAGGAUUUGGCGAACCCAUUGCUUUAUCUGCUGAGACAGGACUCGGUAUGGCUGAACUUCAUGAAACCCUUAGACCAUUACUUGAAGAAUAUGUGAUCCAAAACAACAUCCGUGAUGAUGAGAUCAAGGAGAAUGAGGAGAAUAACUCCUCUGAGGAUAUGGAGAGUAAAUUGCCAUUGCAGUUGGCAAUUGUGGGGCGGCCUAAUGUUGGAAAAUCAACCUUGUUGAACACAAUCUUGCAAGAAGAUCGUGUUUUGGUUGGCCCUGAAGCUGGAUUGACUAGAGAUUCCAUCCGUGCUGAAUUUGAAUACGAAGGAAGAACCAUUUAUUUAGUUGACACAGCAGGUUGGUUGGAGAGGACAAAACAGCAGGAGAAGGGACCGGCAUCUUUAAGUAUUAUGCAAUCAAGGAAACACCUUAUGAGAGCACAUGUAGUUGUUUUGGUCCUCGAUGCAGAAGAGAUUGCAAAAGCUAGGCGAAGCAUGAAGCAUGUUGAAGUAGUUAUAGCAAGGCGAGCGGUAGAGGAAGGACGUGGUCUUGUUGUGAUUGUAAAUAAAAUGGAUCUUCUAAGAGGGAAAGAAAAUUACAAAUUGUACAAGAGCGUGAUUGAAGCUGUGCCUCAAGAAAUUCAAACGGUUAUUCCCCAGGUCACUGGGAUACCUGUUGUAUUUGUUUCAGCUCUCGAAGCGAAGAGUCAGAUAGCUGUCAUGAAUCAGGUCAUUGAAACAUAUGAAAAGUGGUGUUUGAGAUUGUCAACAGCUCGUCUUAACCGUUGGCUACGCAAGGUCAUGAGCAGACAUUCUUGGAAAGACCAGGCAGCACAACCCAAGAUCAAGUAUUUCACUCAGGUGAAAGCUAGACCUCCAACUUUUAUUGCAUUUAUGAGCGGAAAAACCCAGCUCUCAGAUACAGAUUUGAGGUUCCUAACUAGAUCGUUGAAGGAAGACUUCGACUUGGGUGGAAUACCAGUUCGGAUAUUGCAACGAACUGUUGAAGGAAAUAGUAGAACUAAUAUCAGCAGCAAGAACAAGCAGCCAGCUAAUAGAACGAUGGAAAGGGCUGUUUCUGACAAAAGGACAAUCCUCGCUGUAGAAAGCAGCAACACUACUUGAAUUAUCCAAACUUUAGCUUAUCCUACGUGGUCAUAACUUAAUUCAAAAAGAGAGAGAGAGAGAGGGAGAGUAUUUUUGGUCUUUGGGAAAGCAUGUUUCCCUCUGCCAUUGUCUCAUGUCUUUUUUCCAUUGUAUCCUAUCGUAGACGGUAGAUGAUAGUCUUGUUUGUUUUAUGCUUUAUGUGAAUAUGUCAAGGAACUUGAUUUUUCUUUUUUAUUUAAUUAAUAUAGGGUGAAAAUCAUUUUUGUCCUCCCACACGACUGACUCUUUCAAUGCUUUUGUGGUAAAAGUUAGAGAGAAACAAUACUAAAUUAUUGGAAUGGAUUAGAAGAAAAACUAUGACUAGAUCUUGAUAAAGUUAUGAAAAGCUUCUGCUUUGAACGCUCUGAUUCCACCAAAAGUGAGAGAAAGAGUGGCUCAAAAUCAGGAGGGAAGAAAAAUGAUUUGUUUUGGGCUAAUGAACACUUGUUUGAAGUGCAUGAAUUGAAAAAUUAUGUGGUAGAUUUGAAGAAAAUGUCAUGUCAAGGUAGGGGUGCGGUCUGCGUACACACUAUGUUCCCCAAACCCCACUUGUUGGAUUACUCUGGGUAUGUUGUUGUUGUUGUCACAUCAUGUCAAUGCAGAGACAAAUAAGUGGAGUGCCAUGCGGACAUGCUCUAUGCUGCAUGACUCAUAUUAGAGAGGAUGCUACCAAAUUUGCUUAUCCUCUACUCACUAAAGAAUGCCAUGUGAGGACUUUUUCUAGAAAGAUCAAUCCAGUACUGGGAAGAUAGCAAAUAGCCAGUUGUAGAUCAACCCAUUGUGCAUCCUAAUGAGGAAAUGGAGAAGAAGAGAGGUAGAAAACUGAUUAAAGGGAGAAGAGAAUCAAUUCAUUGCACUUGCAAAAAUAUGGGUAUAAUAGCAGAUCGUGUGGAAAGAAUACAUCAAGUACAAAUGCUGGUGAACUUCAUUAGUAAGUUUAUUAUUAUUUUUUUACAUUGAAGGGGAGCCUCAGAGUAACUGGUAAAGUUGCCUCCAUGUGACCAGAAGGUCGCGGGUUCAAGCCUUGGAAACAGCCUCUAGCAGAAAUGCAAGGUAAGGUUGCGUACGAUACACCCUUGUGGUGGGGCCCUUCCCCGGACACCGCGCAUAGCGGUAGCUUUAGUGCACCGGGCUGCCCUUUUUUUUUUUUUUUUUUUUUACAUUAUGUUCUUGAAAAUCGUAUUUAGUUAUUCUAGCUGAAGCUUGAGUGCUCCAUUAUUCUGGUGUCUGUGGAAGUUGAUUUUUGUUUUCUAAUACAAGGUUGUUAAUCUGUCCGCUGGUGCGUUCUGAUGCGAUUCUGGCAUUGUUGGUCCUUUUCGGUGCGUUUCUGCUGAUGUUGGCUUCUCGCUGUCGCUAGUCCUUUUCUUUUUUUGUUGCUCUAAUAUACGUUUGCAUUUCUUUGAAUUUUUAAAGAUUUUGCUGCUAUUAAGCUGUUGUCGCCUCUCUAGUGCAUGAAGAGCUACUGGUCUUUUUCUACCUUUGCUAAAUAAAUAUUGACCUUCUUCUUAUUUAUUUAUAUAUAUAUAUAUAUAUAUAUAUAUAUUUAUAUUUAUAUGGUGGUUUUAAUCUAAAUCAGUUUCUAUGUUCAGAUGCAAAUUGCUGUAUGGUUCAAUAUCAGUCCCUAUUUGUUUGCUUUGUAGUCAAAAGUCCCUCUUUCCCAAUCUGAAUCGCUUGUCUGUGUACAUUUAUAGUCGAUGCCAUAUAGUUUCAAUUCCCCAUUCCAUGCCACUUUCUUGUUAUUUUCAUUAGUUUUCACAUAGGAGUGCUUGGUCCUAAGCCGGGGAUCUAUUGGAAAGAGCCUCUCUACUUCUCUUGAGGUAGUGGUAUGGUCUGCGUACACUCUACUCUCCCCAGACCCCACUAGGUGGGACUAGAUGGGAAUACACUGGGUAUGUUGUUGUUGUUGUUCACAUAAGAGUGUUGUAUUCAUUAUUCUGUGUUUCUCCACUUGCUAGAGUAGAUGUGUUGAAAGGCACGAUAUUCACAGUUGGAGUUCCAAGGAUUCAUCUUCAAGUCCAAAGCACUUCUUCUCGUUGCAUACCUUAGUCCACUACUGUAGGGAUAGCGUUUGCUGCAACUUGCUAGAGUAGCCGCUUUGAGAGCCACAAUAUUCACAGUUGGAGUUCCAAUCGAAAGCACUUCUGCUCAUUGCAUAUCUUGAUCCACUAAUGUAUGGAUAGCGUUUGCUGGUGCAGUUUGACCAUUAGCAGCAAACGGUGUUCCUCUUCUCCUACCUUUGAAUCCAGAAGUACCAGCGGAGUUCUAACUUGCUGUCUAACUCCUUGAUAUUGUCAGGUACGUAAACGUCUUUCAUGUUAUGUUAUGUUAUGUUAUAUAUUCUCAUGCAGAAAAGUCGAAUUGGCAUACGGACUUUUCAUCUAUUCUUUUAUCGUCAUCUGAAUGAGUUUCCAAUUUAUCAGAUGAUUUUUGAAUUCAAGUUAUAUACAUACAAAUAUGGGGAAAAUGUAAUAUUGUUAUUGAAUUUAACAAUGAUUUUUAUUAGUGCCAUGUGACCAGGAGGUUACGGCUUCAAGUCUUGGUAAUUGCCUCCGUCAGAAAUGCAAGUUAGCGCUGCGUAUAAUACACCCUUGUGGUGGGACCUUCUCUGGAUCCUGCGCAUAGCGGGAGCUUUAGUGCACCGGGCUGCCCUUUUAAUUAAUGUUCAUCAAGAAAUUUACUUGUAAUUAAAUAAAUGACAUAAAUUGUUGAAUUUUUUUUACACUAUUAAAUACACAAAACUUAAACACGUUUUAUACAAAUUAAUAAUAGGUUUAUUUCUCUACUUUUUUUCAACCUUAAAGACUCUUUUUCUCUCUUCCAUAGAUUUAUAACUGUUUCUCCCAUUUCAGAACUAUAUUUAUAUAUUUAUUUCCCACUUUUUUCUCACCGUCAAAGUAAUAACAUCUCUGGCAGCAUAUUUUGAUCCAUUGACAAAAAGAAAAAAAACAAUUUCUUUUUGUGCAAAACAUAAAUAAUUUUGAUCCAAAUGUGUCUGUUUUGCCCUGGUAAGGUUUGCAUGUUAUGCACAUGCUUAAUAUUAUUGGUGGUUGCAAUUGGUAUGUUGUUUGGAUUUGGAGUUUUUAAAGAUGGAUUUAAGAAAAUUAAACAUACAACUACUCAUGUUGGUGGUUAUGAAGGAAGGCCCUUUAUGAAUUACCAUACUCCUCCAACAUUUUAUUAGCAACAUUUAAUUUGAAGGGGGAGACCUGGAGUAACCGGUAAAGUUGUUGUCAUGUGACCAGGACGUCACGGGUUCAAGCCUUGCAAACAGCCUUUGAAGGUAAGGCUGCGUACAAUAAUACACCCUUGUGGUGGGGUUCUUCCCCGAACACCGCAUAUAACGGUAGCUUUAGUGCACAGGCUGCUGUUUUUUUUUUUUUUUUUUAAUUUGAUAUACCCAUUGUAAGAAUUAUGUUGUUAAUUUGAUAAUUAUAAGGUGUUAUUUACUUUUUGGAAAGUUUUGUAAUUUACAAUUUUAAGAAUUGUUUGAUUGAUUUGGACUAGCUAAUGUGUUUUUUAGUUUUUCAAGUUUGAUUCAUGGAAAUUCUUUGUAAAUUGAUUUAUCUAUUAUAGUUAAUACAGAAAUAAUUCAAAAAUGCAUCAAAGAAUCUGUGUGUAUAGAGAGAAGUGUUUGCGAUGUAACAAUAACAACACAACAACAACAUACCCAGUGUAUUCCCUCACAGUGGGGUUUGGAGAAGGUAAAAUGUACGUAGUCCAUACCAGUACCUCUGCAGAUGUAGAGAGGUUGUUUCCGAUACUGACUAAACAGGUUAUGUUAUAAAUGAGGUUAUCACAAGGGCUAAAUAACACCUUGUUUUCCAAAGGAAGCAUGAUACAAGAGCGUAGGUGAAUGAUAAGCAUUGGAGGUGUGCUUGAAGGAUAGUGGCAGCAUGGUGACAAAUUUCACCAUGGUGAUUUGUCAUAAAGAGAGUGUUUGCUAAUGGUAAUUGCAUGAUUCCAGAUGUCAUCGCUCGAUUUGCAUGGUGAAAGAUAUUUCAAUUGCCGUAUCUCAGGUGAAGAGAAGGGGGCGAUAGCUUUUUAAGGCUUAAAUCUAUAAUAUCACCGUUAUGAGCAAUACCAACCGAUGGACUAGGGAAGAAGUGCACAUUUACCCAAAAUCGCGCAAUUUUGUCCACCAUUAAACUUUUUUUUUUUUUCCUGUCAUUCAUACUAUUACUAUUAGCAAAUCGUCUCGUACUUGCCCUUGUCAUUUAACAAAGUUUCAACAUGAAAUAACUAAACUACACUUGCACAAAUUCACAAACUAUGUUAGGUACUUCAAACAUUCAAUGUUGUACUUAAUACGAGCCAACUCGUAAAGUUAGCUGUCAUGUGAUCAGGAAGUCACGAGUUCAAGUUUUGAAAACAGCCUUUGACAGAAAUGCAAGAUAAGACUGCGUACAAUACACCCUUAUGGUUGAGCCCUUGUGUAUAGCGAAAGCUGUAGUGCACCGAACUAUCUAUUUUUUACUUAAUACAAGCCAAGAUACAAUUCUUCAAGCCAUACCGUAGUGUAAUUCUAUGAGUAGAAUCAGGGGAAUGGUGUGCACGCAGCUUUAACCCUACCUUGUGACUGACAGGGUAGGGAGGUUGCUUCGAAAGACUCAUGGCUCAAGUAAAGCAUAUCAAAAAUAGCAUGAAAAGGAAAUACAGUAGUAACAAAGACAAAUAGAAACUAAUGACGAAAAGAACAAUAAGCAACAAACAAAUAAUACAGGAACCGAAGUCCAAACCAAAGGAAAAAUAGUUCUUCAGUAGAUCAGCUAACAAGAUGAAAUUUAAAAUAACUCAACAAGUACCAUUGGAUGUACAAUUUCCUCAAGACAGUCAUAGUAGGAACUGUCAAGCUAUAAAAUACGCGAAGAACACACUCGAAACAAAAUUUUGUUAGAUGUACAUUUGUGUAUAGUAACCCCCGGAAAACAAAGGACUUAAAAAGACUGGGUGAAAUGGGGGAAAAAUUGCCUAAACAAAUCCAUUUGGUCUCUCUCCACUUUUGGCAGAUCUCUUUUGUACAUCUGCGUCGUAAUGGGCAAAGGCAGCAUCUAAAGCCUGUGGGGAAAAUGUAUGUUUCCAUGAGAUUCGUAAUAAUAGAACUCCGUAGUAAGCACUUUAUUUAAUUAAAAGAAGAUCGGGGCCAAAAUGAUCGAACUUUAGACAAAUAACAUUAUCAUCUCGAAUAAUCAUGUACAGCCAGAAGGUUAACCUGAAGCAUUGGCUGAACAAGGAGGGAAACUUGAUGUCUCAUAUCCGAUUGCACAGAUUCCUUCAUCUCCUGAAAGUCGAUAGAACAUUUGAAAACUUGACAUCACACAAGAAACAACUCCUCAAGUCUAAUAUGUAUGCCUACAGAUAGCAAGAAAUAAACAUUACUAAACUGCACAUAUAGAGUGGCUGGCCGCUGGCGAGAAGAAAUUUGAAUUCCCCUGCAUCAACCCUACCAGUAAAAAUUUCCCAAACCAGAAAGCAGCUGGUUUGCCGCAAUGUCCUUUAUUAUUUUACUCAUCGUUCACCCUUGUCCUGAGCCGGGGGUCUAUCGGAAACAACCUCUCUACUUCAUCUGAGAUAGUGAGGUAGUGGUAUGGUCUACGUACACAUUACCCUCCCCAAACCCCACUAUGCGGGAAUACACUGGGUAUGUAGUUGUUGUCGUACUCAUUGUUCACCCUUAGACCCCAACUUGUUUGGGACAGAGGCAUAGUUGUAGUUGUUCUACCGUCAGAUCAUCUCCCACCCAGCAGCAACCACCCCCUUUCUUAUUUUUCCUCAUAGCAGUACUGGUUAGUUUGUUUUCCCAUUUGCCUGUUCUCAGUAAAUUUAAAUUUUCCUGUUACUACAUCAAUCUUUUUUCAAAAUAAAAAAGCAGCAUGGAACCAUUAAUAUCUCGAUGAAAUGAUUUCUUGAGAACUUCCAAGAGGAAAAAGUCAGAUUCAAAAGAUUUAUGGAGUGUUUAAACUAAUCUCAAAACCACAACCACCUCAAAACUGUUGACGGUUUCUUAUCGUUACAAUUGACAACAAUAUACCUAGUGUAAUUCCACAUUUAGGAGUCAUUUGGAAGGAGGGAUGAGAUAAGUAAGGAUAUCCCUUGGGAUUAUUUUAUCCCUCCCUCCCCAUGGGAUAGUAAUUCCAUCAUUUAAGUACAAAUGGUGGGAUAAAAUAGUGCCGGGAUUAAGUAAUCCCUUCUACCGAACAUGGGAUAAAGUUAAUCUCAAACUUUUUCCCGGGAUUAUUUUUCUUAUCACUUCUACCAAACGACCCCUUAGGGUCUGGAGAGGGUGGUGUUGCGAGAUCUUGCCCCUGCUGUGAGAAGGUCUGUGUUUCUGACAGGCCCUCAGCUCACAUGACAGUGUUCUAUAAUGAAGUUUUUGUUUACCCGAAUCAACCUAAACACUGUAUCUAUACCAAAACCCAAGCUAGUCAACAUAACACUAUCCUCCACAUUAUUCAGAAAAUUGGUACCCAAAGAUGAAACUGAAAAAAAGUCUCUCAAACAAAUUUUCAACACAGACCACACGUUGUCUGGUGCAUUAGAGAUUUAUAAAGAUACAAAAAGGAAAAAAGCAAAAACAUAUAUAUCCAGUUCCAUAAGAUCAUUACCUGCAACUUGGGAUAUAUCUGAGACAUAGCAUCCUUUAAUCUAGUCACCUAUCAAAUGACAAGGAUUAGAAAGACUCAAGGGAUGGAACUCAUCGUUGAAAUUGAUUCACUUUAAGAAGGAAAAAACAAUGAAGUAAAAUUACGAAAAUGUCAUUUUAUCACAAGAUCAAAUUAAAUAAUAGUAUGAAACUAUGCAUCAUUGCAAGACCAUUACAUAGUAUAGUCAUUACUUAUUAAUACAUAAGAUGCACCUAAAUUUUGGAUAUAUCAGACAAUUAAAAUAACAAAAACUGCCUGAACACUAAAUCUUUCUUUCGGAAAUUGGACCAUAACAACAUAAUUUUUCCGGUAACAAAAGAGGCAACCUAAUUCAAUUUUUACCUUUUUAUAAGGGCUAAUAGAAUAUUGAUAUUCAAAAUAUUACCUUGGUGUAGAAAUAUUUUGUUGUUAUUGGAUAAGAUGACCAGAAGUGCUUCAAUAAUUCCUGAAUUGAUGUCCAAUGCUACAAGCAAAAUGAAAAUAUCAUUUGUCAUGGUUAACAGAACUUACGAGCUGUAAUAAAGUCUGAAGAAAGAUUUUAGAUUCAGAAAAAAUCAAAUCACCGUGUAAAAACACAACUCACAAGUAAGAGUUCAUUUUUAGUUGCACUAGGCAACUGAUCCAGAACACUCUCGUGGGGAUUCUUCCCCAGAUGAUACUUUGUACUUGAGAUAUUCUGACUAAGCCCGUUGAAAACCUGUAAACAAUGAUUUGUAGUUCAACUUCUCCCUUACAGUAUGAUAUCAUUGGAUGGCAAUUUCCUAACUUCGAAAAAUGUAAAAAUACCUUGAGAGCUACUUCUGGACUAAUUAUUGGUUCGAUCAAUCCUUGAGAAUUUAUCUCAGAGAUGGAGUCCUUCAAGGAGCAAAAGGCUUCUUCUUUGCUCACGCUGAAUUUCAGCUGUCUGAUUCCUGUUUCAGCAUCUCCCAAAGCCUUCAUUGCAUUUGCUUGCUGAGAAUCAAAGUAGUCUCGAGGAUCCUGAUUUAUGAAACAUCAUAUAUCGGAUAAUCUAAUGAAAUCACGAUUGAUGUGAGCAGAAAAAAAAAAACAGAACUGAUGAACGCCAGACCUUGAUACUUAGCAAUGCAACUGGUGGGUCACGAGGUCCCUGAAGAUCUUCAAUUUCAGCUACUCGAGUAACUUUGUUUAUGCGUUCUCUAUAUGCAUUCUCAUCAGACACGUCAUUAGCUAGUUCAGCUGUUCCACCAAAUGAAAUGACUUGUAUAAGCCUUUUCCAGGUUUGGAACUAGAAUGAGAUAAAUGGAUAUCAAGUAGAAAAUGCAUUUUACCUUGAUUUGUCCUGGUGAAUGCUUCAGCGACAGAUCUUGUAUCACCCAGCUCAACAUCUUCACAGAUUGAUGCGACAAUAAAAAAAAAUAUCAAGUCAAGUGUGAAAUGAUAUCAACUUAAACAAAGGCUGCCAGAACCACUAAUGCAUUAUGUAAGGUUCUCCUAACCCGUGUCCCUCUCCCAACCCUAAGCAGCACAUAUCAAGGACAUCCACUAGGAAGACACAUCAAUGAUGCAUAACGAAGAAUAAGCAGUGUACAUGUUAUCAUUAUCAUUUUGCACAAAGAGGCCCCCAUAGAGACAACUUCAGGCUGCUUCACAAUUUGUCUCAGGUGAGAAAGAAGCUUAAAGGAACUUACUCAGUUACGGUAGACUGAUGUUAUUGAUAAAGCGUGUUCAAAGAAGCUUACCUAUAACUCUUCCUCGAAGAACGACUGCUGCAUGCUGAUUGAGGUAUUGCGAAAAAGACCUUUUGAAUGGUUCAUACUGUGGUUCUAGAAUCUCCUUAGUUUCAACCUGAGGUAGCCCAUGAUCCUAUUGUUUACCAUGUUAUAUGAAAAAUAGGUUAGCUCCAAUUCUCUUGUAAGGGGUUAGAUCAAAGCAUAUACAAGAACAGCAUGUCCAAUCGAACACAGAUGAUCAAAUUUCAUUGCAGAAUAAAGUUCGGUGAUGUACCGGGAGAUGCAUAUAAUCAUCACCUUCAUCUGCUUCCAUGUCCAGAGUUGGAUCCACUCUUCUGAUCUGAAAAGAAUAUAAAAUGUAAAGACUUCGGGAAGUUCUUCUCCAUCCAUCCUCUCUCAAAGACACUCGGUGGAAGUUCUUUUAGGAUUGGAUGUCGUUAGAAAACAAUGAAAACAGUAAUUAUCUGGUGAACACCUUCUUCCGAGCUUCAGAUGCUAACAUAGCAUCUUGCUUCAAGAAAACUGCAAGCUCCUCAUCUUCAGAAGCCUCAGCAAAAGCUGCAACAAUAUUUUUUGUACUGUGGAGGUAUUCAGCCCUUGAAUAUUUAGUCCAGAAUUCUUUUUCUGACAUCUGAGAUAGAGAGCAGAAUCAAGAGAUGCAGCAUGAUUUAUUCUUAAAUAACAUCAUUAACGUAAUAGGUGUCUUUGGGAGUUUGUUACCACUUAGUAAAGCAGUUAAGAUGGAAACUUGAAGAUGAACUACACUAAGGGUUGUUUGGUGUGAGGUAUAAGGGAUAAAUAGUCCUGGGAUAAAAUGAAGGAUGAUUUUAUCCCAUGUUUGGUGUGAGGUAUUAGUUAGUCCCGGGAUUAUUUAUCCCACCAUUUACACCAUAGUGAGGGGAUAAGUUAUCCCAUAUACAUGGUGAGAUAACUAAUCCCGGGAUAACAUUUUCCCAACCAAACGAACCCUUAGGAAGCAAAAGGCCUGUUCCAUCCUAUAUUCAAUUGUAAUUGAAAAAGGUUACCUUCAUCUGCUUCCAUGUCCAGAGUUGGAUCCACUCUUCUGAUCUGAAAAGAAUAUAAAAUGUAAAGACUUCGGGAAGUUCUUCUCCAUCCAUCCUCUCUCAAAGACACUCGGUGGAAGUUCUUUUAGGAUUGGAUGUCGUUAGAAAACAAUGAAAACAGUAAUUAUCUGGUGAACACCUUCUUCCGAGCUUCAGAUGCUAACAUAGCAUCUUGCUUCAAGAAAACUGCAAGCUCCUCAUCUUCAGAAGCCUCAGCAAAAGCUGCAACAAUAUUUUUUGUACUGUGGAGGUAUUCAGCCCUUGAAUAUUUAGUCCAGAAUUCUUUUUCUGACAUCUGAGAUAGAGAGCAGAAUCAAGAGAUGCAGCAUGAUUUAUUCUUAAAUAACAUCAUUAACGUAAUAGGUGUCUUUGGGAGUUUGUUACCACUUAGUAAAGCAGUUAAGAUGGAAACUUGAAGAUGAACUACACUAAGGGUUGUUUGGUGUGAGGUAUAAGGGAUAAAUAGUCCUGGGAUAAAAUGAAGGAUGAUUUUAUCCCAUGUUUGGUGUGAGGUAUUAGUUAGUCCCGGGAUUAUUUAUCCCACCAUUUACACCAUAGUGAGGGGAUAAGUUAUCCCAUAUACAUGGUGAGAUAACUAAUCCCGGGAUAACAUUUUCCCAACCAAACGAACCCUUAGGAAGCAAAAGGCCUGUUCCAUCCUAUAUUCAAUUGUAAUUGAAAAAGGUUUAUCUAAAGCUUCAGUAAAAAAUGCUUCAAUGAUCUUAAUUAGUCCAAUUUUUGUGACAAGCUAAGCAUGCAUAUCUAUCUCAGCAUGCUUCAUGCAUGAAAAAUUCACAAGAUAAACGGCUUGAAAUCUUAAGAAUUGUCUAUACAGCCAGCUGACUAUAAUUUUACCUUGCCAGGAACAAAGUUUAAAUAUGCUUGGCGGACAGCUGGUUUCUCUGCAAAAAUCUGAAAAAGAAUUACCACAUUAGACGAGAUUUACAAAUAAAACAAUUACAUAUAAAUCUACUACAAAAACUUGAAAAAACUCAGUAGUCAGCUUUUGUCAUUUAAUUUCGUACACUAGCCUAGAAUUACACUUUAAAGAACAAUGGUUUGCUCAUCUGGUAAGAUUGUAUAAGUAUUGGGGAAAUUUUGAUAGUUUUCACAACUUGUGGGGUUUCAUGUUUAUGUGAAAAAUACAACAACAAUAACAACAACAACAAACCCAGUAUAUUCCCACAUAGUGGGGUCUGGGGAGGGUAGAGUGUACACAGUCCAUACCACUAUCUCUAACGAGGUAGAGAGGUUGUUUUCGAUAGACCCCCGGCUCAAGAUAAAAGGCAGUACAAAAGGCAGUAUACAAAAACAUCAAAAGCAUAGAACAUGAUAAAAUAACAUUGAUACGGCAUCCACAAAAAGUACAUUGCCAAACAAAGGACACCACAAUUCCCCUACCUACUGACUACAACUCAACCACACCCUUAGCCAUCUAUCCUAAUGUUUUUCCUCCAUAUCUUCCUAUCAAGGGUCAUGUCCCUAGUCAGCUGUAACUGCUCCAUGUCACGUCUAAAAAUACAACUUAAAAAACUCAAAUUGCAUGCCGGAAAAACUUCAACUGCAUAUCAAUCUGAUUUCAUCAUGAUUUCAUAUCGGAUGUCCAAACGGGCCCUUCGUUUCCAAAACGUAAUCUCAUUUAAGCAUUUGCGUUUCAAAACGACAUAAUCCAAACAAAUCAUACUACACAAUUGUUGCCUGCCUUGCCCAAACACAUUCCUAGAAUCAUUUCAAAAAAAUGAAACCAAAACCAAAUCCCGCUUUCCAUAAUCCCAAUCAUAACCCCACACUCAAUACGUACAGUCUGCAGCACCCAGAUCAGUAUUGAAAAAAAAAAAAUUCUUGCUACAUUGAUGCUCCUGUAUGAGGCUUCUAGCUCGAUAGUUCCUUAUUUUUCACUACUAAAUCUCCUCCUACUAAUCAGACCUAGUAGCCAUUUUUCAUAAUGAUUUUAAAAGAGGAAGCAUUGCAUCCUUGACCUACAUCAUCUCUACUGUUAACGUGCAUUGAUAGUGCCCCUUUUUGAGCUAAAUUUACGCUUCAUACUGUUUUGAUAAGACUCGAUUUAAACACUUCGUAAAACAAAAAAUGUUACCUGAUGAAUAACCUCUGGAGUCAAGUUAAAUGUAACUCUGUUUGUCUGAAACAACAAUGAAAACAACAGAUUGUCAAGCUCAGGUGGAAUCGGAAGGGGAGAGGGAGAGACGAGACUGCAGACCACAUUUUUGUCAAUACAAGGUUUAAAGCCAAAAAUAUUCAUCUGCUUCUAGUAAUUUAUUUGUAAAAGGAGCCACAAGUUUAUCUGUGCAUCUAAAGAGGUAAUUUCAUUACUCAAUCCAAAAAGGAGACAGAAGUUUAUCACAAUGCUAAGCACCUUCACAAUUAAGAAAAAUAUGAUCUGAUUUUUAGCGGUGAAUACCUUUAAGAGUAAUAUGAUCUGAUAGAAUUCAAGAAAAUCACUAUGGCUUAGAUAUAUCUUGGAAAGGUAAAAACAGCACCCUAUCAGAAAAAAUGUAACCCGUGUAUACACGCAAGUAUGGUGACAAAUGGGGAGAAGAUUUCCCUCUUACCUGACCAUCGGAUAAUGGUUUUACACUCCACAUGUCAUUUUUUAAAGCUACCCGCUGUUUUGGCUUCUUGUUUUCAGUUUGCUCCAGCAGCUUCUGUAAUCCAUUGGCAAGAUAAAUAACGGUUUAGUCUACGGAAAGCAGCCGCCAGCUGCUAAGGAAGGAUUCCAGGUACAACUCAAAACUUUUAGCGUAACACAGUGAUUAACUAUGUUUAUGAAAAAUAAUCUAUUCAACAAGGUUUUUCUACCUACUAACCUUCCUAGCGGCCCAAAAUUCAGCCUCUGAUAGAGUACCUCCAAUGACCAAUUGCCUGUGGAGCUUCUGCAACUCACUGCCGCCACUUACACUUGUUAGUGAUAUCAACAAGACAAAAAAUGAAAAGGAGAAGAUGAAAUGCCAAUUUAGGAAAGAAAAUUAGCAACAAUAGCAGCAGAUUUCAGAUAAACUCAUUGCACUUACAAGACACAUUUACAACAUUAGCUAGUAUACCAAAAAGAGAUCUAGAAAAGCCCCCCGCCUUCUGCAAAAUUGAACCAGAAAAAAGUUCCAUUCACCUGUUCUCCUGCAGUAACUUAAUCCGACGCCCCAUUUCUGUUGCACUGAGUUGCUCAUCAUGCGGAACAGCAGGUUUUUCGGAAGUAGCUUUCCCCACUUCCCCACAAGCUGCAAUUGCUGAGGCUGUUCAAGGGUAAACAAGCUUGUAACAAAACCCAUAAUGUUAAAAUAUCAACUUGCAAUGUCUAAUGCAGGGUAUCAUAUAGUAACUGCAUACUCUCUAACGAGCUAGCCGGUGUUGAACUAGUAAUAUAAAACAGCGAAAAAAAUCUUAAAGCCUUCAGAGGCUAUUCUCCGAUUUUGCUAACUUAAUCUAUAGACAGCAAUGCAAGUUGGCCGACAAAAAUCACUAGGCAGAAAACCAAGGCUUGACUCUUAAAAAUCCAACUGGACUUGAAAUAAUAUAUGUCAAUUAUGCACGCGUGGAAUAGAGCAUUUAGGCUGCAAUAUCUCAGCUCAAGUUCAGCGGCAAGCCAACCGCACUUGCACACAGGAGCAAGGGAAUCAUAGAGGAAAGGGUUACCUAAUACUCAAUAACAUGAUAAGGCUGGUCUCAGCCCUUCCCAACCAUUUUAUAUUGUCUUGUCUCCUCAUUUAAACAAAAAUCUACUAAACGACCAAUGACUACACUGAGUUCCAAUUCAACGUUUCUGGGCCCAAAAGGAAAAUCCAUCGAUAAAAAUAAGGUAAAUGAACAAACUCAAAACCUUACUUAUACGAAUGCCAACAUGUUUGAUUGUUUGUUAUUAAUGACAAACUAUUCAGAAUAUUCAAGUACAACACCAUACAGCUAGUACAUGAAAACAAAGAGCAAACGGAUUUGAUCACACACCACAAGAAGGAAUCAACAACGAGACACGUAAAUGUAACGAAGUCCAGUAUAUUUCAAGUUUUCACAUAUUUGAAGCAGAAUGGUCCACUUGUAGCCGAGUGAUGAAACUGAUGGAUGAGUCAAUGAAUGUCAUAAAGACUAACCAACAAAGUCCCGACACUGGUCACGGUCAGGGAAGCUAUCAAACUCGAAAAGAUAAUUUCCGCCCUGAAAAUGAGAGAGAAAAUGGAACACAUUUAGUUGCAGUACUCAGAUAAGUUAGCAGUUUGUAGACUUCACCAGUACUGGGAUCAGUCUACUGUUUCUAGACUCGACCAGACACAGUAAGAAAACAGUCACACUUUCAUAAUAAAGGGCUCACAAGUAGAAUGCUUUGGUAAACAUAAAUCCAAACCUGAUCUUGUGUAAGAUUAAGUAGAGCCUGCUUACUUGAACCCUCCUUGGAAAACUUGUGGCCUGAAGAGACAGAGAGUGAGAGAGAGCGAGGGGCGGGAGAGAGAAUUCAAGUGUCGUGGAGGGAAAAAGGAUGGACAAAAGCACCUUUAAUCAACUUGAACUCCACAUUAAGCUUUGUCGUUAAUGUUGGGUCAUUCGGCAUAAAAUAGAAUCGUUCCCUGGUCUGCACACAAUAAAAAAGACAAACUAGAAAAUCAACAGUUGGUGGUAGCAUUAACGACUGUAUUAGAAUCUACCAUACAGAUCAUUUAGAAUCAGAAAUUCACGGUCCAUACCAUCUUAAAAACAAAUUCUUUAUUGUUGAAUCCUUAACCCUAUCAGAAUUUGUGCUUUUUUUUAAUUGUUAGAAAUUGUGUUUUGUUUCAUUUUUCAGAUUAAAACCCCACCUCCCCAAAACCUCUAACCAGGAGUCCAACAGUUCCCUUUCCCACUUUUCAUCCACUGGUGACUCAUACCCCCAUCCUUACGAUUGGAUGCGGAUGGUCGUUAUUGUCAAAAUUUCAUUUAGUUAAUGCAAAUGCAAAUAAAAAUAAUUCCUCACGCACACUAGUUAGGGUUAACAAUAUUAAUGUUUACUAUCCAUUCUACACCAUUUGUGAACCAGUAAAGGAGGUUAUGUUGAUAAAUAGAAUGAGAGAAACCAUCUCUUUUAAACAGUACUCUGCUACUGGGAAGAAUAAAUAGAUACUCGUUUGCAAAAAAAAAAAAAUCACUUAUAUCACAUAUUGCUAUAAACUUGUCUACCAGUCAAUUAACAGACCAUUUGCUUCCUACCAGCUCAGCUUAUCAGUUGCAUUACUAUUAUUGUUAUUUGUUCAAUCAACCAACUAUGUUUCAAUUCCAAACCAGUUGAUAAUGAAUCCUUUAUUCAGUCCGGCUCGAUUUCUUCUAUAACCGUUAUAUCCAGGACAGCUUGUGCUCACCUCAACUAAUUACACGGCCACCUGUUACCUCCCACUAGCACAAGGUACUUACCUCCCAUAGGUAUGAGAUAACUCUGUCCACUAAGGCUUGGGCGCAUGGAAAGCCUUGGUAUCUGUUCAGCUCUAUUUGGGAUUUAAUGCCAUUGUUACUGCUAUUUUUUCUCGACUUUUGGCAUAUCAUUCGCAUCACUGUCAUAGCUACCUGGUAACUCUGUCCACUAAUACCUAAACAAAUGGGAAUCCCCGCUAUCUAUCAGCUCUAUUUCGGAUCAAUGUCACUAGUUCAUUGUAGGACUGAGCAUAAUACACCGGACCCCACACAUUACACGAUAGCUUUGGUUCAUCCAGCUACCCUUUUUUCGUGUUACUACUGUUUGUUUCUCUUCGACUUUGGGCAUAGUAAACAAUUUCACUAGUUCAUUAUAGGACUUGAGUAUAAUACACUAGAGCCCACACAUUACAUGAAAGCUUUAGUUCAUCCAGCUACCCUUUUUUUUUUCAAAUACAAAACAAUCAUACAACUCAAUCAUAACAUAAAUAACAAUGCAAAUAACCAGAAAGGUGGAUUGAUAAGGAACAUACCAUUUUUAAAGCGCCAAGGACCCUGACUGAAGGAUUUAUACUUAGCACACUUAACCACCUUCCCAUACACCAUAACGUGUAUUCGGUCGUUCAAAAAUCAAACUAUUUUUCACUAAUACAUGUCACUGCUAAUUUUUCACUAAUUAAAUGGGUACCUCCCACCAGCAUAAUGUACAUGCUAACUCCCGCCAGAACAGUUACCUGGCAACUCUGUCCGCAAAUACUUAAACAAAUGGGAAUCCUCGCUAUCUACCAGCUCUAUUUGGGAUUAAUGUUAUUGUUACUACUGUUCGUUUCUCUUCGAGUUUGGGCAUAGUAAACAAUGUCACUAGUUCAUCCAGCCACCCCUUUUUUGCACAAACAAAACAAUCAUACAGCUCAAUAAGGGGCGAAGCUACCCUUUGGCGAGGGGUUCCAAACCCCCCUUAGGCAAAAAAUUAUACUAUUUAUACAUGGUUAAAAUACUGACUUCGCCACUCAGCUCAAUCAUAACAUAACUAGCAAUGCAAAUAAUCAUAAGGGGAAUUGACAAGGAACGUACCAUUUUCAAAACACCAGGUACACCUGGUACUUUAACUGAAGAUUUAUACUUAGCACGCUUAACCACCUUCCCACCAUCCGCCAUAACUCCCGUUUGUUCUUUCGUUUCAACAAAAAUCAAACUAUUUUUUUCACUAAUUACAUCAAAAAAAAAAAACAUAAAAAUUAAUAAAGAGUAAAUAAAUAAAUAAAUAAAUAAAUUGAAAUUAGUAUAUCCAAAAAAAAAAAAAACAAUAAUAAUAAUAAUAGAAAUUAGUACCAUUUUAUGGAAGCUAGGGUUCCGAUGGAUGAAAUUUGGGAUUUUUAUCAGGAGAGAAGGCGCCAACUGUUGUUGAGAUCAAUUACCAUCUCAAAAAAGUGUAUAUACCUUUGUUCUCACUCUAUUAUAUAUAGAGAGAGAGACUGUAUAUAUAUAGAGAGAAAGAGAGUGAUUCUCACUAAGGCUUUGUUUGGGCAUGAAAAUAAUAAUUUGAAAAAAAAAAGCUCAAAUACGCCUUCUUCUUUUUUUCCAGCCGGUGUCCGAUUAACGCAUUAGAGCCCCGACUAAUUCGGAUCGCAUUGCAGGGCCCAUUAAAGUGUCUGUAUUGGAGCUCCGAUUAAUUCAGAUCAUGUGUUGCAGGGCCCAUUAAGUUUUUCAUAUUGAAACCUCGAUUAAUUUGGAUUGCGCGUUGCAGGGCCUAUUAAUGUGGCCGCACGGAGCUCCGAUUAAUCCGGAUCGCGCAUUGCAGGGCCCAUUAAGGUGACAGCCCCGAUUAAUCCGAAUCGCUCCGAUUAAUUCAGAUCGCACGUUGCAGGGCCCAUUAAAAUGGCAGCCCCGAUUAAUCCAAAUCGCGCGUUGCAUGGCCCAUUAAGGUGUCCGUAUUGGUUCCCCGACUAAUCUGGAUCGCGCAUUGUUGGGCCUAUUAAAGUAGCAGCAUGGAGCCCCGACUAAUCCCGAUCGCGCGUUACAGGGCCCAUUAAGGUGGCAGCAUAGAGCCCCGAUUAAUCCAGAUUGCGCAUUGCAGAGUCAAUUAAGGUGGCAGUACGGAGCCCCGACUAAUCCAUAUCGCAUGUUACAAGGCCCAUUAAGGUGGCAGUCCUGACUAAUUCGGAUCACGCAUUGCUGACCCAUUAAGGUGUCCGUAUUGGAGCCCCGACUAAUCUAGAUCGCGCGUUGCAGGGCCUAUUAAGGUGGCAGCACGGAGCCCCGACUAAUCCAGAUCGUGCAUUGCUGGGCCCAUUAAGGUGGCAGCGCUCCUAACAGAGUUUUCUCCAUACCAGAGUUGAACCCUCGACCUCUGAUUAAGGGUAGAGCAACUCCAUUCACUGCACCAUAACCCAUGUUAGUGGCUCAAAUACGCUAUCAAACUAUUAAAAAUAAUUUAUUUGUCACUCUUGCAUCAUUUUCUUUAAAAGUUUGACUUUCGUUACAAAAAGAUUUAUUUGUAUCGUUAUUUUGUAACAGUGAUUUUUAUAAAGUUAUUUUAUUUUAAUCAGUAUGAUUUUUUUAUCUUGAUUUAUGUAAUAUUGGUUGAUUUAAAUUUGAUGACGUGGAUUUUAGUAAGAGGUUGUGAAAUCAUCGUUGCAAAAUAAUGACACAAAUGAACAUAUCUAUAACAGCAGUGUCAUAGAUAAGCCAAAUUUUUAAAGGCGAUGGUAUAGAUGUGCCAAACUUAUAACGGGUGAUAUAGAUGGGCCAUUUCAAUAGUUUGAUGACACAUUUGAAUUUUUUCCCUGAUAAUUUUUCGGAAUUGAAGCUGGAGUUGUUGUUGUGUUUGAUCGUGAAUUUUGUAUCUAUAUGCAUCAGGAAUCCGAUUCACUGAUUUCUUGGUUCGAGAAAUCAAAAUAAGAGGCUCGAAUCAUUUUUUUCUUACUCUUUUUCAAAUUUGAUAAAUAUUGGUUGAUCAUAUAUUUCAUUAUAGUUCUAUGAUUCAAAGUAUCCUUUCCGAUUUGAUCUUUUUGUAUUUCAUAUUAGAAGUUGCAAUCAGAUCUAUUCAUUAAAAAGAAUCGAUUCAAUACAUUUCUUACAGGUACCUGGGAGCAUACUGAUGGAAUGAAUAAAAUACGAACAGUUAACAUAAUAUGGCCAUAGAUCUUAGGUCGUAUGGGAAUCGAUUCGAGAAAAAGAACCGAUCGUAUGGAAACCCUUCAAUCAGUUAUGCAGGGAUAUCCUGUAUCGUUGAAUAAACCACCCACUCUGCAUAGAUUAGGCAUACAUGCAUUCUAACCCAUUUUAGUAGAGGGACGCGCAAAAUUAUAACUGUUUUUUCAAAUUUUGUGCGAAAAAUAAGAGUGAAGAAAAGUGAAAACAAUUUUCACCGAGUGAAAUGUUUUUUACGGCUAGACAUAAUUAUUUUUACUUUUUCUACUAAAGUAAAAUAAUUUGCGAAAAAAUUCUCAUGGUGAAACGCCUAGUAAAGUUGCUCAAUAGUUAAUUUAAUUUAGGCCUAAUACAUAGUAUUUUCUUUUAAAUUAAAUUGAUUUCAACUUGCAUUUGUGUCCGUAACUUUCGAUGUGUAUAUAUAAGUAAUUAAAUUUGUAUAAAGUUAAACAAACAGAUACAUAUAUAUGUUAUGUUGCAUAUUACGCGACUAAUUCAUAUCUUAUAUGGUGUUUUAUGUGUAUUUUGCCACAUAAAAUAUCUGUGCUUAUUUGUUCAAUUUUUUAUGAGCGAAUCGUGCCAUUUGAACUGUUCAACAACAACAACAAAACGAAUGUAUUUCCACAUAAUGGAAUCUGGGUAGGGUGAAAUAUACGCAGUCCAUACCAUUAACUCCGGAGAAGAGAGAGUCUGUUUUCGGUCGACCCCGACAUGACUUGAAAUGUUCAAUUUUAGUUAUUUCAUCUCCAAAAAGGGAUAAAAAUAGCAUUACGAUCUCGAAAUGAAUUUUCAUGCAAUUUAUUCCAGCUAAAUAUAAAAUAAGCUCAUGUAAAAAUUAAUCCCGAGAUUUGUUAUACCACCGAACCAAACGACCCCUUAAGUUCAUACCAUAUAUAUAUAUAUAUAUCUCCAAACGUUACCAAUCCAAAUUCAAACACUUUCACAUAUCGUCGCUGUCGCCGUCGGACAUCAGAAGAUUCCGGUGACCGGCGGGAAGAAUUUGGCCGGAGAAAUUUGACAUCGGAAUUCGUGCAACACUUAGAACUGAAAAUAGUUGAAGAUGAAGAUCACUGUAAUGACUACUGAUGAACAAAUCGUCACUCUCGACGUCGAUCGCGACGAAUCUGUAAUUUUAAUUGAUUAAUUGAUUAAAAUUAAUUCAUUAUUAAUUGAUUAUUGUCAUAUUUAUUAUUUGUUUUUUUUAAGCUGUAUUUGUUUAUUGGAUCUUAAAUUUUGUGUUGCUUACAUGUUUGAUACAGGUAGAGAACCUGAAAGCUCUACUGGAAGUUGAGGUGAGCUGGAAUUCUUCAUUGGUUUUGUUUUACUAUGCUUUUGUAGCUUGUUGGAAUUUUGAUAGCAGAAUUUUAUUAUGGGUGUAUUUUUAUUUUUGUGAUAAUAGAAGAAAGUUAAGUGAACAGUUAAAAGUUUCAAAUUUUGAGUAGUAAAUGAGCUUGAAAUCGUCCAAGUCAAUGAAAGUUAUAUGCAAUAAUAAUAGAAGAAACUUUAAGUUGUUAUAAUGUUAUCUGGCCUAAGCUAAGCUGGGGUCUAUUGGAAACAACUUCUCUACUUCAUUUGAGGUGGUGGUAUGGAUUGCGUACACUUUACUCUCCUCAGACCCCAUUUUGUGGGAAUACACUGGUUAUGUUGUUGUUGUUGUUGUAGAAGAAGAAGAAACUUAAGUAAACAGUUGAAAGUUUCAAACUUAGAGUAGUAAAUGAGCUUGAAAUCAUCCAAGUCAAUGAAAGCUAUAUACAAUAAUAAUAGAAGAAACUUUAAGUUGUUAUACUUUUAUCUAUCCUGAGCUGGAAACAACCUCUCUACUUCAUCUGAGGUGGUGUUAUGGAUUGUGUACACUUUACUUUCCUCAGACCCCACUUUGUGGGAAUACAUUGGGUAUGUUGUUGUUGUUUUUGUAGUUCUAUCCUUGAUAGACAUAGGUACGUGGCAUAUCUAGUGGUGUAUUACCCCAUUUGGUUGUUUGUUUUCAUGUUUUUUGUUGGUUAUACUGCUAUUUGUCCUGAGUCGGGGUCAAUCGAAAACAAUCUCUUUACUUCAUUUGAGGUAGUGGUAUGGAGUGCGUACACUUUAUCCUCUCCAAACCCCAGACCCCACUUUGUGGGAAUACACUGGUAUGUUGUUGUAGAAGGAGAAGAAACUUAAGUAAACAGUUGAAAGUUUCAAGCUUUGAGCAGUAAAUGUGCUUGAAAUCAUCCAAGUCAAUGAAAGUUGUAUACAAUGAAGUUGUUAGGUUAGGAGGUUAGUUGUAGUAGUGCGUUGUCUUGCUAUCCAUCCAUAUGUGUGAAGUUGUAUAGUAUAAUGUAGUUAAUGGAGGGGGCGUCAAACGAUUUGGAAUAUUGGAUUAUAUAUAAACUUAUCGAAAAGGACAACUCGGUGCACUAUGUGCUCGCUAUGUUAGUUGGAAUUUCGAUAGUUGAUCAAGUUUUCUUUGAUCGGAAUUUCAUUAUGGGUGUAUUUAUAUUUGUGACAAUAGUAGAAACUUUAAGUAAAAAGUUGAAAGUUUCAAACUUUGAAUAGUAAAUGAGCUUGAAAUCGUCCAAGUCAAUGAAAGUUAUAUACAAUAAUAUUGUUAGGUUAGGAGGUUAGUAGGUAGUAGUGUGUUGUCUUGCUAUCAGUCCAUACGUGUGAAAGUUGUAUGGUUUAAUGUAGUUAAUGGAGGGGUGUCAAACGAUUUGGAAUAUUGGAUUAUAUAAACUUAUAGAAAGGACAACUCGGUGCACUAUGUGCUUGCUAUGUUGGUUGGAAUUUCGAUAACAGAAUUUCAUUAUGGGUGUACUAUAUUUGUGAUAAUAGAAGAAACUUAAGUAAACAAUUGAAAGUUUGAAACUUUGAGUAGCAAGCGAGCUUGAAGUCAUCCAAGUCAAUGAAAGUUAUAUACAGUAAUAUUGUUAGGCUAGGAGGUUAGUAGGUAGUAGUGCUUUGUCUUGCUAUCCGUCCACACGUGUGAAAGUUGUACAGUAACGGAAUGGUGUCAAAUGAUUUGGAAUAUUAGAUUAUAUAAACUUAUAGAAAAGGACAACUAGGUGCACUAUGUGCUUGCUAUGUUAGUUGGAAUUUUUCAUUGUCUCAUUUCAUAUUAGAUGGCGAAUAUGGUUGCAUUUGAAAGUUUCAGUUGAACAAUUGGAUGUUAGUUGAAUGUUACGUCAAAGUUUAGAAUAUGAGUAUAAAAUGAAUUUGAACUCUCCAAACUUGUGGAAGUUGUAUAGUAUAAUGUAGUUAAUGGAAUGGUCUCAAACGGUUUGAAAUAUUGGAUUACACUUAUAGAAGGACACCCCACUUGGUCUGACUAUACUGGGUAUGUUGUUGUUGUUGUUGUUAUAGUUGUUGUUGUAUUUAUAGAAAAGGACAGCUCGGUGCACUAAGCCCCGGCUAUAUGCAGGGUAUGGAGAUUGGCCGGACCAUAUUGGGUCUUAGGGAUCUCACUUAGGGGGUUCAAAAUAUGGAACAUAAACACAUGAAGAAGCCAAAGGGGGUUCAACCUACUAUAUAUACAUAAACAUUGAUUUUAACCAUGUAUAAACUGCGUAAUUUUCUGCCGAAGGGGGUCCAUCGCCCUUGAGCCUUAUCUUGCAUUUUUGCACGAGGCCUGAGACUCUGACCUCGGUGAUACUGUUGGUGACUUUUAGUGUUGAGCCAAGGCUUAGCUUAGAACAUAUGAAGUUUUAGUUGUGAUAUAAAUUGUGAUGGAGGCACUGUUGGCACUUACUUUUACAUUGGUUUUGUGUUUUUGUGUUGGACGAGAAGACACAAGUGCCUCUGCAGCAACAACAACUUCUGUACAAUGGGAGGGAAAUGAGGAAUUCUGACAAAUUGAGUGCGCUAGGCAUUGGUGAUGGAGAUUUGGUGAUGAUGGUGUCUAAUGCAGCAUCCCUGUCUAGGUGUGUUUUCUGCUGAUGUCUCAAGUUAUGUUUCAUUAUUUUAUCGGCUAUUUACUGUCCCAUGUUGUUCCCUUCCCCAUUACUCUGCCACAUCUUGCGAAUACAUCUUGUCUUUUGUCUUCUGCUAACAAUUAAAUGAAUGCAUUCCAGUGCACCUGCAAAUGAUUUGAGCUUCAAACAAGACGGGUCUGCAGCAAAUCCUUCAGCUUUCCAACAACACUUGCGAAAUGAUUCAAAUUUGAUGGCCCAACUUUUUCAGGUGGAGGAAUUUAGCUAUUUCCUUUCUUUUUGCUUUUGCUAAAACAUUUUAAGAAAGAAAUGAAGUUCUUAAAAGCAUAUUGUAUUAGUGCAAAAUUGCAAUUUUCAAAACAUGUACCUACUCAGAGUUUUUGAACUAGUUAGCAUCCGUACAUUUCCUAGCUGGUGAUUGUUAAAAGAAAAACUGCCCUUACAUAUGAUGUUAUCAUGAUCUUAUAGGUACGAUGAAGGAAUAGUCAUACGCCGAUUAGGAAGUUUCGUACUUAUUUAGUGGAUUCCUAUCAUACUUCGUAAUUUUGCUGGAUCAGUCUGAUUUUAAAAUGGUUGCUAAUUUGACUUGAUUGUGUUCUUACAUGCGCGGUGAAGGAUAAGUUAGAUUCUGAGAGGAAAUUUUCAUAUGCUUUAAUCUUUAUGAUGGAUUACUCUUAUACUGUGUUAUUUUUUGGAUCAAUUUGAUGUGAACAUGAUUGCUAUUAUUUGUGCUCUCCUCCGCUCCACCUUGUGGUUGGUUGCGAUCAAUUCAUAACACGGAGGUCCCAUGAGCUUGUAUAUGAUGUUUGAACUUGCAGAAUGAUCCUGAGUUAGCACAAGCUGUCCUUGGGAAUGACUUAAAUAGGCUGCAAGAGCUUCUACGUUUGCGUCAUCAGCAUAAAUCAGUGCUACGGCGUCGUCAAGAGGAGGAGAUGGUCAGGAGCUUCUAUUGCUAAAUUACCGUCUUUUCUUCUGUAUGCUUUAAUGUACUCCACAAUUUUGAAAGUCCCAUUAGUGAUUGCUUUACAACUUCUUGCCAAAAGAUCAUAGGAACUAAUGAUUGUGCUAAAAGAUCAUAGGAACUAAUGCCAGUGAUCUGCUGUAAAGAAGAGUAGAAUUUUGAAAUUCCCUUAUGCCGCAAUUUGGAAGCAUUCAUUCUGUAAUGUAUCAUGCAAUAUCUACUAAGGAUGUGACCUUAGGGUUUACCACAGGCUUUUGAAGGUGUUUCCCAGAGCUAUAUAGUCAGCUUUUACAGUAUAUUUUGGCCAUCUGAUGCUUUGCCCCUAGCUUAUAUGAAGUCGGCAGGACUGCUCAGAAUUUCUCAACCGUUUGAUUUAAAUUUUUCUUAGUUUAACUUUCUAUAGAUAUUUGAUUUGUUAUCUUUUUGUUUCCUUCGGUGCUCACCUAGGUACUCAUUAAGCGGGCUAGAUAAAGAAGUUUCAUACAGCCAACCCAACUAAUUCGGGAAUGAGGCAUAGUUGAUUGAUUGAUAUUCAUUGAUUAAUAUAAAUUUAUGUUGAAUCGUAGGCACUGCUGUAUGCUGAUCCAUUCGAUGUCGAGGCACAAAAGAAAAUUGAAGAGGCAAUUCGCCAGGUUAGCUGGCAUAUCAAUCUACAUUGUCAUUAUAGAAUGUUUUUGAAACUGAGGUGUACUGGCCAAUUUUUUUAGACUGCUUCAAGUUAUUAUCAGUUAAGCACCGUAGCUCCUUUGUAUACAUUCUUUAAUUUUAAUAUGCUUAUUUUACUUGAAUGGACCAUAAACAGCCAUGCUUUUCCUCCUUCCUUCUAUUUUUCUGGGAAAACGAUCUAGCUCCUAUUUAAGCAUGAUUUACCACUGUUUAGAUAAAUGUUAUGGCAAAUAUAUGAAAGCGGUUAACUUCUUCACAGGGACGUUUAUUAUUUGAUCAAAUAUCGAUUUUACUAUGUUAACUAACUUUUAUACUAAGUCACUCUAAUUAUCAACUAAUGACGUUAAAAUAAACUGUAUACCUUCCUGUGAGCUUCUCUUCCAACAGCUCUAGUAUGCUGAAUAUUGAAAUAUUGUUUGGAUCAUCAUUCGACCAACCUAUAAAUCAUCGGUAGCCUUUGCUUGUUGGAUUUUGAUAGGGACUCUGGAACUUGUAGUUGAUUUGAUUGAUUAAUAUAUGUAGAAGUUUCAUCCAUCUCAAAAUAACAUAUGUAGAAGAUUCACAUAGCCAAUCCCAACUAAUUUGGGAUUGGACCUAAUUGAUUGAUUGCUAGAGUCUUUGGAGCUUGUCCUGGAUCAUCCGUACUCUCUUUGCAGAUUAUAUUGCCGUAAAAUGGCGUAACUUUUGUAUAGCCAGCCAGUCAUUUUUUAUAAGCUCAAAUGCCAUAUCUUGUAAUUCUUGCACCUUCUUGAUGACUUUAUUAAUACCAAAUCAUCAAAAAAGUAAAAUGGUAUAAUCAUAAAGUCUUGCCAAAUGUUUCUCCGUCUACUAUAUAUUAGUUUUUUCUUUUAUUCGGUGGUGUCUUUCUUCGGAAACUUCUCUUUUGAGCCGAGGGUCUACCGGAAACAACCUCCCUACCCCACAAAGGUAGGGGUAAGGUCUGUACAUCGUACCGUCCUUGUCCCCCACUUGUGGGAAUACACUGUAUGUUGUUGUUUUAUGCAAUGGAAGUUGGGUCUAGUUGUGUUAGAGCUUUUCCAUGUUUUGCAUAUUUUCCAGAAAGGAAUUGAAGAAAACUGGGAAGCUGCGUUGGAACACAAUCCUGAAGCUUUUGGCACUGUGGUAUGUAAAACUACCUUGUGCCUUUCAAAGUUUGAUUUUCUCUGUGGUUUUAAUGAAGCUGGGUAACUUUUUGGCUUAUUCAGAUUAUGUUAUAUGUUGACAUGGAAGUAAAUGGUCAUCCUCUAAAGGUAGGGAUUUUGUUUUUGAUUUGAAUGUGUUCCAUCUUCUUGGUAAAUCUUGUUACAUUUGGUUCAGUGGGAUAUUUUGUUUCUCUUUGCUUUAGGCUUUUGUGGAUAGUGGAGCUCAAUCCACAAUUAUAUCUAAAAGCUGUGCAGAACGUUGUGGGUAUGAUUUCUGAGGCUGUGCUGUAUUUUUGAUAGUAACUUGUAUUUGGUUAGCAAAAAUGAUUAUUAUAUAGCAAGCUCGUACCUUUCUUUCUUAAAAAAUAAAAUUAAAUUGCAAGCACAUUGAUUGAUGAGUAGUUUUAGUCAGAGAUAUAUUUUUACCUUGUAAAAAAAAAGGUCAGGGAGACGAGAAGAGUUCCUUUUUUUUUUAAAUAAAAUAAAAUUUAAUUGAAGUAUAUUGUUCAAAAAUUCAGAUUCUAGAUUGACAGAAGAAUAGCAAUAGACAAAUUAAGAAUUCAAUGUGAAUUAUAGAAGCACAUCGUGCAGAAUCUUCAACUCCUGCUGUAGACUGUUUGGCAUUAAGACUGCAUGCUUUUCAUCGACAUGCUAUAGUGUCUCAAGGUUAAUCUAAAAAAAUUUUAGUUCUGAAGUUCAUAGUUGCUUACUUAUUGUAUGAAACACACUACACACCUAUAUUAUAAUGUUCCUAAUUCAUAUCCCUUUUCUAACUUAUAAGAUAUUAGAACUACCUUUAAAAUUCCUUAACAAGCCAGGAGGCAGGGGGUAUCCAUUAGCUUGAUGACGGGGUUGAGUGAAUAACUAACAAGUAAAAGUCUAGGGUAGAUGGGUGGACCCAUCAUCCGCAGAGUUUUAAGCCGUAUGCCACUGAUCUUUGGGGAUUUCUUGGUUAUCAAACAGUAGAAGUUUAUAGGGCAAUACAUUACUCCGUUUGACAUUCAGAUUUUUGGUUUUGUUUACUGUAGAAUAAUGUAGUAAUGAAUGUAGCUGGUGUUUGUUGCUGUUUAUUCUUUUCCAAACUAUCACUGUUGACCCCUUCUCUCGCAGAUUGUUGAGGUUACUAGAUACACGCUACAAGGGCAUUGCUCGUGGAGUUGGUCAAACAGAGAUACUAGGUCGUAUUCAUGUUGCUCCAAUCAAGGUUUGUUGCGUCCUUGGAGCUUAUGAGCUACUUCAGUCUUGUGUGUGUACUUCAAGUGCAUUGACAGUAUACAAUAGAUGCAGCUGUUUUUUACCAUAAAUAGUUGAUACAGCUGUUUUACCGAUGAAUCCUUUUUAUUUUCUCAUGCACUGCCCAGAAAUUAAAUAGAUUGCUGGGUGGUUAAAUUCUGCUUCUGUCAAAUGCUUUCCAUAUCCUAUUCUCAGUUUCGCUAUUACUGUACUAUGUCUUACUAAUGUUCAAUUUUGUCUGGGUUCCUGAUGCUAACUAUCCUUUCUAUGGUUAGCAGUUUAAAUCAUAAAUUAGUUACACACUAACCUUUAUGCACAACUUAUAGCUAUACAUAAUAGUCAAUAACACCCAAGGGUGUGGCCUAGUGGUUCAAUGAAGUUGGGAUGAGUACCAUGAGGUUUCAGGUUCAAUUCCCAUUCCCAGCAGAGACAAACACUAGGUGAUUUCUUCCCAUCUGUUCUAGCAUUGGUGGAUAGAGUUACCUGGUACCUUAUGCUGGGAGGUGGCAGGUAUCCCGUGGAUUUAGUCGAGGUGCUCACAAGGUGGCCCGGACACCACGGGUAUCAAAAAAAAAAAAAAUAGUCAAAUAAUUAAUAAUCUGUCAGUUGCAAUUUGUAAGUAGUUUUAACUUGCUGGCUCUUUGCUUUAAAUCAAUUUUUCCGAUGACUUGUCCCAGUAGUCAGUUGGUGAUAAUUACUUGUUCUAGUCAUGACACAUGAGGAUUAAGUUGUCCAACCAGCCACAUGUGACAUUUGUUUUAGUGAACGGAAGCUUUGGAAUUAACGAGAAGCUGUGGAUAUGCUGCCUUCAAAUUAAUGAUAAGUUCCUAGAGAUGCCCUGUUAACAUGUUUGACUUCAAUUUGCUACUCUUAACUAUGGCAGAUUGGAAACAAUUUUUACCCUUGUUCUUUUGUGGUGCUGGAUUCUCCGAAUAUGGAAUUUCUAUUUGGACUUGAUAUGCUUCGCAAGCACCAGGUUUACUUUCUUGCCUUGCUCGUAACAUUUUUUCCAUUUUUGUUUCCUUUUUAAUACAUAUUAUAAGCUAAUGGUAAUGAGUUUUUGCAGUGCAUGAUUGAUCUGAAGGACAAUGUUCUGAGAGUUGGCGGAGGGGAAGUUGCUGUACCAUUUCUACAUGGUUGGUGAUGCUCCUGGUUACCUUGAUACUGGAUAGUACUACUUUUGAGCUUUUACCAAGUUUUUUGUACUUCAAAUUUCAGAGAAGGACAUUCCCGGUCAUUUUCUUGAUGAGGAGAGGCACGCCAAGGAGGCUUCGAGCUCAGGAGCCCAGGUAAAGGCAUUUUUUUUAAAUAAAAAUAUUUUUUCUGAAUUUAACAUUAGCGUCUUUCUUUUUUUUCCUCUGGAAGUAUGUAGUGGGCAUGUAGUUUAAUGUGAGCAGUUAAUGAACAAAAAAAUUGAUCUAUUUCAAGAGCUAAUGUUGUACAAAUUUGAGUGCACUUGACGCCAUAAAAGAUAAAGUUGAUUGUGAAAUUAAUGGAAUCAUUGAUGAAAUGAUUGAAGUUGGCCUCUUUCUUUUUUACAAUUACGACAUUCUUGAUGAAAUUUUCUUUAUUUUCUGGGGUUGCUUUCGCCGGUUUGCUCCAAGGCCGGUGCAGUUACGUUAUGCUGCACUUUAUAAAUCUUCAAGAUUGUUUAGCCCUUUCAUAAUCUGUUAUAUCAUCGUUUUCCUCUGAUAUUCAAAUCAGAAAUUUUGACCUUCUACGAGCAGUGCUAAACUUGGUUCUUUCCUUGUUGUAUCAGGCAACAUCUGGAGCAACGGAGAAGACUGAUCCUACAAAAGGAGGUCCUUCUGGUUAGCUUCAAUAUCCAAAUAUAAUUGUGAUAUUCCACCUAGAUCGUUGCAACUUUUUCUCCGUCAGUUUCAACUGUUAUUCUGCACCCAGGGAUUCAGAUUCUUUAAGAUUAUUUGCUUAAUAUAAUCUAGGAAAUCAUGUUGACAUGCAGUUCUCUUUCUUCUUGCUUACGGUUGUUUCCACAGCUAUCUUUAUUGAGAUAAGCAUCUAGUACCCCCUCGAACUAUGACCAAAGUUUCUACGACACACUCCAACUUCACAGGGGUCCUAUUACCCCCUAACUCAAUUUUAGCGUAUUUUUGUCACCCGUUCGUGCUGACGUGACACCUUUAUUACAUAAAAUGGGGCCCACGUCAAAGGUGCUACGUCAAAAUGGUUGACAAAAGGUGCUACGACAACACAAAAAUAAGCUAAAAUUGAGUUUGGGGUUACUCAUCUUUAUUUUCUGUCUUCUGAAUUGCAUUUACUUAUGAUUCAACAUUGUCUUGAUCCACAGGAGGUGCCCGUGGGAACUUGACACAGGUAAAUUUGUGCAGCGCGUAAAUUUUCUUGUUCCUUUGUGAACAAAUAUGAACCUCAGUAGAAGAACAAUUCAAACUUGGAAUCGAUGUUUUAUGUGCAGGGACCUGAAUUCGAAGCCAAAGUUGCUAAGCUUGUCGAGUUAGGCUUUGGACGGGAUGCAGUAAUACAAGCUCUGAAGUUUUUCGAUGGUAACGAAGAACAAGCAGCCGGAUAUCUAUUUGGGGGUUAAUUAUAUCCCUUUCCUAUCAUAGAAUUAAGAUUUGUGACUUUAAAAUUUUCAGACUAAACAUUUUUUAUUGUUGAGAUUAAGUUAAGUCUUCCUACCAUUGCAUUCAAAUUUGUCUUUGAAAUUGUAUUUGGUGGACACAAAAUUAACCUUGAAACUCAAGGUGAAUUAUUUGGUUCUGUGGUUGUUUGGGUGUUAUAUUAAACUUAAUGCAUGGUAGUAAAUGAGCAUUUACACUUCAAUUUUUCAUAUUUGUACUUUUUAAGUAGGUUAAUUUUAUCACAUAUUGCACACAUUUGUUUCUUGUCCUUUUACUAUUUCUUAUCUAAAUUGUUUUAUUUUGAGCCGGAGGUCUAUCGGAAACCUCCUCUCGAUCUCACAUCUGAGGUAGUGGCACGGACUGCAUACACUUACCCUCCCCAGAUCCCACUUGGUGGGAAUAUAUUGGGUAUGUUGUUGUUGUUGUGCACGGAUUGCAUAUACUUACCUUCCUCAGGCCUCACUUGGUGGGAAUAUACCGGAUACGUUGUUGUAUUGCACAUAUCUUUCCGUAAGAUACACACUUAUUUUGCCAAUUGUUAGCAGCUUUCUGCUGUUAUCCUGAAUUAUGAAUAACUGCAGUAGUAGUAAUCUAAACCAAUAUAGAAGUUCCAAGAUAUGCAAUAGUUUUACCCCCAAUGAUCCAUUACUAUUUUGUUGUCGUUAUUUUCCUUUCUAUCGUAUUUUCUUACGCUUCUUUUGAGCCAAAAGUCUAUUGAAAAUAGCCUUUACCUUACAAAGGUAGGGUAAAAUUUGUAUACGACCCUAUCCUUUGAAAACCCCACUUGUGGGAUGAUGUUACGCACGAUUGAUUCAUGAGGAAAAAGAAAAAAGGACAACCCGGUGCACUAAUCCUCCUGUCAUGCGCGGGCGGGGUGCACUAAUGCUGGGGUCCAGGAUGCAUGAUAUUGAUACAAUGCAUAUCAUUCAUGAGCAAAAGAAAAGGACAGCUCGGUGCACUAAUCCUCUUGUUAUGCAUGGGGUGCACUAAUGCUCCUGCUAUGCAAUGGGGUCCAGGGUGUAAUUAUACCCGUCUUCGAGGAGAAAAACUAGUGCAACUCAAAUGUAAAAUAAGUUUGAAGAUUGCAUUUCUAAGGCAACUAUAGUCAGAAUACAAAUUUUGAAAUGUCCAAAGCUAUGAACACAUUAUUGAUUGUUUAAUCAUCCUCAACUGGCUCUCUUUUCUUCCUCAUGAGCUCUCUCCUGCGAUUCAGAGAUGGAACGCGACCACCAAUAUUCAUCAUGAGCUCUCUCGCGCGAUGGAGAGAUGGAACACGAUCACCAAUAUUCAAUGUUUCAGUCAUCAUCUGUACCGAAAUACCUGUCACCAAACUCUCCCAUUCCAGGGAUAACACGAAAUUCUUCGUUCAAACCAUUUUCUAUCUCAGAUGUCACAAUCUUUAUUCUUGGAAAACGCUUACACACCACGUGUACUCCUUGGGGCGCCUAGUUUGAGAACAACACAAGUUAUGAUUCCGGCAUUAUGUUGCAACAGAAGAUCUGCUUGUUUACGCGUUAAACAGGCAGCCAGGUGCGCUAAAGCUCUCGCUAUGCGGGGGGGUCUAUUCUACGCAGCCGCCUUACCCUGCAUUUAUGCAAAAGGCUGUUUCCACGGCUUGAACCCUGUGACCUUUUGUCACAUGGCAGCAACUUUACCAGUUAUGCCAAGGCUCCCCUUCUUGUUAUGCGCAAUGAGUGGAUGUAAAGAGAAUCAAACCCAACAAUUGGAUGAGCCAGUAAACUUACAGAGAUAAGAUUAAGGAAUAAAAUGUUGGACUCUGGGACUCCCUUCUUUAACAGUAAAGAAAUAGCUUGAACUGCUGAAUUCCCUGCAGAUUGUUACAUAAUAGGCUCAGUUAUGCAAUCGUUUAAAAGGGCAGCCCGGUGCACUAAAGCUCCCGCUAUGCGCAGGGUCCAGGGAAGGGCCCCACCACGAGGGUGUUUCCAGGCUUGAACCAGUGACCGUAUGGUCACAUGGCAGCAACUUUACCAGUUACUCAAAGGUUACGCAAUCGUUUGUCAAGAAAAUUUUAAAAUGCUUGAUGAUGUAAUGCAGAAGUUAGAGGUCGAGGGCGUUCGUGAAAAUAGACUAACCUGUGCCAAGGAUAGGAUCUAACAAAAGGACAUGCCUUUGUGCAAUAUCUUCUGGUAGUUUUUCAUAGAUCAGCUGCACCAUUAUUCAUGCCAUUAAUGAGAGAAAUCGAAUGCUAAUAUAAUGAUUCGGGGGGGCAAAGAGAUCGCUAACCUGCUGGCCGUUGUCACCUUCUCUGUGGAUAAGAAUCUUGCCUAUCUUGAUACCUUUACAACAUGCACGCAACGCGUUCUCCAUGCUCUCUCCACUGCACAAAUUAGGAACUCGUAUGGCUAGUAAAGAGAACGUUGCAAUGACGAAAUCUACUUUUGAAGGCAGAUAAGAAGCAACCACGGUCACUUCUAAGGUAAACAACAUAUCUAGUGUAAUCCCACAAAAGGAGGUUGUUUUCGAUAGACGCCCGGCUCAAGUAAAGCAUAUCAAAAUCAAGUAUCAAAAGGAACUACAAUCGCGAAGAAGCAAUGCUGAAAUUGUCACUUCUAAGGUACCAAGUGAGGCGAACAGUAAUUACCUUCUAAUUACAGAGACACCACAUAACCUCUUGCAGAAAUCUACACCACUGUAUACCGAUCCUGCAGUCAACAGAGGUGAGUUUAUUUAGGUACAUUUUUCAUGUUCGAGGACGGCAAGAAGAGCUAAGCCUAUGAGUAAACAUGAACAGAAGAAACUCUGAAUCAAAUGACGAUAUUGUCUAUAGUUCACGAGGACCUCGUUCCAUGCGAGUCUUGUCAGAUCAGUAUCGUAAUGAGUGAUAGCACAACAUUCUAUAUGAAGAGUUGGAAAAAAGUGAGACAACAAUAGCAUUUAGCCUGGUCCAUACACCUAAUAUAGACCGAACUUACCAAAUAGGCUACGACAAUAGAAGAAAUCAAAACAUUUCCGAGCACAAGUCAUGAGUAUUGCGUCAUGGGGAUAGCGCUUACCGGUUGGAGUGAUCACCUGUUUUUCUGUAAAUGGCAGAUGUCCUAGUCCAUGCUCAACAACCUGGUAAAGUGAGGCAUAGAUAAGGGAAAACAAAGAUUUGGACUUCUCGCGUUAAAAACUUAACUUGAUUACCGUGUAAGAAAGGGAAACUUACCAAACGAAUCAAUCUAUCAGCAUAAAACACAAAAUCAUGCUUUGUCGUCUGUGCAUCGCGGAUAAGUGUAUGCAUGCCGCGUAUCUAAAUGGAACAAAUAACAAUCAUUAGAACAAAAUAAAAGCUUGAUCUUGAAGAACAUGAAAAUGACUUCAAGAUGAAGCUUAAACAGUUGGGGACUAGAACAUAUCGACGAACAAGAUGGAAAUAGCACCUGGAAAGUAGAUUGAAUAACAUAUAAGUUAGGGUAUAUUUUACAAAGAUUAUUUUGACCAAGUUUCGUCCUAAUAUGUUGCACAAUCAAAUCGAUCGCAACAUGGUUGUCUCCACCCCGGGGAAUGAUAAUGUCAGCAUACUUCUUUGUUGGAAGAAUGAAGUCAUCAAAAGCCGGUUUGACAAACUUGGAAUACUGCACAAACAUUACAUUACGUUAGUCUUGAAAAGCAAACAAAUUACAUAAAGAAUUAUGCUGAAUUUUGGGCAAGUCGUCAGUUUUGAAAAGGCCUUGUUAGAACCUUCCGUCGAGAACAGAAUCCAGGUGCAUGCACAGACAUGAAGCGGGCAAAAAGUUAGCUCACAAAUUCUUUCAAAAAACAUAUAAAGCUCAGCUAACCUGAUCUAGUACUGUAGCAAUAUCUCUAUUCUUUUCAACAGUGUCUCGUCUUAUCCUCCUUGCAAGGCGUACAUCAGCAUCUGCGCUGAAAAUUUUAAAUUAUGAAGCCACAAAAGCAGAAGAUUCACCAUAGAUGUCCGUCGACAUGGAAUGGAACAACAAGCAGAAGCAAUAUCCUUGUGAUUAAGACUAACCGGCAAAUCGAACAAUAGGAAGAGCUGACAACAAUUGUAAAAACAAACGCUGCGAAGAAAUAAGUAAAAUCACUCCAAUGAUCCGCUUCAAUGUGGAUUUGGUGCUUCUACACAUACAUCCGUGUAGCAUAGCAGUAUUCCGAUUGCUAGAUUCUUUUUUUCUUCUCGAUAAAUCUAAUGUUGUCUAGACAAAUAAAGGACUGGAACAAAAAUUCAGUUAGUGUUUGAAGUUCGGUGAGCCGGGGGUCUAUCUGAAACAGCCCCUCUACUUCUUCGGAGGUGGUGGUAUGGACUGCGUACAUUUUACCCUCUCCAGACCCCACUAGGUGGGAAUACACUGGGUAUGUUGUUGUUGUUUGAAGUUCGGUUUUAUCAUUUUUAGGUGAAAUAAUUGAAAAGAACAAGAUGCACGAAAGAAAAAAAUCCGGAUGAGAUAAUGACUAUGGCACCCUAUUCUUUUAAUAUCACAGAUAGAAGUCGAUGAAGGACAGAACUCAUGCCAACAGGGAGACAAAGCAGUAAUAUAAUACAAGAGAUAUAAAGAUAUAUCAAAGAAAGGAGAGGAAAGAACCUGUAUCUACAAAUAUCUUCAUACUCAUCAGAUCUCGGACACGAGGAUCAUGAAAAAUGAGUAUGCCUUCCAAAAUUAUAACAUCCGAAGGAUUGACCUACCAAGUUAAGUCAGAGUGGUCAGUGACACAUAAUAAAAAAAAAAAAAUUAGACGCAGGCAGUAGGUUUCCACACGCCUAUCUUAAUAAUCUAUCGAGAAGAGUGUCUAUGUUCCAAAUCAUUGGAAUGUUAUCUUUCUCCUUUUCCUCCUUGUUUUCCCUUGGAGGCAGGUUUGGAUCACAGAUAAAAAAUGUUCAAAAGAUGGACGACGUAAAGUGACAUACUCUUAAAAGGAAUUGGAUUGAUAUCGAUGUAACAGUACAAGCUGAAACGAUAUAAAAAUAAGAGGAAAACACCAUGCUAUAUAAGACAUUACCCUUCGAAGAGGGAAUACGUCAUUCUUGUAACUCUUAAAAUCAUACUUUGGAACAUCCACAGCUUGCCCAUGCUUCAAUUUCUCCAUCACACACAACAGUUGCUCAGUGUCAAAUGCAUCUGAAUACGACGCACAAUAAUUAGAAAGAAGAAAAAAAACGAUGCACAAUAAUUAGAAAGAAGAAAAAAAGUUAGCACAUAGAAACUAAGAAGAAAAGCACAUAGAAACUAAGAAGAAAAAAAACGAUGCACAAUAAUUAGAAAGCAGAAAAAAAGUUAGCACAUAGAAACUAAGUACAUGUCUCUUUAUUAAGUGAUUCCAUGGAGUUAACACUUCUGUGAAAACAAGUAUUAAUUGUUCAAAUCCUUAUUAACCGAUUUCACGGAGUUAAUAUGAUCUAUCGGCAACUGUGAGAAUGAUAAUAUAGAUAACUGUCGAUACUUCACGAUAGAAAAUGAUUUCUUUGUUUCUCUAAGGAAUGAAGAAAUAAACAGUUUUACCUGUGUAUUCAAUGCAAGAGUAUAAAGAACGAGACUAACCAGGAUGGUCAAAGUUGUACUCGUGAACUUUUGUGAGUUCUUCUAGAGUCAAAUUGUGAUAAAAAGAAUCCUGCCAAUUGAAACACACGUCAGAGAAAUCAGCGUUCGGGUUUGGCAGGCUAUAUGCCAUUUCCCCCAAAAUUAAGACAAAUAUAAAGCAAGGACACACUGAAAAGUAGUGCAAGACAGACAAAUAUCUACACUCGGUGAUUUUUAUGACCACAACUUCAGCAAUGAAACAUGUCAGAUGAAGCUUUAGACGUGUCCUGUAAAAGAACUCUUUAUACUGAACUUCACAUGUAAAAGCUCAGAUCCACGAGUCAAUCAAAUCUGGAAUAUGGAAUAGGACCCCAGGUGAAGUAGCUGUAAUAAGCAAAGAGUGAAUGCUUAUCACUUAUAUGUGUCCCCGGGCCUUAGCUCACUUGGCAAAGGUUGAGGGACUUUGUGAAUAGGGUCACGGGUUCGAGCUCUACGCCAAGCGAACCAAGACUAGUAUUCAAGUGGAGAACGGUAGAGGAUUGGGUCCAUCGCUUCCUAGUUUCAAAGGUUGUGGUUGGUCUUAAGGGCAUUAGAGAAAAAAUCUAAAAACGAAUAGAAAAAGAACUAUGCUGUCAGUCAAAUUUAGAGUGAUGAAAGGUGUUUUUUUUUUCACUAUGAAGAAAACUUGCCUGGUUAACUAGGACAACACGCUGAUCGUGAAGCUGAUCAAUAAUCAAAUCGCAAACUGUAGUCUUGCCCGAUGCAGCACCUCCAGCAACUCCUGCAGGGAAAACGGUUCAUACGGGCAUGGAUUAAGAGAACACUAAGAGAGCUGGAAUGAUUCAAAAAGAUAACAAUCAUGAUAGAUGCAAACACAAUUGGCAUUACGGUCUUGAAUAGCAUGAAAGUUCAAUCAGUCCAAAGUUUAAGUUUCACUACUGUAGCAAUGUUACAUGAACUGCUCCCACAUUAGGCAAUAAUCCCAAGAGAUCUCCUCAUGCCAAAUCGACAAACUGCUAUUUUGACCAAACGACAGACAACAAAUUCAGAGCAUAUGCUUCCAGAGUUCCAGUAAAUGCUGAACUAACUCCACUAAGAUGAGAUACAAAAUCAUUGCAACGGGCAAGAGAUGGAUCGGGCACAAAAAUCAAUCCAGGCUUUAGUAAGCUUGGUCUGGAUAUCUACGUCAAACAACUAACUGAAAUAAUUUUAAUGCAAGCUCAAUGAUUUCCUUUCCAUCACCAAAUUCAACAUCAUAAUUUUCUCAUCCAAUGUGAUCAAGCAUAUGCAUGUAUAACUUUACUAAGUAUUAAAGAUGCAAGAGCCAUUAGCAUCUGCCGAAAAUGAUUUGAAUGAUGACAGCAAUUAAUCGUUCUGCAUAUAUUUGUGAUAAAGAGAUUGAGUAUCUGUCCUUAGUUUCAGAAGGUAAAAGUAUCGUGUACACUGAGAUUCAUCAAACAUAAGGGUGCGAGGAACAAUUCGGUGAUUUAUCUCCUUCUAUGAUUAAGCAAAGCACGAUAGCCUCGAAAGUACAGUUAGUUUAGAAAAAGCUCAAGCAACAGCACGAGAUAUAUUACCGCCUCCACAUACCUAUGACAAACGGUUGCUUAACACUUCCAUCUAUAGAAGUUGUUGGUUGAUCAAUCUCUGAAGUAUGUGACUCUUCUAAAUGAAAUCCGGAAUAAUGUACUCCGGAUGACGCCUCUAACAAAUCUUCAACUGCUUUUGAACCCAUUUAUAAAUUGUAGGCUCUGCAUUUACGUAACAAUCAGCUGAUGGAAUAAAAGCGUACAGAAGAUUAUACCAACAACAUAAAAUAGUCAUCCAGAUGGUAACUGACAUACUCCCGAAAAAUUUAACCUUUCCUUUCAAGUGAGAUCUUCUCCAACAUAACUCAAAAUAGUAAAGUCCAUAAUUCAUGAUUCCUCGACUUAGAUACAGCUGUUUAUACUUUUUGGCACUAUGCUUUAAGAUGCAAAACGUCUACGAUACUAACACAUUUCGUGUUUUCUUCAGUUCCAGAUUUAUAAAUCGCUACUAAGCUUUUAGUUGUACAAAUGAUCACCCAGAAAAACAACAAUAACAACACGUCAGUCCCAAAUGAUCACCUAGAAUCUUGAAAAUUUAAUAUAGUGCAUCUCAGCAGCUAAAAAUAUGAAAAUAAUUGCUCCUUUGCUGCAACCAAAUCAAGGUUUCACAACUUCGUACAUGCCCUAAUAAAUUAAUAAAAGAAUCUCUCUAAAUCUUAACUACUAUGUAUUCACGACUCCGCUGUAUCAUAGUUCAAUCCUAAGUUGCUCCGACUCUUUUGAAAUUGCCGCACCCGUGUCGGAUCCUUCAAAAAUGCACUAUUUUUGAAGGAUCCGGCAAGCACCAGAUUACACUUUUGAAGAGACCGAGCAACAUAGAUUCAAACAUCCUCAACUUAAAUACAAACGGUCACCAUAGUGCUAAAAAAUUAAUUCAGCAUCUCGGCAGCUAAAAAGUAUGGAAAGAUUGCUCCUUUGCAGCAACCAAAUCAAGGAUUCACAAAUUCUUACAUGUCCUAGUAAAUCGAUAAAAGAAACUUAUCUAAAUCCUAACCACCGCAUAUUCACGACUCUGCUGUAUCCUAGUUCAAACAUCCUCAAAUUGAGUACAAAGGUCAAAGGGUCACCACAAUGCUGAAAAACUAAUUCAGCGUCUUAGCAGCUAAAAGAGUACUAAACAGAUUACUCCUUUGCUGCAAUCAAUCAAGGUUUCACAAAUUCAUACGUGUCCUAGAAAAUUGAUAAAAGAAUCUCUCUAAAUCCUAACUACUACAUGGUCCAAACAUCCUCUAAUUGAGUACAAACGAUCACCGGCAAUGCUGCAAAAUUAAUUCAGCGUCUCAGCAGCUAAAAAUUAUGAAAAAGAUUGCUCCUUUCAUACAACCAAAUCAACCCCUCAUGAGGGCCCUUAGAGUAGGAGAAGUAGGGGGACCAUAAGAAUUAAUAAAUAGCAAUAAAGAUUCUACCUGUUUAACUACUACAACACUUGCAACAAUAACAACAUAACUACUGUAAUCCAACAAGUGGGCAUUUGGGAGCGUAGAAUGUACGCAGACCUUACCCCUACUGCAAAAGUAGAGAGAGGUUGUUUCCGAUAGACCCUCGGCACUUACAACAACAACAUAAAAGGACAGCCCAGCGAACUAAAGCUCCCGCUAUGCGCAGGGUCUGAGGAAGAGCCCCACCACAAAGGUGUUUUGUACACAGCCUUACCUUGCAUUUCUGCAAGAGGCUGUUUCCAAGGCUUGAACCCGUGACCUCGUGGUUACUCCAUAGCUCCCCUUCAACAACAACAACAACAUAUCUAAUGUAAUCCUGCAAGUGGGGUCUUGAGCAAGUAGGAUGUACGCAGACCUUACCUUAACCUUUGCAGGGUAAAGAGACCGUUUUCGGUAGACGCUCAGCUCAAAAGAAAUGUAAACAAUACAGGACUACUUCAACACUUAAACAUAACAAAAAAACAUUAAUUUAUCACAAAUAAAAAGAAUCCCAAAAUCAAAUCUUUAACAUUUAGUCCAACAAGCAUCCAAGGGUGUGGCUUAGUCGUCAACGAAGUAGGUGAGAAUCAUAACAUCUCAGGUUCAAAUUCCAGCAGAUACAAAAACACCAGGUGAUUUCUUUCCAUCUAUCCUGGUCUUGAUAGAUAGAGUUACCUAAUACCUGUUGCGGGUAGGAGGUGGCAGAUAUCAUGUAGAAUUAGUCGAGAUGUGCGUAAGCUGACCCGGACACCAAAGUUAUUUAGAAAAAGAAACAUUAAUUUAUCACAAAUAAAGAAAUCCCAAAAUCAAAUCUUUAACAUAUAGUCCAACAAACAUCCAAGGGUGUGGCCUAGUCGUCAAUGAAGUGAGUAAGAAUCAUAACAUCUCAGGUUCAAAUCCCAACAAAUACAAUAUCCUAGCCUCGAUGGAUAGAGUUACCUGGUAUCUGCUGUGGGUAAGCUAGCCUAGAAACCACAAUUAUUAAAAGAAAAAAAAAACAUUAAUUUAUCACAAAUAAAGAAAGCCCAAAACCAAAUCUUUAACAUAUAGUCCAACAAGCAUCAAGGGUGUGGUCUAGUCGUCAAUAAAGUGAGUAAGAAUCAUAAUCCCAGCAGACACAAAAAUACUAGGUCAUUUCUUCCAAAAGCAUAGAGUUAAAAAACAUAUAGUCCAACACAUAAAAGAUAUAUUAGCUUUUUUUUGUUUUUGUUUUCCCAAGCCGGCAGUUAUGAGACUAAUCUUCCAUUCCUACGGUCAGCGCUAAAUAAGAAAUGUACAUAUAUAAAUUCAAGAAUCAAGAUUCUGGAAUAUACCUUUUUAUGGCUGGAAUCAACUAAAUUGAGCUAAAAAAAGGAUCUUUAACUACAAAAAAGAAAGACAAAAUCAAGAAAACAGUUAUCUUUAUGCAAUAUUAAUAUAUAUAUAUACAUAUAUAUAUAUACAUAUAUAUAUAUAUGAUUUUUUAAACAAUUUUGGUGGUGACCCAAGUGAAUCUAUAGGGUGAAAGUUCAUAAAAGCGGAGUUUUUUUGUAUUAUUGUGUUGAUAUUUUUUUGAAUUUUACAGUGACACCCAUAGUUAUACACUAAAUUUCUAGAUAUAUACAAAAUGGGGUUGCACCAAACAAAAAUGUGUUGAGAUUGUAUCGAAAGCAAUGUAUCUUUAUAAAAGAAAGAAUAUAUAUAAUUAUGUAUCUCGAUAGAUUAAAAAUUAAAAAAAUGUAUUGGGAGCUGACUAUGUAUCUUUACAAAGGAAAAAUUGUAUCUUCAAUAGAUAUAUUAUAUAUCUCGAACAUUUCAAAGUUGAAAAAAAUUUGUAUUGGGAGUUAAUUAUGUAGCUUUACAAAAGAAAAACGUAUCUUCGUUGAAGAUAUCGGAAGCUAAUUAUGUAUCUCAACGGAUCCAAAAUGAAAGGAAAAAAUGUAUCUUUGUUGGAUGUAUUAUAUAUCUCGAUAGACUCAAAAAUGAAAAAAAAAUAUCGAAAGCUAAUUAUGUAUCUUUACAAAGGAAAAGAUGUAUCUUUAUCGAAUAUAUCGAGAGCUCAUUAUGUAUCUCAACAGACUCAAAAUCGAAAUUAUUAAUUAUACUAAAAUAAAUCUAUAAAAAGAUUAUAUAAAAUAAUGUAUAUUACUAUAUACUCAUUGAUUUAAUUUAUAAAUAAUUAUAAAUCUUUUUCCAUUGUUUUUCAUUUUUAAUUUUUUUUUUCAUUUUUAACAUUUUAAAUUACACGUCAGCAUCGAGUUGGAUGUGGGGUCCACUGUCUUGUUGAGGUUAACUUUGGGCCCACAAAGUUUACUGAAUCUAUUAGUCUACCCCAUUAGUUUCCUUUUAUUUAACAGAAAUGGUCCCAAUAUGUUUUCGUACUAUUCGAAAUUGAAUAAAUCUGGCCUCCGUUGAUUUUUUGGCUCAUUAUAUUUUUAAUAUCGACUAUUUAAUUUCACAUAUAUUUUUCGUUUUAAUGAAUUAAUCGCUUAACACGUGUCAUAAUUCUAAGAAACCUGCAUGUCUCUAUGUGAAGCACAUAUUUGAUCCCACAUACAUAUUUUGAGAUCAAUUUAACCGCAUAUUACGUUCUUUCAUCAAUCAAAUAUUCGCACUUCAUUGAUCUGGUGUCUUUCAUAGAGUAAAGACGUUCCUUUCAAAAAAAAAUUCAUCUUUAAAUCGCGAUUAUGAAAUCUUUGAUUAACCAUUAGAUAUUUGUGUCUCAUCGAUUUGAUUACUCCAAAUUUGCAUCUAGCAACACCAAUCUUCGAGAGGUUUUAGUAUUAGUAUUAUUUUUUGGAUUUGAAUUCGAAAUUUUUGAUCAACCAUAUUUAAUUAUUUCGAUUAAUUUAAAUUUCUUUAUUCUUUAUAAAAAAAAUAACAGAAAUUUAGAAAUGGCUCAGAAUCCAAGACACUUGUAGUUGGAAUAUGUCAUACUAGUGGGAUGAACUUACUAUUUUUGUAAAGGUGUAGACUUGAAAAUAAAUCUAUUUUAAAUUAGAGAUAUCAAAUAUGAGUUUCUAAAACUGAAAAAAAAUCCUAUUGAAAGCACCACCGCCCUCAUAAAUGAACCCUAUAAUGCGAGAAUUCGAAUAUAAUCAAACAGAGACGGAGAAUACCAUUGUAUCAAUAACAAGGAAAAAGUAGCAAUUCAGUUUCAAAUGAUUUGACGAUCAAUUUUGAUUGAGGCAAUUCUUACUUGCUCGUUGCCAACUAAUCUAUCUCCUCGACUUACGAGCACGCCAUUCUUGAAACAGAUUUUCCAAUACAGGUACCGGACUUCGGAUGGAAAACAUUUUCACCAAAAAAGGAUUGUUUUGGUUUGGGGGGAACUUAUUACAUUUGUCAAGAGAUCAUAGUAAUGAAAGUUAAUUGGUUAAAUUACUUAAUUACAUAGGAUAUAGCUAAGUUGCUUGGACUCUUCAGAAAUGUUGCCGCACCCGUGUCGGAUCCUUCAAAAAUACACUAUUUUUGGAAUAUCCGACAUGCACCGGCAGACAUUUUUGAAGAGUCCGAGCAACUUAGGGAUAUAGUUAAUCACUCAUGAUAAAACUUUCAACAGCUGCACUUCAAAAAUUAGAGGCUCCUUCAUGUGAGACAUAAGGCUACGUCUUGGUCCAAACUGCAAGAAAACAAUAUCAGAUGAACCAACUCGACGACGACAACAACAACAUAAGGGUGUAAUCGUAAAAGUGGGGUCUGGAGCAGAUAGGAUAUACGAUGACUUUACCCCUACCUUUGUCGAGUAGAGAGGUUGUUUCCAAUAAACCAACAACAACGACGACGACAUACCCAGUGUAUUCCCGCAAAGUAGGGCCUCGAGAGGGUGAGAGGGUGAAGUGUACGCAGUCCAUACCACUACCUCAUAUGAGGUAGAGAGGUUGUCUCCGAUAGACUCCCGGCUCAAGACAUAUAACAAAUGUGUGAACAGAGCAGGAUUGAAAGGAAAAUAACGACAGAGAAAUAGCAAGAUAAACAAAGCAAUGGAAGCAACGUAUAAUAGUAAAAAUGAAAAUUAAGAUACUAUGUAAAUACUAAGGAGAGGAGACUAGCCACCUUCCUCUCCUACAUAAAUGUACGAAAGCACUCGCCUAACUUCUACCGUAAUUCUCGAUCUCCAUACCUUCCUAACUAAGUUCAUGUCCACAGUAAAUCGAAGAUACCCGAUGUCGUGUCUAAUAACCUUUCCCAGUUCUUUUUCGGCCACCUCUACCUCUCCUAAAACCUGCUAUAACUAUCCUCUCUCACACCUCGUUACUGGUGCAUCGCACAUCAACUAAAGAAUCAUAAGAGGAACCUGAAUUCCUUGCGAAAUCCGCUUUACAAUUAACCAGCCAAAGUUACAUCCAAAGAGUUACUCAUAGAAUCAGUUAGUUGGGAGACGAGUGUAGGAUAACUGCUACCAAAAGUAGAUUAAAUGAUAAUAUCCGCAAAACACAUACCUCUUCAGGUACUGGCUGUAGAUUCUCGUUGAUGUAUCCAACGGAAGGCGGUAUCAGUGCUCUUCUUUUUCCUGCAAUACAGGACUUACAGUUCAAAUACCUAGAACUGUAUACAUUGAAAAACAGAAACUAUUUCUUUUAAGAGCGUAGGAACAACCUCCGGGCUUCAUUCCGAUAAGGACUUCUUUCAGACCCUCUAUUAUCUGCAGAGAUUCAAGAAGACUUGUAAGACGAACAAAAAUCAGCUAAUUAUCAACUAUGCCCUCACCCCCACCCCUCACACAAUAACACAUGGAAAGAAGAGGGACCAUUGCAGUUAUAGGAGGUGGCUUACUACAGUGAGACGACAUAGACAACCCAGACAUCCUUAACCUCGCCAGUCUUGACGGCAUGGAGGGUAAUGCAGUUACUAUAGGAGGUGAUCCAUACUAGUGGGAAGACAUAAGCAAUGUCAGAAUGGUCCGCGAAAUACAUCUUUAACCUCACAAUUUCAAGGCAGGGUAAUGUUGGCAUCUGAAAAAGACUGAAACAUAUAAUGUUGCUCGGCGAGACAACGGCUUCUCCUGGCCGUUAUUCUUCUUAGUACUAAGUUUCUCUUCUUUUUAUGUGUAGGACCAAAUAUGUACCGAGAUUCUCUAGCAUGUUGCUUCGGAACAACAAUACAUUUUUUCUCACGCUAACAAAACUUGUCUAGGAUCUACCUGUUAACCUUGUUUGAUGAACUAUGUGGCACUAUUGGACCACAAGCACUAUAUAUCUCCCAUUUUAAAGGCACAAAAGACGUCGACAUGCAAUAGACCUUCCGGUGAUGCCACUUAAUGGAAGUCAGAAGGUUGCUGUCUGACCUUUAGAAUUUCUAUUUUAAGCCCAAAGCUAGCAAAUACCAUGACCUGUUUAUCAUCCAGAGGAAGUAUGACAGGAGCACUCUCUCCGCUGAAUUGGUCCACCGUACUACAUUGAAGCAAAACAAAAAAGUUCAAUGUAUAUUCCACAGAACAGAAGAAAGUAUGAUGUGGAUUUACUGAUUAAGAAGCAUCUGGAAGAGCGAACAUAAACUGAUGUUCUCUCCUUUUUCUAUAUUUUUCAUUCAGCAACCGUAUAAUUUUCUUUCUUAAGUUGAUUUUUGUUUAAAGCAGUACCUGUGGACAAAAUAUCCAUUUGAUCGUCGGCAGACAUAAUUAAUUUCAACGACAUCCCCUUCAUGAGCCUCUGGUCCUUCCCCUUCAACAAUAUCUGCAGAAGACCCAACAGAUCGUUAAUACCUUUAAAUGAACAAGAAUGACAUGGAGAGCUUGAUGUGCUCCCUUCCAAUCAUAAUGUUUUUAUGCUUGUGAUGACAUCAAUGACGAAAUGGAACAUAAAACUGUAAGGAAGGAGAUCAUUUAUUAUAAACAUCAACUGCUUUUCCUCUUAACUUUUUCAUUGGGUUAAAAUCUACAAUUUCCUAUCCUAAAUGCCCUAACUCGUAUGCAUGCACCAAACAUUGAACACAUGAAACUGCCGCAUGCCAAACAUAGAAGCAAGUUAUACAUGUUCCAUUCAAUUAUAACAACUUGAGCUCGACCUAUUAAAUGUUCGAAAGAGUCUGGAAAAAAGCUCAACUGGACUGGGCUCAUGUAAAAUUAACCCUGACUUGUUUUUUCAAUUAAGAAAAACAAACCAGAUGAUUUACUUCGACUAUUAACCGAAUCAAGCUCGUUAAAACUUGUCUUGAUUAGUAUAAUGUUCACGAAUAUAUUGAACAUAGGUGCAUCUCUUGGCAUAACUCUGUCUAUCUAUAUGAAGUAUAGAUAAUUUAAAACUUCGAUUCAGAGAACAGGUUGAGUAUAUUUAUCGUACGACCUUAAAAAGGGUUAUACCUUGUAGCCUCACUCCACUAUCAAGCUUUAAGGUCCUGAAUGCUUCAAAUCCAAAUUAACAACAGCAUUAAAACAAUGACUGAGUUUAUCUAGACUAGAUAAACAAUUAAACCGUGGAGGUAAGCAACCGAACCAAAAGCAGAAAAGAAACGGAAACAACAUUUACCGGAUAAUAUCAGGUUCUCUCAUCUCCUGCAUUGGUGCAGAUGAGACAGGAGAAAUGCUUAUGACGAUGGGACUCAGUCCAACAAACUGCAGAACUGACCUCCUCAGCAACUUUUUGACAUUUAGGGAUGGCAUCCUUUCAUCUGAGCUUUUAGGCACAGUAAUCUUACAUUGUUCACCGUUCUUAAAGCUGUUUGCAUAAACAAAUUAUAAAUUACAAGUAGGAUUAAGCAUAUGACAAUUUAGGAUUGAGGCAUAGCAGUUUUUGUUGUUGAUUAAGCAGAAAAACACUUCUAAUCUUCUUAUUCUUUCUUUGUCAUCUUUCGUUUUUUACUCUCGAAUGUAAUAAAUUCCAUUCAUCCAUAACUGGACAAACUUGCAGUUUAUAAAGUAAAACAAUAGCCUUUAUGAACAUAAAACAGCCAAGGCGGAAUUCAAGUCAGCGCACAUAGUAUCUUUAACCACUCCCCGUUCCCAAUAGUAGAUGUAAUUUUGAUAUCUUACAUUGCACGGUAUAUCCAAAUCUGUUUGCAUAAACAAGUUACAAAUUACAAGUAUGAUGAAGCAGCUGACAUUUCUUAUAUUCUUCUUUAUUUGUUAUGUUCUGCAUUUUCUCUCUAACGUCAAAAUUUCCAUUCAUCCAUAAACCAGACCAUCUUAUUUUUAAUGGUAAUAGGCAGUAAAAAGAGGCAAUACAGAAGAAUGUAAACAAUAAAACGAGUCAAAGUAGGUUGUCUCAAACUGUCGCACUCAAUUUUGUUGCAUCAUGUAAUUUAACCAAUUCAAUUGUUUGCUUGUUUAAUUAGACGGUGAAUGUGCAAGUUCACCCUUUGCUAAUUAGGACUAAUACUCGUGGAGGGAAAUACCAAAAAUAGGAACAAGGCUACAUAUUUUUAGAAAUGAGCGGAACUCUACUAACUAAGCUAUAUCCACCACGCCAAGUGGAGCAUGAAUAAAGUAGACAAAUGCUUUUUCGAUUCAGGAACAAGUGUUGAAUAACCUAUCUUUAUCGAAAGACAUCUAUGUAAUCUAGCGGACCAUGGAAUGUAUUAUCGAUGUUAAGAAAACCAAAACUAAAAAGUGCCGUGGUUACAUCCCAUAAACCAGACCAUUUCGCAUCAAGUUUAAAAAAACUAGGAUCUAACCAUUGAUACAUAACAUAAUUUUAUCUAUGCAAAUCAUUCCAUUAGAGAAAUUCAUUAUGACACAAAGCAUUAUUAACAACAAGAAGUUCAAGCAAUAAGUUAGGAUCACCAUGGCGGAGCUAGUGGGCUCUUCGCCGAAAAAUUACAUUGUAUACAUAAGAUCAAAUUACUACAACAACAAAAAACCCAAUGUAGCCCCACAACUAGGUUCUAGGGAGAGUAGUUUGUACGUAGACCGAGCCGAGACCCUCGGCUCGAUUAAUGGACAAAAUGAAUCUGGGUCUAACUCAACCAAAAAACUAGCUCAGGAGGGAGGAUUGUCCAAGUGCAUAAUAAGGAGACAAGUUACUCAUCCUUUUUCCGAUGUGUGACUCUCAACGAGUAAAGCAUAACAAAAAUAGUAAGAAAAGGAAAAAAAGUAGUAUAGAAGCCACAAGUAAUAAUAGAAUAAUGGAAUCGAACUAUUGAAAAUGGCUCCUCUAUGUCAUUCGUUAUAAGUUUAGCUUAUCUAUAUCAUCAACUUUAAAAGUCUGGCUUAUCUAUGCCACUACUGUUACAGAAAAGUUCAUAUGUGUCAUUAUUUUGCAAUGGUGAUUUUGCAAAACCAUUUUUGCCAUGUGGCCUCUUACUAGAAGUCCACGUCACCAAAUCUAAAUCAACAAAUAUUACUUAAAUCAAAAUAAAAAAUCAUACCCAUUAAAAUAAAACCUGACACAAUCAAUGAGUUUCUCCAAUUUUUAUUUUAACUAUGUGGAUCAAAUUUUAUUUUAAUGGAUCCAAUUUUUAAUUUUUUAUUUUAAUGUAAUAUUGAUUGAUUUGGAUUUGGUAACGUGGACCUCCAAUAAGAGGCAACGUGACAAAAAUGGUUCUGCAAAAAUCACCAUUCUAAAAUAAUGGCACGAAUGAACCUUUCCGUAACGACAGCGGCAUAGAUGAGCCAAACUUUCACUGACAGUGGCAUAAAUGAGUCAAUCUUAAAACCGAUGACAUAGAUGAGCCAUUCCUAAUAGUUCGAUGGCAUAUUUGAGCCUUUCCGUAACAACAGUGCACAUAGAUGAGUCAAACUUUCAAUGACACUGGCAUAGAUGAUCCAAACUUGCAACAAAUGUCAUAAAUGAGUUAUUUCUAAUAGUUCGAUGACAUACUUGAGCUUUUUACUGAAUAACAACAACAACAAGAAGUAAACUAGCAUUUAUUUAACUAGACAUUACUCGAUUAUCUACUAAAUUUCAAUCUUAAUCAUUUGCCUCCAUAUACUACUUCCUAUCAAGAGUCAUGUUCUCACUAAGUGCAAAUUAAAUCAAUCGAAAGCUUGAAGAGAAUGCUUGUUAAUUACCAUGGGAUUUUGGAAGCGAAGCAAUGUCUGGUGAAUAAUAGUAUAGAUGAUCCAAACUUAUAACGACUGGCAUAUAUAAGUCAUUUCUAAAAGUUUGAUGGAUGGCAUAAUUGAGCCUUUUGCUGAAUAAUAAUAAUAACAACAACAACAACAGGUAAACUAGAAUUUAUUUAACUAAACAUUACUCGACUAUGUACGAAAUUUCAAUCUCAAUCCUUUGCCUCCAUAUACUACUACUAUCUAGAGUCGUGUUCUAAGUAAGAGCAAAUUAAAGCAAUCGAAGCUUGACGACUACUACUCUAUAACGUAUAGCAUAGAUGAGCCAAACUUGACAUAUAGCAUAGAUGAGUCAUUUCUAAUAGCUCGGCCACAUAUUUGAACCUUUUGAUGUAUAAUUACAACAAUAACAACAAGUAAACUAGCAUUUUUUUAACUAAACAUUACUCGACUGCCUACUAAAUUUCAACCUUAAUCCUUUGCCUCCAUGUACUACACUUAUCUAGAGUCAUGUUCUCGGUAAGAGCAAAUUAAAGCAAUCGAAGCUUGGUGAGUACUACUCUAUAGCGUAUAGCAUAGAUGAACCAAACUUGACGCAUAGCAUAGAUGAGUCAUUUCUAACAGUUCGACCACAUAUUUGAGCCUUUUGAUGAAUAAUAAUAACAACAACAAGUCAACUAGCAUUUAUUUAACUAGACAUUACUCGACUACCUACUAAAUUUCAAUCUCAAUCCUUUGCCUCCAUAUACUACUUACUAUCAAGAGUUGUGUUCUCGAUAAGUGCAAAUAAAUCAAUCGAAGCUUGGCGAGUACUACUUUAUAACGUAUAGCAUAGAUGAGUCAUUUCUAACAGUUCGACCACGUAUUUGAUGAGUCAUUUCUAACAGUUCGACCACAUAUUUGAACCUUUUGAUGAAUAAUAAUAACAACAACAACAACAACAAACCCAGUGUAUUCCCACCUAGUGGGGUCUGGGGGGGUAAGAUGUACGCAGUCCAUACCUCUACCUCUGAUGAAGUAGAAAGGCUGUUUCCGAUAGACCCCCGGCUCAAGGCACGAGAUACCACACAAACACAUAGUGCAGCACAGAAGCAGAUUACAUAACAUAAAUACGGCACCCAUAAGUAAUAUAAAGCAGAGGAAAGCAGGGGAAAGCACACAGAUUCGUAAUACAACAUGGAACACGGAACACGGAAUCAUGAUGAAUAAUAAUAACAACAAGAAGAAUUCAACUAGCAUUUAUUUAACUAGACAUUACUCGACUACCUACUAAAUUUCAAUCUUAAUCCUUGACCUCCAUAUACUACUACUAUCUAGAGUCGUGUUCACGGUAAGAGCAAAUUAAAUCAAUCAAAGCUUGACAAGUACUACUCUAUAACGUAUAGCAUAGAUGAACCAAACUUAAAACGACGGGCAUAAAUGAGUUAUUUCUAAUAGUUCGAUGACAUAUUUGAGCCUUUUGUUGAAUAAUAAUAAUAACAACAACAACAACAAGUAAACUAGCAUUUAUUUAACUAGACAUUGUUCGACUACCUACUAAAUUUCAAUCUCAAUCCUUUGCCUCCAUGUACUACUUACUAUCUAGACUCAUGUUCUCGGUAAGAGCAAAUUAAAGCAAUCGAAGCUUGACGAGUAUUACUCUAUAACGUAUAGCAUAGAUGAACCAAACUAAUAACGACUGGCAUAAAUGAGUCAUUUCUAAUAGUUCGACCACAUAUUUGAGCCUUUUGAUGAAUAAUAAUAACAACAACAAGAAGUCAACUAGCAUUUAUUUAACUAGACAUUGCUCGACUACUUACUAAAUUUCAAUCUCAAUCCUUUGCCUCCAUAUACUACUUACUAUCUAGACACAUGUUCUCGGUCAGAGAAAAUUAAAGCAAUCGAAGCUUGACGAAAACUACUCUAUAACGUAUAGCAUAGAUGAGACAAACUUGAAGUAUAGCAUAGAUGAGUCGUUUCUAACAAUUCGACCAUAUAUUUGAAACUUUUGAUGAAUAAUAAUAACAACAACAACAACAAGUAAACUAGCAUUUAUUUAACUAGACAUUACUCGACUACCUACUAAAUUUCAAUCUCAAUCCUUUGCCUCCAUGUACUACUUACUAUCUAGACUCAUGUUCUCGGUAAGAGCAAAUUAAAGCAAUCGAAGCUUGACGAGUAUUACUCUAUAACGUAUAGCAUAGAUGAACCAAACUAAUAACGACUGGCAUAAAUGAGUCAUUUCUAAUAGUUCGACCACAAAUUUGAGCUUUUGAUGAAUAAUAAUAACAACAACAAGAAGUCAACGAGCAUUUAUUUAACUAGACAUUGCUCGACUACUUACUAAAUUUCAAUCUCAAUCCUUUGCCUCCAUAUACUACUUACUAUCAAGAGUCGUGUUCUCGAUAAGUGCAAAUUAAAUCAAUCGAAGCUUGGCGAGUACUACUCUAUAACGUAUAGCAUAGAUGAGUCAUUUCUAACAGUUCGACCACAUAUUUGAUGAGUCAUUUCUAAUAGUUCGACCACAUAUUUGAACCUUUUGAUGAAUAAUAAUAAUAACAACAACAACAACAAGUAAACUAGCAUUUAUUUAACUAGACAUUGUUCGACUACCUACUAAAUUUCAAUCUCAAUCCUUUCCCUCCGUCUACUACUUACUAUCUAGACUCAUGUUCUCGGUAAGAGCAAAUUAAAGCAAUCGAAGCUUGACGAGUACUACUCUAUAACCUAUAGCAUAGAUGAGCCAAACUUGACGUACAGCAUAGAUGAGUCAUUUCUAACAGUUCGACCACAUAUUUGAACCUUUUGGUGAAUAAUAAUAAGAACAACAACAAGUAAACUAGCAUUUAUUUAACUAGACAUUGUUCGACUACCUAAUAAACUUCAACCUCAAUCCUUGACCUCCAUAUACUACUUACUAUCUAGAGUCGUGUUCUUAAUGAGUGCAAAUUAAAUCAAUCGAAGCUUGGCGAGUACUACUCUAUAACGUAGAGCAUAGAUGAUCCAAACUUAUAACGACUGGCAUAGAUGAGUCAUUUCUACUAGUUCGCUGGCAUAUUUGAGCCUUUUGCUGAAUAAUAACAACAACAACAACAACAACAAGUAAACUAGCAUUUAUUUAACUAGACAUUACUCGACUACCUACUAAAUUUCAAUCUUAAUCCUUGACCUCCGUAUACUACUUACUAUCUAGAGUCGUGUUCUCGAUAAGUGCAAAUUAAAUCAAUCGAAGCUUGACGAGUACUACUCUAUAACGUAUUGCAUAGAUGAGUCAUUUCUAACAGUUCGACCACAUAUUUGAACCUUUUGAUGAAUAAUAAUAAUAACAACAACAACAACAAGUAUACUAGCAUUUAUUUAACUAGACAUUGUUCGACUACCUUCUAAAUUUCAAUCUUAAUCCUUGACCUCCAUAUACUACUUACUAUCUAGAGUCGUGUUCUCGAUAAGUGCAAAUUAAAUCAAUCGAAGCUUGGCGAGUACUACUCUAUAACGUAUAGCAUAGAUGAACCAAACUUAUAACGACUGGCAUAGAUGAGUCAUUUCUACUAGUUCGCUAGCAUAUUUGAGCCUUUUGCUGAAUAAUAAUAAUAACAACAACAACAACAAGUGUACUAGCAUUUAUUUAACUAGACAUUGUUCGACUACCUACUAAAUUUCAAUCUUAAUCCUUGACCUCCGUAUACUACUUACUAUCUAGAGUCAUGUUCUCGAUAAGUGCAAAUUAAAUCAAUCGAAGCUUGGCGAGUACUACUCUAUAACGUAUAGCAUAGAUGAACCAAACUUAUAACGACUGGCAUAGAUGAGUCAUUUCAACUAGUUCGCUAGCAUAUUUGAGCCUUUUGCUGAAUAAUAACAACAACAACAAGUAAACUAGCAUUUAUUUAACUAGACAUUUUUCGACAACCUACUAAAUUUCAAUCUCAAUCCUUUGCCUCCAUAUACUACUUACUAUCUAGACUCAUGUUCUCGGUAAGAGCAAAUUAAAUCAAUCGAAGUUUGGCGAGUACUACUCUAUAACGUAAAGCAUAGAUGAGCCAAACUUGACGUAUAGCAUAGAUGAGUCAUUUCUAACAGUUCGACCACAUAUUUGAACCUUUUGAUGAAUAAUAAUAACAACAACAAGUAAACUAGCAUUUAUUUAACUAGACAUUAAUCGACUACCUACUAAAUUUCAACCUCAAUCCUUGACCUCCAUAUACAACUUACUAUCUAGAGUCGUGUUCUCAGUAAGCGCAAAUUAAAUCAAUCAAAAGCUUGAAGAGAAUGCUUGUUAAUUACCAUGGAAUUUGGGAAGCAAAGCAAUAUCUGAAUCCAAAUUGCGGAGCUGCCAGUGCCAUUGUUGUCGAUGAAGGGGACCAAUUUUGAACACUUCAAAAGUUGUGGGGAAUUUUUUGCUGAAUUUUUUUUUUUGGAGGGAAAGUGGAAGAAAAGGUGGAAAAUGUAUUGUGGGAGAAGAAGAGAUAAUGACAAAAUGGUAACUUAUGUUUGGAUAAGAGUGUAAAAUAGUCCCCUAAACUUAUUUUUUAGCAUUUUAGAGUACCUUAAUUUGUUAAUGUGAGUAUUUUUAGUCAUUGUUAGAAUAUUUGUUAGUAUAUCGUAUUCCUCACAUGUGUUUUAUUCGUUUUGUUCGUUUUUUCAAUAAAUUUUGUUUGUUGGCAAAUCGCAUUCCACAUGCGCCGUUUUAUUCAUUUUGUUCAUUUUAUCGAUAAAUUUUAAUAUUUGUUAGCAAUUGCGUUUUGUUCGUUUUAUUUUUUAUAAAUUUUACUAUUUGUUAGUAAAUCGCGUUCCACAUAUGAGGUUUAUUCGUUUUAUCGAUAAAUUUUAUCUGUUAGUAAAGCUGAGGGUUGGGUCUUGGAAUAUAGGGACCCUUCAGGGGAAGUCCAUAGAGCUGGUGAAGAUUCUUAGGAAGAGAAGGAUCAACCUUGCGUGUGUCCAAGAGACCAAGUGGGUAGGGUCUAAGGCUAGGGAUGUGGACGGUUACAAGCUGUGGUACUCUGGGAGCGACAGGCGUAGGAAUGGAGUUGGCAUCUUGGUAGAUGAAGAGCUUAGAGGUCAGGUAGUGGAGGUGAAGAGGAUCAACGAUAGGUUGAUGACUAUCAAGUUGGUCAUUCGGGGGUUUACCCUGAACGUGUGUAGUGCCUAUGCGCCGCAUGUGGGAUCGGAGGGGGAGGAGAAGAUGCGGUUCUGGGAGGCCUUGGAGGACGUGGUGAGAGGCGUGCCCAGUUCGGAGAAGAUUGUGGUAGCAGGGGAUUUCAACGGGCACAUCGGGGCGCUACCGGGAGGCUUUGGGGAUGUGCAUGGAGGUUUUGGUUUUGGGGAGAGAAAUGAAGAGGGGGCGACCCUAUUGGAGUUUGCGAGGGCGUUUGGGCUGGUGGUGGUGAACUCGGGCUUCCCGAAGAAGGACGACCACCUGAUCACUUUUCGGAGCGCGGUAGCCAGGACCCAGAUUGACUUCUUGUUGCUUAGGAAAGGGGAUAGGGCGCUGUGUAAAGAUUGUAAAGUCAUCCCGAGUGAGAACCUUUCGACCCAACAUAGGCUCUUGGUUAUGGAUUUGGGUAUGAAGAAGAAUAAAAAGAGGAGGAGUAAGGAGUGUAGACCGAGAAUUAAGUGGGGCGGUUUGACGCCAGUGAAUGCGUGGGAGAUAGGGGAGAGGUUGGCGGGAAUGGGGGUGUGGGAGUGUAGGGGGGACGUGGAUAAUAUGUGGGACAGGGCGGCAGCGUGCAUCAGGGAAAAUGCAAGGGAGGUGUUGGGUGUUUCUAGGGGCCGGGCCGGACAUCAUCGGGGGGAUUGGUGGUGGAAUGAAGAGGUGGGGAAGAAAGUGGAGACCAAGAAAGAGUCGUAUGCUAAGUUGGUGGAAAGUAAGGACGAAGAGGAGAAGCGGGUAAACAGGAAAGAGUACAAGCUAGCAAGGAAGGAGGCGAAGUCAGCGGUCACGGCAGCUAAGACGGCUGCUUUUGAGAGCUUGUAUGCAGGGUUACAGGGGAAAGGAGGGGAGAAAAAGUUGUUCCGACUCGCUAAGGCUAGGGAGAGGAAGGGUCGUGACCUCGAUCAGGUGCGGUGCAUUAAGGGGGAGGACGGUAGAGUGUUGGUGGAGGACGGCCACAUAAAGAAGAGAUGGCAGUCGUACUUUCAUAGGCUCUUGAAUGACGAGGGGGACAGAGCUAUUGUGUUAGGGGAACUGGAGCACUCAGGGGAGUGUCGGGAUUUUAGCUAUUGUAGACGUUUUAAGGUAGACGAGGUUAGACAGGCAGUCCGCAGGAUGCGAAGGGGUAGGGCGACGGGGCCGGAUGAGAUACCGGUGGAGUUUUGGAAGUUCGUUGGAGAGGCUGGUGUAAGGUGGUUGACUGCAUUGUUCAAUGAAAUUUUCAGGACAGCAAAGAUGCCCGAGGCGUGGAGGUGGAGUACCAUGAUCCCCCUCUAUAAGAAUAAGGGGGACAUUCAGUGUUGCAAUAACUAUAGGGGGAUUAAGUUACUGAGUCACUCUAUGAAGAUCUGGGAGAGAGUGGUCGAGGUGAGGCUGAGACGGAUAGUGUCUAUCUCGGAAAACCAGUUCGGAUUUAUGCCCGGCCGCUCGACGACGGAGGCAAUUCACCUGGUACGGCGGUUGGUGGAGCAAUAUAGGGAAAGGAAGAAGGAUUUGCACAUGGUGUUCAUCGACCUAGAAAAGGCGUACGACAAAGUCCCCAGGGAGGUGCUUUGGAGAUGCUUGGAGGUGAGUGGAGUACCGCAGGCAUAUAGCAGAGUAAUUAAGGAUAUGUAUGAGGGAGCGAAAACCCAGGUGAGGACGGCGGGAGGAGACUCAGAGCAUUUCACUGUCCUGACAGGAUUGCAUCAGGGAUCUACUCUUAGUCCCUUUUUGUUUGCGCUAGUAAUGGAUGUGUUAACGCGGCGUAUCCAAGGGGAGGUGCCGUGGUGUAUGCUUUUUGCAGACGAUGUAGUCCUGAUAGAUGAGACGCGAGGGGGUGUGAACGACAAAUUAGAGCUGUGGAGGCAAACUCUGGAGUCUAAAGGGUUCAGGGUGAGCAGAACCAAGACAGAGUAUGUGGAAUGUAAGUUUAAUGACGUAAGGCGAGAGAAUGAGGUAGUGGUGAGGCUAGAAGCGCAGGAGGUAAAGAAAAGGGAUAAGUUCAAGUACCUCGGGUCCGUGAUCCAGAGUAACGGUGAGAUUGACGAGGAUGUCUCGCACCGUAUCGGGGCGGGAUGGAUGAAGUGGAAACUUGCAUCGGGGGUGCUGUGUGAUAAGAAGGUGCCGCCCAAGCUUAAAGGUAAAUUCUAUAGGGUGGUAGUCCGUCCGGCCUUGCUGUAUGGAGCGGAGUGUUGGCCAGUUAAGAACUCCCACACCCAAAGAAUGAAGGUGGCAGAAAUGCGGAUGUUGCGCUGGAUGUGUGGACUGACCCGAAGGGAUAGAGCUCGGAAUGAGACUAUCCGGGAGAAGGUUGGGGUGACUUCAGUGGAGUGUAAGAUGCGGGAAGCACGAUUGAGAUGGUUCGGACACGUGAAGAGGAGGGGCAUGGAUGCCCCGGUCCGUAGGUGUGAGAGGCUAGCGUUGGAUGGUUUUAGACGGGGUAGGGGUAGACCGAAGAAGUACUGGGGUGAGGUGAUUAGGCGGGACAUGGAACAGUUACAGCUUACCGAGGACAUGACCCUAGAUAGGAAGGUCUGGAAGACGCGAAUUACGGCAGAGGAUUAGGGCCUGUUCGGGUCGCUAAUGUAGGGAGGUAAUUGGUGGGGGGGUAUUCCGGGUAUGAUUCCGUAUUCAAUGUUCUGUUCCGUGUUCCGUGUUCUAUGUUUGUUACGAAUCUGUGUGCUUUCCUCUGCUUUAUAUUCCUGCAUUCCUNNNNNNNNNNNNNNNNNNNNNNNNNNNNNNNUGUUUUAUAUUCCUUAUGGCUGCAGUAUCUAUGUUAUGUCAUCUGCUUCUGUGCUGUACUAUGUGUUUGUUUGAUAUCUCGUAACUUGAGCCGGGGGUCUUUCGGAAACAGCCUUUCUACUUCAUCAGAGGUAGAGGUAUGGACUGCGUACAUCUUACCCCCCCCAGACCCCACAAAGUGGGAAUACACUGGGUUUGUUGUUGUUGUUGUAGUAAAGCGCAUUCUACAUGUGUAUUUUAUUCGUUUUUUAGAUAAAUUUUAUUUGUUAGUAAGUCACACACUUCUCGUAUGCGAGUUAUUCAUUUUGUUUCAUUUUCAGAGAAAUUUAAUUUUGUGUUGGCUUAUGACACCUCAUCUACCUCUUCGGGAUAAUGAUAAAUGCGUUAUACUUUAUCCUUCACAAAUUAUAUUUGUGAAAUUUUACUGGGGAUAUUGUUAUUGUUGUUGUUGUGUGUCACCAUGGCACUUAUGGAUCCUUUAAUGAGUAAUACACUAUUUAACAAGUUAUAUUAUAUUUGUUGGAUUUAAUAAAAAUAGUAUUAAUAGAAUAUAUUUAGGAGUUGUUUGGCCAUGGAUGUUUUUCACUUUAUUUCGAAUUAGUUCAAAUUUAUAUCAAGGUGUUCAACUACAUAAGCCAUUAUAAUGUUCAUCGAUCUAGAAAAAAAAAGAUACGACAAAGCCCAGUAUGUUAUAUGCAAAUGUUUAGAGGCUAUAGUUGUUGGCCUUAGUGAUAGAUGGAUUGACGCGAUGACUUCAAGAUAAGGCAUCAUAGUGUAUGUUAUUUACGGAUAACAUAAUCCUGGUUGACGAGACACACGACAAAAGACAGCACUAAGUUAGAGUUAAGAGAACAACCUAUAUAUAUUAUAAGUUAGAAAUAAAAUAUGCGUACAUUUUAUCCUCCCCAGUUUCACUUGUGAAACUACACUAAACAUAUAUGUUAUUAUGAGUAUUGUAUUUCGAUUUUAGUCCAACAAACCAAAUAUAUCCUAAUAAUUCAACCAACAAUGUAAUUUUUUGUGUCAGAAUUCUAUCAUUAUGAUCUUGGGAUAACUUAUUUACAACCAAACGCCCCCUAGUUGAAUUGCACCCUCCAACGUUGUUUGUGGCCAAUAAGAGAUUGCCACUUGUUCCAUAGUCGUUGGAAAGCAACUAGUCCACUAGCGCGUGUCAAGCUCACAUUUCUCUGUUAGCGCAUAUUUUCUAUCCCGAUUGGUCUCAAACGCCUUCACUGGUGCCUGAGUGAGCAUCAGUUCUUCGACAUUGUCCUCGAAAUGGUGCCACCGGGGACCGACUUCGCUCAUGCCCACCACAAGGUGACCCAAUUAGUCCAAAUUUAUCCUAAGCUCUUUUCACGCCGUACACCAUCAUCAUAGUCUCAGGAUAACUUACCAGGGCAAAUAACAUAAAUUCUGACAGUUUGAAAUUUAAUUACAAAAAAAUCCAACGUUUUGCAUAACUACUGAAAAUUUCGAUUCGGGAUUUGUCGAGAUACCCCGAUACAUCUAAUGAAAAUACAUUUUUAUAUAAAGAUACAUGACUAGAUCCCGACAUCUAAUGAAAAUAUAUUUUUUUCUUUAUAAAGAUAUAUAAUUAGCUCUCAAUAUAUUUUUACUGAUUUUGAUCUGUCUAGAUACAUAAUACAUCAAACAAAACUACAUUUUUUCCUUGUAAAAGAUACAUAUUCAUCUCUCGAUACAUUUUUUUUCGAUUUUGGAUCAGUCGAGAUACAUAAUUAAUUUCCAAUACAUCAAACGAAGAUAUAUAAUUAGUUAAGAUCUGUAUAACCACUUUAUAAAGGUAAGAAUUAUGUAAAUAUGUUUAUAUUAUUUUGGGAAAAUGCUCUUUUCCACCCUGAACUAUAUACGAAAUUGCUUAAACACACCUAAAUUUUAGGAGAGUCCUAUUACCCCUGGACUAAUUAAAAUCUUUUUGUGAUAAUUUUAGUGCCUACAUGGUGCAUACGUGGCACAUCAGUGAAUCAACACAUUGAAGGUCCACGUAGGCCCUAAAGUUGCAAAAAAUACAAUUUUAAUUAGUCUAGAGGUAAUAGGACCCUCCUAAAAUUCGAAUAUAUCUCAGCAAUUUCGUGUAUAAUUUACGGUGAAAACAAUACAUUUUCUCUACAUUAUUUUUCCUAAACUUAUUUACAACCAAACGUCCCCUACAAUAAUUACACCCUCCAAAACCACAAAAUAAUAAUUAAAAAAAAAAAAAAAACGAAAAAACAGCAUCAGUCAAUUACAGACGAAUCAUCCAAAUAGUAACGAAAAACCCGGCCCACCACUUUAAUUUAAUUAAACUCCUAAUAAAAUUCCAACUAAUAAAAAAAAUAGAACAUUCUAGAAUUCCCAAACAAACCCCAGUAUAUAAACACCUUUAAGCCUCCCCAUUCAUCACUCGCACACCAAAGCUCUCUCUAUAUUCGUUUUGCUUUUUCUCUAACCCUAGUUUUCUUCUUCUUCGUUGAGAUCUGUAAUAAUGGCGGAUACAGAGACGUUUGCUUUUCAAGCUGAGAUUAACCAGCUAUUGAGUUUGAUUAUCAAUACUUUUUACAGUAACAAGGAGAUCUUUCUGAGGGAGCUUAUUAGCAAUUCUUCUGAUGUAAGUCAAUCUCUCUCUCUCUCUCUCUCUCUCUCUCUAUAUAUAUAUAUAUAUAUAUAUAUAUAUAUGUAUAUUUUAGCUGUUUUUUUUGUUCAUUGCCUCGAGAUUCGUGCACAAAUCUAUGCAGUAUUGAUUAUAUGUGGAUUCCAUGUAGCUGAUUUUCUGUUCAUAUGUUGGAAGCAUAAUUAUUUGUGAUUUAUUGCUUGUUUCUUGGCUGCAGAUUAUAUAUAGCUGAUGUUUUGCUCACAUGUUAGGAAGGAAGCAUGAUUAUUUAUGAUUUAUUGUUAGUUGUUUGAUUUAUCGUGAUUUAGUGUUACUACAAAGCCUGGAUACAUCUACUUUUGUAGUUAUGCCUCGAGAUUUGUGCGAGAAAUCUGUGUUGUACUGAUGUUUAGUUGAUUUUUUGUAUUUGUGAUUUAGUUUUAGUUGUUUUUAUAGCUGUAGUUGAUUUGAUUCUGCUCAUUGGUUAGAUGCAUGAUGCAUAGCUGCUGAGUUUUAUUAUUAAUGCUUUUUAUAGUAGUAAGGAGAUCUUUCUUCAUAUGAUUAUUAGCAAUUCUUCUGAUGUAAGUCGAUCUAUAUGCUAUUUGUUGAUUAUAUUAUCUGCAUUCGUAGUUAUACCUCGAGAUUUGUGCGAGAAAUCUGUGCAGUAUUGAUGUGUUAUUUGAUGUUUAGUUGUUUUAAUAGCUGUAGUUGAUUAUGCUCACUGGUUAGAUGCAUGAUGCAUAGAUGUUGUGUGUUAUUAUCAAUAUGUUUUAUAGUAACUAGGAGAUCUUUCUUCGGGAGCUUAUUAUUUGCAAUUUGUCGGAUGUAAGUUGAUCUAUAUAUAUUUGAGCUGUUUUUUUUCUCAUUGCCUCGAGAUUCAUGCUCAAAUCUAUACAGUAUUGAUGUGUUAUUUAAUGUUUAGUUGUUUGAUUGUGGAUUCUAUAUGGUUGAUUUUCUGCUAAUAUGUUGGAAGCAUGAUUGUUUGUGGUUUAGUUUUAGCUGUUUUUAUAAAGGACUUUCUCUGUAGUUGAUUCUGCUCAUAUCUGUGGUGUUGAUUGAGCUGUUUUUCAUUGCCUCGAGAUUUGUGCACAAAUCUAUGCAGUAUUGAUUAUUUGAGGGGAUUCUAUAUAGCUGUUCAUAUGUUAGGAAGCCAUAUAGUUAUUGUGAUUUAUUGCUAGUUUUUUGAUUGCAGAUUCUAUAUAGCUGAUUUUUUGCUCAUAUGUUAGGCAGCAUAUGAUUGUUUGUGAUCCAUAUAUAGCUUAUUUUCUGCUCAUAUGUUAGGAAGAAUAUGAUUGUUUGUGAUUUAUAUAUUGCUGAUUUUCUGCUCAUAUGUUAGGAAGCAUGAUUAUUUGUUGAUUUAUAUAGCUGAUUUUCUGCUCAUAUGUUAGGAAGUAUGUGAUUAUUUGUGAUUUAUAUAUUGCUGAUUUUCUGCUCAUAUGUUAAGAAGAAUAUGAUUAUUUGUGAUUUGAGGUUUGUUUUUUUUGAUUGCAGAGAAACUAUAUAGCUGAUUUUCUGAUCAUAAGUUAGGAAGCUUGUUAGUUUUUGUGAUUUAUUGUUAGUUUUUUGAUUGCAGAAUCUAUAUAGCUGAUUUUCUGCUCAUUUGUUAGGAAGCAUAUGAUUAUUUGUGAUGUAGUGUUAGUUUUUGGAUUGCAGAUUCUAUAUAGCUGAUUUUUCUGCUCAUAUGUUAGGAAGCAUGACUCUUUGUGAUUUAGUGUGAUUUGAUGUUCAGUUGUUUUGAUCUGGAUUCUCCGCAGCUGAUUCUCUGCCCAUAUGCAUUAUCCGAGAUACAGUGCUAGUUGUUUUGUAGCGGAUGUUUGCUCAUAGAUCAUAGAUGUGUGAUUGCCCUACGUAGUUGCUUCUCUGUGCAUAUGUUGGAAACAUGAUUAUUUGUUGAAAUUGAGUUAGUUACUUUUUUAUAGUGAAUGCCCGUUGAUAGGUUAGAUGUGUGGUUGCUCUAUGUAGUUGAUUCUCUGCUCCUAUGUUGGAAGCAUGAUUAUUUGUUGAAAUCUUGUUAGUUGUUUUUUAUACUGCAUGCCUGUUGAUAGGUUAGGUGCGUGAUUGUUUAUGAUUUGAUGUUAGUUAUUUGAUCACUGAUUCUGGUCAUAUGGAGUCAUGAUUAUUUGUGAUUUACUGGUAGGCUAGAUGUGUAUUGGCUUUGUGUGAUGUGAUGUGAUGUGAUCGGUUUGAUUGUGGAUUGUCUGUAGCUAAUUUUCUGCUCAUAUGUUGGAUGCAUGAAUAUUUCUGAUCUAGUUUUAGCUGUUUUUAUAGCAGAUGCUCUCUAUAGUUGAUUUUGCUAAUAUCUGCUAAUAGGUUAGAUGCAUGACUUUUUGUGAUUUGUUGUUAUAUGUUUGAUUGUGGAUUUUCUAUUGUUGAUUCUCUGCUCACAGGUUGGAUGUCCUCAGUAGUUGAUUGCUCAUAGGUUAGAUGUGCGAGUGUUUGUGAUUUGAUGCUAUUUGUUUGAUUGCUGAAGCCUUGUAUAAUUGAUUCUGCUUCUUUAAUCUUUAAUAGAUGUGAUUGUUUGUGAAUUAAUAGUUUGAUUGGAGAUGCUAUCCGUAGUUGAGUCUGGUCAUAUGUUGGAAGCAUGAUUAUUUGUUAUAUGUUAUUCAAUGAUAUGGUAUAGUCAUUCAUGGAUAAUAUUUUAAACAUAUGUGAUGUCUGAUUAUGUUAUGGCUUACAUAUUGUAGGCUUUGGACAAGAUUCGCUUUGAGAGCUUGACAGACAAGAGCAAGCUAGAUGCUCAACCUGAACUCUUUAUCCACAUUAUUCCUGACAAGACCAACAAUUCCUUGACUAUUGUGGACAGUGGUAUUGGGAUGACAAAGGCCGGUAAGUUGGAUCAGUUGUAGAAUUAGUUCACGUUUAAAUUGCAUUGCAAAAAUACUCAAACUCAUUUGUAUUGUUGCAGAUCUUGUGAACAACCUUGGUACAAUUGCAAGGUCAGGGACCAAGGAAUUCAUGGAAGCUAUAGCAGCCGGUGCCGAUGUUAGCAUGAUCGGGCAAUUUGGUGUUGGUUUCUAUUCAGCGUACUUGGUGGCUGAGAAGGUUAUUGUAACUACAAAGCACAAUGAUGAUGAACAGUAUGUGUGGGAGUCUCAAGCUGGUGGUUCAUUCACUGUCACCAGGGACACUUCUGGUGAGAGCCUUGGUAGGGGUACAAAAAUGACCUUGUAUCUCAAGGAGGAUCAGCUUGAAUAUCUCGAAGAGCGCAGGCUCAAGGACCUGAUUAAGAAGCACUCAGAAUUCAUCAGUUACCCAAUCUCUCUUUGGGUUGAGAAAACCACUGAAAAGGAGAUCUCUGACGAUGAGGAUGAGGAAGAGAAGAAAGAUGAGGAAGGGAAGGUAGAGGAGGUUGAUGAGGAAAAAGAGAAGGAAGAGAAGAAGAAAAAGAAAAUUAAGGAAGUAUCUAAUGAGUGGUCGUUGGUGAACAAGCAGAAGCCUAUUUGGAUGAGGAAGCCUGAGGAGAUCAACAAGGAUGAAUAUGCUGCAUUCUACAAGAGUCUGACAAAUGACUGGGAGGAACAUUUGGCUGUGAAGCACUUCUCUGUUGAGGGUCAGUUAGAGUUCAAAGCUGUCCUCUUUGUUCCAAAAAGGGCUCCUUUUGACCUUUUUGACACAAAAAAGAAGCCCAACAAUAUCAAGCUGUAUGUUCGCCGCGUGUUCAUCAUGGAUAACUGUGAAGAGUUAAUUCCUGAAUUUCUGAGUUUUGUGAAGGGUAUCGUUGAUUCUGAGGAUCUUCCUCUUAACAUCUCUAGAGAGAUGUUGCAGCAGAACAAGAUCCUGAAGGUUAUUCGCAAGAAUCUGGUGAAGAAGUGCAUUGAGCUGUUCUUUGAAAUUGCCGAGAACAAGGAAGACUAUGACAAGUUUUACGAGGCCUUCUCAAAGAAUCUCAAGCUUGGUAUCCAUGAAGAUUCACAGAACAGGACUAAGCUUGCUGAGUUGCUGAGGUACCACUCCACCAAGAGUGGUGAUGAAAUGACCAGCUUGAAGGACUAUGUGACUAGGAUGAAGGAAGGCCAGAAUGACAUUUUCUACAUUACUGGUGAGAGCAAGAAGGCCGUUGAGAACUCACCCUUCCUUGAGAAGCUGAAGAAGAAGGGAUAUGAGGUUCUUUACAUGGUUGAUGCUAUUGACGAGUACUGUAUCGGUCAGCUGAAGGAAUUUGAAGGUAAGAAGCUUGUUUCUGCUACCAAGGAAGGUCUCAAACUCGAUGAAAGCGAGGAUGAGAAGAAAAAGAAGGAGGAAUUGAAGGAGAAGUUCGAGGGGCUCUGCAAGGUAAUCAAGGACGUACUCGGUGACAAGGUUGAAA
rnacentral:lncRNA from 1 species